rnacentral:lncRNA from 1 species
GUGACCAGGCAAGACAAACUUAUGAACUUGCAAGGAUGGCAAUCAGAUCGACAUCCGCACAAUGCUGAUAUGAACAUUGUCUUGAUACAACUUUAUUUGUAUUUUAUUUCAGAAUUUAAACAACUAGUUUGGGCGGGUCACACAUGGUGUUGUGUGACACUUUAUUUGUCACCGCUACAUCGACAUAUCCAUCGACUAAACAACGGUGAUCCAACUAUAUAUUAAUAGAGAUCUUUUCUUAUCAGUAGGCACCAACUCCAGUGCCAACGCCGAAUGGCGCACUAGUGGUGGUUCCGUACAACGGCACGUUGACAUUGCACAUCGUUGGCAAGGUACGGAGUGCAAUGGAAGUCAUCACCUCAAAUUGAGCUAUCUGGUGUGGCUGCAAAAAGGUACCCUGUGCCAAUUGUUGUUGUUGAGGUUGUUGCCCGAGUUGCUGCUGCGAUUGUUGUUGGGGUUGGGAGACACAUUGGCCCAACUGUUGGGGUUGUUGUUGCUGAGCUUGGAUGAUACUCUGAACUUGUUGUUGUUGUUGUUGUUGUUGCUGCAGGAUGAUAGAGUAGAUGAUAGCACGGAUUGACUCAUGGCGGGAUUGCCCGGGGAUUUGCCGCAACUGUUGGCAACAUUGUUGCUGCAUCACAUGGCAAAUCCUCUGCUGCAACAUUUGUGACCUAGCAAGACAUCGCUGCAUUGCCACAGGGAUGCACUGCUGCUGGAGGAAUACCUUGCAUGGGUUUAGUUGCUGCAAAACAGAUGGAUGAAUAACUGGUAUUUGUUGUUGCUGUGAAAAUGGUGGUUGUUGUUGCUGCGAAAAUGGUGGUUGUUGUUGCUGUGAAAUUGGUGGCUGUUGUGAAAACGGUGGUUGUUGUUGUUGUGAAAAUGGUGGUUGUUGUUGUUGCUGCUGCGAAAAUGGUNNNNNNNNNNNNNNNNNNNNNNNNNNNNNNNNNNNNNNNNNNNNNNNNNNNNNNNNNNNNNNNNNNNNNNNNNNNNNNNNNNNNNNNNNNNNNNNNNNNNNNNNNNNNNNNNNNNNNNNNNNNNNNNNNNNNNNNNNNNNNNNNNNNNNNNNNNNNNNNNNNNNNAAUUGGUGGCUGUUGUGAAAACGGUGGUUGGUGUUGCUGCAAAAAUGGUGGUUGUUGUUGUUGUUGCUGCGAAAAUGGUGAUUGUUGUUGUUGCGAAAAUGGUGGUUGCUAUUGCUGUGAAUAUGGUGGCUCUUGUUGCUGCGAAAAUGGUGGUUGUUGUUGCUGCGGAAAUGGUUGUUGUUGUUGUUGUUGCUGUGAAAUUUGCGCAACGGCACUUGCCGCCGCAAGAGCGAGGAGGGAAAAGACGAGGAAUGUCUUCAUUGUGGAUUGAUGUCAACUAGUGUUGCUUGGUUUUGAUGCUUGUGCUUGUGAUGAUCUUUAUACUUCAUGCCUAUUUAUAGUAGCCCGGGCACCACCUCUUUUCUUCUUUGCAUCAGCUUUAAUAAAUUUGUUUGGCUGCAUCUGAAAUGAAUUUUUUUGGUACAUUGUGUUUGGUUGCGCUAGCUACAAGCGUACUUUUGGAUUAAUCAUCAAAGUUGCUUUUUAGUUGUGCAUAUGAUCACACACGAAGUACAGAAACCCUGAUGUUUGUUAUAUAUGACUCAUCUUAUUCACUUUACAUGUCACACACUUAUCAAGAUAGUAUCACUUUUGCAACCGAGUUUGGAACCUUGUAUAGGCUAUCAACCAUAAACUAAAAAGGCAAAACUUUUGUAGGACUAAGUUGCAAUCGUGUGUGGGCUGUUAAGAUAUGCUCGAUUAUUAAAGCCUUGCGUGUGGAGGGUUCUUCUAGAGUUGGUUGCUUUUUAUAACUAAUUUUGUAUUUUCCACUAAGAUGAUAAGAUGAACCGACGCCUAUAGAGCAUGACAUGACUCAUCGAAUUCCCUUUAUAUGAAAAGGAUGAUAAUUGCUUACAAGAUACUCCUACUAGCAUAUAUUCGGUCCUAAGUCUAGACAUGUCAUCAUUAGUUCCGUGUUUUUGUUUAGAUAAAUCAUCAGUUCCAUCUAUUUGUGAAAGCUUUUGGGGGGGGGUGACAGUUUUUUUUGGCGCUAGGGGAAAAAUCUUUUUUGAUCUAGGGGGAAAUGAUAGAUGGGGCUGGAACAGAGGCCCGCAGCCUAGAGCGAGAGAUUAGGCCCAACAUAAGCGCUGUGUGUUAGGGCACCAAUUCGAAUUGGGCUAUAGUUUUCGUAGGCCCCAAUGUCACAAGCCGAACUCACACUCCGCAGAUCUGCGUCAUCUCCUUGCUCGUCCUCCUCGCCGGUCAGACCUCUCGUCGGCGUAGCCUCUCCUGGAUCCCACCGCCUGCGGCCGGUCACAUACGUCUGAGGCAGCGGAGGCGGAAGCCUCCCUCCUGCCCUCCGCACCCGCUACCACCACCAUUGGUCGACAAAAAGGUCACUUUUGAAGCUCCUUCGUCGAUUGCGGGCCGUACGUCGACGGCAGCCACUCCGGCCUCCCCGCUAAAACAAGGUAUCGAUCCUGGCCGUCUGUCUCCUCCAACGAUUCAAUUCACAUGAAUUCGAGAGGCGUACCCAUCUCCAUGCCAGCCACAUGAAUCAGGAGGGUCAUGAAGCAGGAUUCAUCUGCGUAGCCUGAUAGUGACAUACAUUUGUGGCUUUGGUAGCUAAGCAACUUUGUGCUUUCUAUGGAUGUCACUUCAAAAGUUCAAAUAAUCAUCAAAUUUCCGCCUUUGGGUGCUGCAGGUGGAGUGGAGGACAUUCAGUUUCCCUCUGAUGUCCGAGAAGUCCGUCUUCGGUGCAGCAAUUGUGGGUGUCAAAACCGGGGGAUCUCGGGUAGAGGGUCCCGAACUGUGCGUCUAAGGCGGAUGGUAACAGGAGGCAGGGGACACAAUGUUUACCCAGGUUUGGGCCCUCUCGAUGGAGGUAAUACCCUACUUCCUGCUUGAUUGAUCUUGAUGAUAUGAGUAUUACAAGAGUUGAUCUACCACGAGAUCGUAGUGGCCAAAUCCUAGAAGCUAGCUUAUGAUUAUGAUUGUUGUUGUCCUACGGACUAAACCCUCCGGUUUAUAUAGACACCGGAGGGGGCUAGGGUUACACAGAGUCGGUUACAAGGGAGGAGAUCUACAUAUCCGAAUUGCCAAGCUUGCCUUCCACGCAAAGGAGAGUCCCACCCGGACACGAGAUGAAGUCUUCAAUCUUGUAUCUUCGUAGUCCGGCCGAAGGAUAUAGUCCGGCUGUCCGAGGACCCCCUAAUUCAUGACUCCCUCAGUAGCUCCUGAACCAGGCUUCAAUGACGAUGAGUCCGGCGCACAGAUUGUCUUCGGCAUUGCAAGGCGGGUUCUUCCUCUGAAUACUCCAUAGAAGAUUUCAAACACAAGGACAGUGUCCGGCUCUGCAAAACAAAUUCCACAUACCACCGUAGAGAGUAUAAUAUUUUCACAAAUCUAAUCUGCUGACAACUUUUCAUAACGUGACAUCACGCCAUGGCCUGGUCAUUAUUUGAACCGUUUUUCUCAACCAACUACUACACAUAUUGCGAGGCGGUUUUCUUGACAUGUCUUGUCAAAGCAGAGAUCGUGUCCCCUUAUCAUGAGAUUCUAAUCAAUAUGGGCGUGGGUAACCCAACCGCGCCAUCAAUCACGAUGCUUGGGGAAUAAGCGAGUUUACCAGUCAAGUGGGGAGGCAUAGAAUCCCUGCUGCCUUUAUAAGGGGAUAAGGACUCCCUUUCGCACCCACGCUUUCUUCUUCCCGAUCCAUUCCCCUUUGCCCGAGCUCCAGCAAUAGAGCGUUCGUCUUCUCUGCCCACAAAGGCCUUCCGAAAAUGUCCGGAUCAUGAGCAGGAGGCAAGUGGAUGGCCUCUACUGUCGAGGAGAAGCAUAUCAAAAAGUUUUGGGAGGCCGGGUAUCUGGCCAAAAAAAUCGACCACCGUCUCCCGACGGCGGGACAGAACGUUCCUACUCCGGAACCCCAAGAGAGGGUUGUAUUCCUCCCUCAUUUUGUCUGCGGGCUAGGGUUUCCCCUCCACCCGUUCGUUCGCGGCAUCAUGUAUUAUUACGGGAUCGAUUUUCAUGAUGUAUCCCCCAAUUCCUUCCUCAACUUCUCGACAUUCAUCAUCGUGUGCGAGGCUUUUCUCCGCAUCUCGCCACACUUCGGCUUAUGCCUGAAGAUCUUUAAUGUGAAGGCCAAGGUGGUGAGCGGCGAGCACGCCGAGUGUGGGGGCGCCAUGGUGAGCAAGAUGCCCAAUGUCACCUGGCCAACAUGUACUUUUAAUGAUUCCAUCAAAUAGUGGCAACAACAGUGGUUUUACAUUACUAAGCCACGCAGCACGGAAUGGGCCGCUGCUCCAGAGUUCCGAUCCAGAGCCCCUCUGCGGCUUACGUCCUGGCCCAAGAAGGGCCUGAACUGGUCUUCGUCUGACGAACUGUCUAUGCUCCAGACGCGCAUUAAAGAUAUGGAAGACAAGAACAUCGAACUUGUCAUUGUAGUCCAGGUGAUGUUAGUUCGCGGGAUCCUGCCUUGUCAGCACCAGACUUGCAAUAUGUGGGAAUUCGAUCCGGCCAAGCACCAGACCCUGUGAAAACUCUUUGGAUCCUCGCACGAAGACAUCUGGAAGGUGCUUUUCAAGUCUGGAAAAUCAUGGACGGACUCGGCCGAGGACCGUGGGUAUCAACUGUCCCGCCCUGCAAGCUCGGUAAGUUUUAUGCGUUUUACCCGCAUAACCCAAGGGAAAUGCCUAAUGUGUUUUCCUCAAUUCCCCUAGGGCUGGACGAAGAAGGCGGGGCGGAUCCACUGUCCGGUCCCGUUGCCCGAAGAACCGGCCGGCCCACUUCUGACGAAGAUGCUGGCCCCGGCGCCAUACAAGGCACCGAAGAAGAAGACCAAGGAGGCCAAAAAGACCCGAGGCGGCCUUCGUCGCCGCGGCACUUCAGCCACAAUAUCCGAAGGCUCCAAACCCCGUUCUGCCUCUGAAGAGGACGAGGAGGAGGAAGACGAAUCCCCAGUGGGGGGAAGAAAAGAAGAGGGCGGCCUCCAUACACUUGGAGGCCGAGUCACCUAAAAGGGGAAAAGAUCCUCUUCGUGAAGAGUCCACUGCCGCCGCCGACAGCAGCCCGGCAUGGGAUCCCAGGGCCCAGCCCCUGGUGAACUCGUGAGUAUAAAAUCCGAACACGUUUAUGCGUCCAGACUCAUCAUGGCAUAAUAUUUUAACCUGAGCUAUAUUUUUUUCAGUCCGGCGAGGUCCCGCACCAAAUGAUCCUCAUCAGAGGAUUCGCUAAGCUCGGAUGCUAUAGAGAGCGGGACGCCCCCAAAGGCCCCUUCCCCCAAAUGUGUGCAUAACACCGAGGCUUCGUCCCAGAAGGACCCCGGCCAAGGAGGGGGGGAAGAGAUCGUGAAAGCAGCGCCUGGAGUUCAAACUUCGGGGGCCGGAGACAUGGGGGAGAAGAUUCCCAUGGGAGUCGACGGCGGGAGCCAUCUUGAAUUCGGCUCCCAGCCGGGCGCAAUUCCGGAGACCAAUACGGCUCGAAAAUCAAGCAGGCGGCCUCCCUCGGUUGGAGGGGGCGUGCCUGUUCCACCGGCAAUCUCUGUCCAGCCAGAGGUGCCGGAUGUUUUGUUGGCGGCGCUGAAGAGCGCCUCCAUCGUCGAUGAACACCGUGCCCUGAUGGGUGUGGUGAUUAAGGAGAUUCAGUCUGCUGAGAGUGGACUGAAUGAAGCUUGUAUCAGCCUUAUAAGAGGCUUUGAGGUAUGUUUUAUGAGGUUUCGAAGAGUGUCAUAGUAUGGAUAGUAGCCCCUGAUACACUGUUCGGUGCAAGAAAGGACCGAACAAAGGAUCAAUUUUAUGUUCGCAGGAAGACUCACUUGAUGACAUCUAUCUCUCUUCUUUUAUAAGCAGGUGUCUGCAGUGGCUGCUGCCUCUCAUGCUGCGGAGGUCUCCGGACUAAAUCAAAGUCUGGAGCGGGCCGAAGAAGAACUUGGCCAGUUGAAAAGCCAGUUGGAAGAUAAACAAGGUAUGCGCAAGCAGGGGCGGAAUUGGGCCUAUGGCAACUAGGGCUAUAGCCCCAGGCGUGGCCCAACUAGUGCUAUUAGAUCCAGAUGAAAAUUUUCAGAUUUUUAGAUUUUAAGAGGCCCAGCCCCAGGCGUGACCACCCAGCUCCAGGCCUCAGCCGCUCAGCCCAUGUACCUUCUGAGGCUCGCAGCCCAACUAGCUCUGCAUAUUUUGCUCCUAACAAAAGCUAUGCAUCGCCAAGCAGCAGGAAGCCAUGCCCACGUUUUGCCCUAAGGAAACGUUUUUGCUAACAAAACAACGCCCACGUUUUCCCCUAAAAAAACCUUUUUGCUAGAAAAACGACGCCCAGGUUUGAUCGUUGGUCUGUUGCGAUUCCAAAGGAAUCGAUCGCACGACGAUUCGAUCGAUCUGACAAAACAUAGUUGCCUUGUUCCGUGCGCCGCCUGAGGUGUUUCCCUUCCCCUCGAUGGCUCGACAGACCUGCGCAUGGCCUCGUCACUUCGUCGGAGCAGCCCCCUCCAAGUCCAACCUUCUGGUCUUUUCCAUCUCCACAACCGGCAACGUCUUGUUCUUCUCCGUUUCCACAACCGGCUAGACUGGUAUUUUCUACUUUGGUGUAUCGUCUAUCUUUUUGCUAGAUCCAAGAUGAUUAAAUUGUACUCGUAUUACUUUAGUCAAUUUUUGUUUCGGUAAUUUGUAAAAGCAAAAAUAGAUAGAAACCCAAGAUGAAUAGGAUACGUACGAUUGUUUUAAGCAACAUCCAGCCAGCCUUCAUCGAACAAUACCAACAUCAUCAUUGUUAAACUAUUUUGUUCUAUUAAAUUUCCUCUUGUGGUAAAAAUGAAUUCAUAUAUCAUUUUUAAAGUGAAGUUGUGAUUCCCGCCAGAAAAAACUGAAUUUGUGACGUACUUGUAACAUGCACUGGUUUGUGUGGUAUAGUUACUUAGUUUUAGUCCUAGGCUUUGAGAAAUCCUGGCUCCGCCUCUGUGCGCAAGCCUUGUUCGCAUUUGGUGCAAACAAAUUCUCAUUAUGAUAAAAUAUGUUUCAUUAUUUGCGCCAGGGGUGAUGACCGAAGUCGAGGCUUUGAGGAAGGCAGUUGCCGAGGCCGAGGAAAAGGCGGCCGCAGAGCAGGCUCUUCGUGAGAAGCACGAGGCCAGGGUUAUUGAAGCUGAGCAGGAGCUUCAAGAGUCCGUGAAGAAAUGCGAGACCUUGGAGCAGAGUUUAGCGGAGAAAGAAUCCGAACUCGCCAGGGCUCAUCAGGCCGCGCGCGAUGCCCAGGGGGAAACCCAAGGCGCCCUGCAGGAGAUCCAAGAGGCGAGGACGAUCACGGCGGGUAAGGCUUUUUUCCAUGUAAAGCAAGUAUUUGAGGAGAAAACCAUGUUUCUAAUUUUGAGUUCGGAUUUCUCCAGGGGUAUUUGCGGAACUACCCCGCAGCAUAUCGGAUGCCGCCCAAUUCUACCGAGCCAAAGAAGGGAACACUGCGGAUAAUCUCUUCUGGUCGCAGUAUUUAGCACCGAUUUAUCCGCUGCCUUUUGCCGACCAAAUGAAACAACUGAUCGAACUGCAUAGGGCGGCCGAACUAGCCAUGAAGGAUUUGAUUAUCCGGCUAUGGCCUGCCGAGCCGAUUCCAGGCAGCUACUUCGGGCUCGUGAAGCGGCUUGUGAGUGCCUGCCCUCGACUUGAUGUCAUCAAGCGGUCGGUCUAUAUAGAGGGUGCGCGAAUAGCCUUCACUCGCGCAAAUGUGCACUGGGGGAAGAUGGAUGCUGAAAAGCUGAUGACCGAGGGACCGCCAGAGGGGAAGGAGCACCGCAAGCCCGAAUUAUAUUAUGAAAGUGUCCUCAAAGGAUCAUGCCUAGCGGCGGAGCAAUGCACCAAGGACAUUAUAUUUCCAUGAAUACAAUCAUGUUGUCAUUUGUAAUGUCGAACAAGGUCAUUUCUAUUAUUUAUUGCCUGUUAUAUACAAGUUUAUCCUCCUACACGGCCGUUUUAUAUAUUAAUCCUGAGAGUUGGCCAGUGAUAUGUCUCCAACAUAUCUAUAAUUUUUUAUUGUUCCAUGCUAUAUUAUAUUCUGUUUUGUACAUUAUUGGGCUUUAUUAUACACUUCUAUAUUAUUUUUGGGACUAACCUAUUAACCGGAGGCCCAGCCCAGAAUUGCUGUUUUUUUGCCUAUUUUAGGGUUUCGCAGAAAAAGAAUAUCAAACGGAGUCCAGACUGAAUGAAACAUUCGAAAGCAUGAUUUUCGGAACGAACGUGAUCCAGAGGACUUGGACCCUACGUCAAGCAAUCAACGAGGAAGACACGAGGUAGGGGGGCGCGCCUACCCUCCCUCAGGCGCGCCCUCCACCCUCAUGGGCCCCCUAUUGCUCCACCGACAUACUCCUUCCUCCUAUAUAUACCUACGUACCCCCAAACUACCAGAUACGGAGCCAAAACGCUAAUUCCACCGCCGCAACUUUCUGUAUCCACGAGAUCCCAUCUUGGGGCCUUUUCCGGAGCUCCGCCGGAGGGGGCAUCGAUCACGGAGGGCUUGUACAUCAUCACCAUAGCCCCUCCGAUGAAGUGUGAGUAGUUCACCUCAGACCUACGGGUCCAUAGUUAUUAGCUAGAUGGCUUCUUCUCUCUUUUUGGAUCUCAAUACAAAGUUCUCCCCCUCUCUUUUGGAGAUCUAUUCGAUGUAAUCUUCUUUUGCGGUGUGUUUGUUGAGGCCGAUGAAUUGUGGGUUUAUGAUCAAGUUUAUCUAUGAACAAUAUUUGAAUCUUAUCUGAAUUCUUUCAUGUAUGAUUGGUUAUCUUUGCAAGUCUCUUCGAAUUAUCAGUUUGGUUUGGCCUACUAGAUUGAUCUUUCUUGCAAUGGGAGAAGUGCUUAGCUUCGGGUUCAAUCUUGCGGUGUCCUUUCCCAGUGACAGUAGGGGCAGCAAGGCACGUAUUGUAUUGUUGCCAUCGAGGAUAACAAGAUGGGUUUUAUAUCAUAUUGCAUGAGUUUAUCCCUCUACAUCAUGUCAUCUUGCUUAAAGCGUUACUCUGUUCUCUUGAAUUUAAUACUCUAGAUGCAUGCUGGAUAGCGGUCGAUGUGUGGAGUAAUAGUAGUAGAUGCAGGCAGGAGUCGGUCUACUUGUCUCGGAUGUGAUGCCUAUAUACAUGAUCAUACCUAUAUAUUCUCAUAACUAUGCUCAAUUCUGUCAAUUGCUCAACAGUAAUUUGUUUAUCCACCGUGAAUACUUAUGCUCUUGAGAGAAGCCACUUGUGAGACCUAUGGCCCCCGGGUCUAUUUUCCAUCAUAUUAAUCUUCCAACACUUAGUUAUAUUUAUUUCCUUUUAUUUUACUUUGCAUCUUUUAUUUCUCUUUAUCAUAAAAUACCAAAAAUAUUAUCUUAUCAUAUCUAUCAGAUCUCACUCUCGUAAGUGACCGUGUAGGGAUUGAAAACCCUUUAUCGCGUUGGUUGCGAGGAUUUAUUUGUUUGUGUAGGUGCGACGGACUCGUGUGUGGCCUGCUACUGGAUUGAUACCUUGGUUCUCAAAAACUGAGGGAAAUAGUUACGCUACUUUGCUGCAUCACUCUUUCCUCUUCAAGGGAAAACCAACGCAAGUGCUCAAGAGGUAGCAGCCAGUCGUCGGCUUCUGCCCCCACGUAGGAAGUACGGGGGUGUUCGGGAUAAACCACGUAAGGCAGCAAAACAUGGGAGUCGGGCAAACCCAACAUUUGACCCAAGACAUGAUUCGGAGCUGAUGCAUGUAAUGCUAUAAGUUCGGGGUGCCGAACUUCCAUGAAGGCGUUCGAACUUUAUUGCCGUAUUAUGGCUAAAACGAAGCCCUUGGCCUAUUUAAAGCAUAUCACGGUGUACGGAUGCCACUUGACAAAAGAAUUUCAAUAAGAAAUAACAACAGAUAAGCGUUAUAUAAACCCACAUGUUGUAUUUGAAUAGUAAGUCGAUGUGUGUGAGUACGGGUAAUGUGAUAAAAAAAGAAAUAUGACUGUGGAACCUGCUGAGACCAGGGGGAAGAAGGUGUGUGCGGAUCCGGAGUAUAGUCGGAUGGUCAUCGCGGGGAAUAUCUAAGGAUUCCCUUGCGCGUUCGAGCUGCUUCCAUAUCGCCAGUCCUGGUCUGCGCAAAGUUGAACCUACAAACAAAAUGUAAGAAAUGCUUGUGUGCCGCAGAGCGGUUGAGCCGCGGUAUGUGGCCUGUCGUGGCUUUCGCCGGAGUGUUUAAUUGAGCUCUGGACGAGCCGGGCUAUCUUGCCGCGAAGUAGUUCGAAGUCCUUUGGCGGUGUCCGGGAAUCGGGUCGUCGAGUCGAGGUUCGGUUGGGAGGUGCCACUUGUAGCUUCUGUUGUUAAAGCAGCAGUAUACUCUUUGGUGUCGUGGGGAAGUUCGGCCUUGCCAUUAACCGUGAUGACGCCUAAUGUCUACUACACAACCUUCUUCUUGUAGACGUUGUUGGGCCUCCAAGUGCAGAGGUUUGUAGGACAGUAGCGAAUUUCCCUCAAAUGGAUUACCUAAGGUUUAUCAAUCCGUAGGAGGCGUAGGAUGAAGAUGGUCUCUCUCAAGCAACCCUGCAACCAAAUAACAAAGAGUCUCUUGUGUCCCCAACACACCCAAUACAAUGGUAAAUUGUAUAGGUGCACUAGUUCGGCGAAGAGAUGGUGAUACAAGUGGUAUAUGGAUGGUAGAUAAAGGUUUUUGUAAUAUGAAAAUAUAAAAACAGCAAGGUAACUAAUGAUAGAAGUGAGUGUAAAUGGUAUUGCAAUGCUAGGAAACAAGGCCUAGGGUUCAUACUUUCACUAGUGCAAGCUCCCUCAACAAUAAUAACAUAAUUGGAUCACAUAAUUAUCCCUCAACAUGCAACAAAGAGUCACUCCAAAGUCACUAAUAGCGGAGAACGAACGAAGAGAUUAUGGUAGGGUACGAAACCACCUCAAAGUUAUUCUUUCCAAUCAAUCCGUUGGGCUAUUCCUAUAAGUGUCACAAACAGCCCUAGAGUUCGUACUAGAAAAACACCUUCAGACACAAAUCAACCAAAACCCUAAUGUCACCUAGAUACUCCAAUGUCACCUCAAGUAUCCGUGGGUAUGAUUAUAUGAUAUGCAUCACACAAUCUUAGAUUCAUCUAUUCAACCAACACAUAGAACCUCAAAGAGUGCCCUAAAGUUUCUACCGGAGAAUCAUGACGAAAACGUGUGCCAACCCCUAUGCAUAGGUUCAUGGGCGGAACCCGCAAGUUGAUCACCAAAACAUACAUCAAGUGAAUCACGUGGUAUCCCAUUGUCACCACAGAUACGCACGACAAGACAUACAUCAAGUGUUCUCAAAUCUUUAAAGACUCAAUCCGAUAAGAUAACUUCAUAGGGAAAACUCAAUCCAUUACAAGAGAUUAGGGGGGCAGAAAACAUCAUAAGAUGCAACUAUAAUAGCAAAGCUCGCUGAGGGAGUCCUGGAUUAGGGAUUCUCCGGAUAGCCGGACUAUAUCCUUUGGCCGGACUGUUGGACUAUGAAGAUACAAGAUUGAAGACUUCGUCCCGUGUCCGGAUGGGACUCUACUUGGCGUGGAAGGCAAGCUAGGCAAUAUGGAUAUGUAUAUAUCCUCCUUUGUAACCGACCUUGUGUAACCCUAGCCCCCUCCGGUGUCUAUGUAAACCGUAGGGUUUUAGUCCGUAGGACAACAUACAAUCAUACCAUAGGCUAGCUUCUAGGGCUUAGCCUCUUUGAUCUCGUGGUAGAUCAACUCUUGUAAUACUCAUAUCAUCAAGAACAAUCAAGCAGGACGUAGGGUAUUACCUCCAUCAAGAGGGCCCGAACCUGGGUAAACAUCGUGUCCCUGCCUCCUGUUACCAUCCGCCUUAGACGCAUAGUUCGGGACCCCCUACCGGAGAUCCGCCGGUUUUGAAACUGACAUUGGUGCUUUCAUUGAGAAUUCCACUGUGCCGUCACCAUAAGGCUUGAUGGCUCCUUCAAUCAUCGCUAGCGAUGCGGUCCAGGGUGAGGCUUUCCUCCCCAGACAGAUCUCCAUAUUCGGCGGCUUUGCACUGCGGGCCAAUUCGUUUGGCCGUCUAGAGCAGAUCGAGAGCUACGCCCCUAGCCAUCAGGUCAAAUUUGGAAACUUGAGCUACACGCCGACAUCCGCGGAGACUUGAUCUUCGGCGGAUUCGAGCCCAGGUCGGACGCGCCGCACAGUCGCGAUGAGCAUGACGUAACUCUGUCAUCGGACAAUGUUCGGGAGAUCGCAUCCGCAACUACUCCGUCCAUCAAUCCGGAGCAAGUCGCACCAUCCGAGAGCGGAGGGAUGGACCCCGCCAUGGAGGCCGCACUGUCAGUGGCGAUAGAGCCGGAUACUGACUUCACCCCUUACGAGAGCCGUGUCGCCGAACCACUGGAUUCAUCUCCGGCCACGGACUCCGAGCCGCUCACAUCCAUGCCCGUCUAUUCCGACUGGGCACCGAUCAUGGAGUUCACCUCCGCGGAUAUCUUUCAGCACUCACCUUUAGGAGAUGGGCUAAAUUCAUUAAGGUCUCUCUCCCUAUCAGGAGAACCUUGGCCGAACUAUGUCCGGCUAGAAUGGGAUGCGGACGACGAAGAAAUUCGCUGCCCACCCACCACCCACUGAGUAGCCACGGUCGACGACUUAACCGACAUGCUCGACUUCGACUCCGAAGACUUCGACGGUAUGGACGACGAAGCUGGAGACGAAUAGGAACCACCGCCCUCAGGGCGCUGGACCGCCACCUCAUCAUAUGAUAUAUACAUGGUGGACACCCCCAAAGAAGGCAAUGGCGAUGAGACAACGGAGGAUGACCCCUCCAUGAAGCAACCCAAGCGCCGACGUCAGCGGCACCGCUCUAAGUCCUGCCACAACAAGAGUAGUGGUACCGGCACAGGAGAUAAUAACACUCUGGAUAGCACCGAAGACAACAAUUCCCUCCAGCACGGUGUAGAGCUAGAGGACGAACAAGCUAGCCCUCCAGAGCAGGCAGCAGAUGCAGAACCGGAGGAGGACAAUUACAUGCCUCUCUCCGAAGACGAGGCGAGCCUCGGCGACGACGAGUUUAUCGUGCCUGAGGACCCCGUCGAGCAAGAGCGCUUCAAGCGUUGGCUUAUGGCCACGGCAAGUAGCCUGAAGAAAAAACAGCAACAACUUCAAGCUGAUCAAGACUUGCUAGCAGACAGGUGGACCGAAGUCCUUGCGGCCAAGGAGCAUCAACUCGAGCACCCGUCCAAAAGUUACCCAAAACGCAGGUUGCUACCUCACCUCGAGGACGAAGCAUUGAAACCUCAUUCACCAGUGUACGAUGUGGUUGACCGACCACUACGCGGCCGAGCCACAGAGGCUUUUCAGCCUAAAGUUCAGACCGCACCCCGUCGCCACUCAGUCAAACAUACUAAGGCCCGGGGCAACACAGAGGACCCGCGAGACAUCUUGGACAGUAAGGAAAAAAUCGCAAGGUCAAUAUACGGAACACGGGCACGUGCGCCCACACGGGACGAUGAUCGUUGCGUCGGAUACACCAAGAGUAAAUCCGGCCGGGCCGAAUACAACAGACAAGACUCAUACGAACUAUGUUGGGAUAUAGCCCGGCACAGAGGUGCCGCACACCCCCUAUGCUUCACUGAUUAAGUUAUGAAUCAUGAAUUCCCGGAGGGUUUCAAACCCAUAAAUAUCGAAUCGUACGACGGCACAACAGAUCCCGCUGUAUGGAUUGAGGAUUUCCUCCUUCACAUCCACAUGGCUCCGGUGAUGAUCUGCAUGCCAUCAAGUACUUCCUACUAAAACUCAAAGGACCAGCUCGGCAUUGGCUGAAUAGCUUGCCAGCAGAUUCCAUCGGCAGUUGGGAGGAUCUGGAAGACGCAUUUCUUGACAACUUCCAGGGCACUUAUGUGUGGCCACCGGAUGCUGAUGACUUGAGCCACAUAACCUAGCAGCCAGGGGAAUCGGCCAGACAAUUCUGGACACGGUUACUGACUAAGAAAAAUCAAUUUGUAGAUUGUCCGGAUGUAGAGACCCUAGCGGCAUUCAAGCAUAACAUCCGCGAUGAGUGGCUCACCCGCCACCUUGGCCAAGAGAAGCCGAAAUCUAUGACAGCCCUCACGACACUGAUGACUCGCUUUUGCGCGGGCGAGGACAACUGGUUGGCUAGCAGCAAAAACACAUCGAGGAAUCCGGAUACCUCAGAUACCAAAGAUGUUAACGGUAGGCAGCGUUGUAACAGACCAAAGCGCCGCAAUAACGGCGAUAACACCAAAGAUACGACAGUCAAUGCCGGAUUCAGAGGCUCUAGAUCCGGUCAGCAGAAAAAGCCAUUUAAAAGAAAUACUCCGGCUCGGUCCAGUCUGGAUCACAUACUGGAUCGCUCGUGUCAAAUCCACGGCACCCCGACAAGCCAGCCAAUCUCACCAACAGAGAAUGCUGGGUGUUCAAGCAGGCCUGUAAGUUAAAUGCCGAGAGCAAGGACAAGGGGCUGCAUAGCGAUGACGAGGAGGAGCCCCGGCCGCCGAACACAGGAGGACAGAAGGGUUUUCCCCCACAAGUGAAGACGGUGAACAUGAUAUACGCAACCCACAUCCCCAAGAGGGAGAGGAAGCAUGCACUAAGGGACGUCUAUGCGAUGGAGCUCGUCGCCCUGAAGUUCAACCCAUGGUCUGCUUGUCCGCUCACCUUCGAUCACAGGGACCACCCGACUAGCAUCCAUCAUGGCGAAUCUGCCGCACUGGUCCUAGACCCCAUCAUUGAUGGAUUUCACCUCACUCGAGUCCUUAUGGAUGGCGGCAACAUGCUGAAUCUGCUUUAUCAGGAUACAGUGCGAAAAAUGGGUAUCGAUCCCUCGAGGAUCAAACCCAGCAAAACCACCUUUAAAGGCGUCAUCCCAGGUGUAGAGGCCCAUUGCACAGGCUCAAUCACACUGGAAGUGGUCUUUGGAUCACCGGAUAACUUCCGAAGCGAAGAGUUAAUCUUCGACAUCGUCCCGCUUCGCAGUGGCUAUCAUGCACUGCUCGGACGGACAACAUUUGCAAAUUCAAUGAAGUGCCGCAUUACGCGUACCUCAAGCUCAAGAUGCCAAGACCUCGCGGGGUCAUAACAGUAAAUGGAAACACAGAACGCUCGCUUCGUACAGAAGAGCACACUGCGGCCCUUACAGUAGAGGCACAAAGCAGCCUGUUCAGGCAGACCACUCAUUCGGCGUCACAACCCCCGGACACCUUCAAACGAGUCCGGAACAAGUUGCAACAGGAUCGCCUAGCACGAUCAGAGAUCGCCUAGCAAUCUGGUCCCCAUCCCAGUCCCAGUGAAGCGACAAAAUCCGUGUGGCGCGUACAUAACUACGCAUUGAAAAUACCAUGGACAUAGGCGGGGGCAGAAUCAGAAUACGCCCCGCAUUGUGGCUUAACCACACUAGGGGUUGUAUACCUUUGACAUUCCGCUGACUCUUUGGAAGCCCUUUCCGGCAGUAUGAUUGCCGGACACAUUCCAGAAGCAACAACCAAGGCGGCAAGAAGCUAAGAUGAACACGGGAACCGCCAGGUGGUCUCUAGUAAUACUUGAUAUACCCGCUUUUCACUAUUUAUGCGUAGCUUUCCCUGGGAUAGGACAUUUCGAAUUGUCCUACUUCAUGCUUAUUGCACUACUUGUACCAGUAUGCUUCGACGUAUUAUUCAAAUAACAAUGCAUAUCAUUAAUCUGUCAUUGCAUUCUUUCAGUUUUUCUCUUUCUCUUAUAUGUCCAUUUACGACAAUCCGCACCCGCAUGUUCGGGUAUGGUCAGUACGCCAGGGGCUCUCGUUUACCCCACAAUACGAUGCAAGAAGUCUGAACACUUUCUACAGUGCGGCACCCCGAACUUCUAGCAUUAUAUGCAUCAGCUCCGAAUCAUGUCUUUGGUCAAAUGUUGGGUCGCCCGGCUCCUAUGCUUUGGUACCUUACGUUCUGCUAUAUCGGCUAAGGUAGCGGUGGGAGAACUACUGCGAUUGUGUCCCGGUUCUUCUGGACGAGCACCUCUGUACAGAAAGCCAAAAACUGACUGUCAUGAUAAGGCGAGAGACUGGUCGCUGUUCGAGAGGUCUCAAGUCCUUAAAGACUUUUUCCGCUUCGGGCGAGGAGUCGGCCUUGUCCGGCUUAGGCAUGUAUAGCGCCCCAAAUUCGGCCCUCCGAAUACCAGGGGCUUCGCCAAAAUUUAAAAUCAUAGACUUCUAUGGCUAAGUGAGAGUGAUAAAGCAUUAUAGUCCGAUUGCCUGGUUCGUUGCGCUGAACACCUCCCUUGAAGGACCCAAAAUUUGGGUAAAGAGUGUUCAGAUUUACCCCGAACACCCCAGUACUAGUUACAUGGGGGUAGAAGCCGAUGACUGGCCAACUCUCAGAUUUUAUAAACAGCCGCAUAGAAGGUAAUAUUUUAAAUUAAGAAAGCGUCGCAUGGCGCAAAAAAACUCGUUUCAUAUUACAGGAUCACAUGGGCAUGUUCAUUCAAAAAUUACAUCCUUGGCACACUCAUCUGCCACUCAGCAGGAACCCUUCAGGACACUUUCAUAGUAAUUCUCGGGGCGGCGAUGCUCCUUGCCCUCCGGCGGCCCCUCCUUCACCAGCUUCACGGCGUCCAGCUUCGCCUAGUGCACCUUCGCCCGGGCAAAAGCCCUGCGUGCACCCUCGAUGCAGACGGACCGCUUGAUGACUUCAAGCCAUGGGCAGGCUUCCACAAACUGCCUCACCAGACUGAAGUAGCUGCCGGACAGGGGCUCGCCAGGCCACAUCCGGACUAUAAGGCCCCUCAUGGCCUGUUCGGCCACCUUGUGAAGCUCGACAACUGCUUCAGCUGGUCCCUCAAGGGCACAGGGUGUUCGGUCCCAGUAUACUGAGACCAGAACAACUUCUCCAUUGAGCUCCCCUCCGCAACCCGGUAAAACUCCACGGCAUCCAGUGCACUACGAGGAAGAUCUGCAAACGCUCCUGGAGAGCUCCGAACUCGGGUAAGAAAAAGGAAAGUCUCCUUCACGUGCUUGCUUUGCAUAAAGAAUGCCUUACCCUCUGCUAUCUUCUUCACCGCGUCAAUCUCUUGGAGGGCCUUGUGGGCUUCGGCCUUGGAGCUCCGGACGCUUUCAAGCGCCUGCGCGAGCUCGGACUCACGCGUCUUGGAGUCAAGCUCCAAGGACUCGUGCUUUUUAACGAGAGCCUCGAGCUCUUGAUGCACCUCGCCUUCUCGGGCUUCUUGUAUCUCCCAUUCCAUGCGUUCUUUGGACGCUUUGUCUUCGGCCUCGGACAAUGCCAUCCUCAGGGUCUCCACCUCGUUCGUGGCCCAUGACAAAUUCAUGAUGAUCCUAUUACUUUACACCCGAACUUCCUUUUAACUAUAUAGACAGGGGUAUAUCUUACCUUUGCUCUCUUCAAGCUGCCACUUGGUAAGGCCGAGCUCAUCCUCGGACCGCUUCAGGGCCUGCUUCAGCGCAGAGACCUCCGCAGUACAUGCGGCAGCGACCAACAGUGAAGCCUGCACAUACACAUAGACAUACUCUAAUUAGACUCCUGAGUUAUCAUUUGAUCCUCUAUUCGGCUUUUCAUCGCGAACACCGAACAGAGCAUCAGGGGCUACUAUCUAUGCGGUAAUAUUUUCUUAUAUUUUGAUUGCUUACCUCAAAGCCUGUUAGGAGGCUGGCGCAAGCUUUGGUCAGUCUGUUUUUGGCGGACCGAACCUUCUCAACCACUGCACUCAUAAUAGUGCAGUGCUCUUCAUCAAUGGAAGCGUUGUGAAGCGCUUCCAGCAAGUUGUCCGGUGCCUCUGGUUGUACAAAGGACACCGACACAGAUGGUUGGCCCCCCUUAAUGGGGGACUGCCUGCCAGAGUCUAGAACCAUCGAAGGUUCUGGCGCAGUGUCCGGCUGGGGCCCGAACUCGAAGCCCGUAGGAGCCUCGCUCCCUUGGUACCCAGGGUCCGGGAGGUCGCCGUGAGGCGCCCCCAAGAUCACCUCCCCUUGGCUCGGUGCCUUUUGAGACAACACCUCGGCGUUGUCCGUAGGGCGAGGGGUGGAAGCGGUCGGAGGAGAACCGUUGUUCAUAUCCGACGAGUCCAAAGAGCCGCUCGACGAAGGUACGUCGAGAUGAGCUCAGGACGGACUGCAUAAUCAUGUUCGGCAUGAGAAAAGCCAAUACAAUAAAACAUUCCAUGAAGUACUAUGGUGUCCGGACACUUACGACUUCGCCGGGGGCUUGUCCCUGGGUAGCCACUCGUCGCCAUUGUCGGCGGCCGUCGUGGCACAUUCCGGAGGGAGGUUCUUUCCCUUCUUGGACCCGUCGGCCUCCCUGGAUGGGUCGGCCUUCCUUUUCUUGUCUCUCCCGGCUGGGGGGGAGAACUUUUCUCCUCCUAUUCAUUUCCGUGGGAGGAGUGCGCGUUGGAGUCAUCGGACGAUGAGUCCGAUAUAACCUUGCGCCGGAGACCCUUUCGGGUCCCCGUGGCCUUCUUCUUGGCCUUCUUUUCCGGCACCUCGUAAGGUGCCGGAGUCAGCAUCUUCGUUAGAAGAGCAUCUGCAGGAUCUUCGGGCAGGGGGGCUGGGCAAUCAAGCUGCUCUGCUGUCUCUAUCCAGUCCUGUUAAUGACAUGAAAUCUUAGAUCCAGCACACAACUAAACCAGGGCAAAUAAAUACCCUGAGAGAUAUAAAAGCCUACCAGACGGGCGCGGCGCUUUGCACUAAGUCCGCGGUCCUCGGUGAAGGAGGGAAGCAUCUCGGCGCUCUUGAACAACACCCUCCAGACGUCCUCGUGCAUCGUGUCGUAGAGCUCUCACAGCAUCUGGUGCUUGGCCGAGUCGAACUCCCACAAAAAAGUGCCCGUCGUUGACACGGAAGGAUCCGGCGGAAGAGCAUAACCUGGACCACGUUGACGAGCUUGAUUUUCUUGUUUGUCAUGUUCUGGAUGCAGGUCUGGAGUUCGGUCAGCUGUACCGAAGAACCCCAGGAUUGGCCCUUCUUUUUCCAGGAGGUGAGCCGUGUGGGGAUUCCGGAUCGAAAUUUGGGGGCCGCCACCCAGUUGGAGUCGCGCGGCUCGGUGAUGUAGAACCACCCCGAUUGCCACCCCUUUAUGGUGUCCACAUAGGUGCCCUCGAGCCAGGUGACAUUAGGCAUCUUGCCCACCAUGGCGCCUCCGCACUCUGCUUGCUGGCCACCCACCACCUUCGGUUUGACAUUGAAGGUUUUCAGCCAUAGGCCGAAGUGGGGCCUGAUGCGGAGGAAGGUCUCACACACGACGAUAAACACCGAGAUGUUGAGGAUGAAAUUGGGGGCCAGAUCAUGAAAAUCCAGCCCAUAGUAGAACAUGAGCCCGCAGACAAAUGGGUGGAGAGGAAAUCCCAGUCCGCGAAUGAAAUGGGUAGGAAAAACUACCCUCUCAUGGGGUUUGGGCGUGGGGACGAUCUGGCCCGCAUUUGGCAGCCGGUGCGCGAUAUCCGCGGCCAAGUAUCCGGCUUCCCGUAACUUUUUGAUGUUCUCCUCCGUGACGGAGGAGACCAUCCACUUGCCUCGUGCUCCGGACAUGCUUGGAGCGGUUUGAGAAGAAGAACGCGAGCUUGGGUGCUAGAUCUCGAGUGUGCGGGAAUGGGUAAGCGAGAAGGAAGAAGGCGUGUGUGAAAAAAGUAAAUCUUUGUCCCUUUAUAAGGGCGGAGGAGGCGAUGUGUCUCCCACUUGCCUGGCAAAACUGCUUAUUCCCCAGGUGCCAUAAUUGAUGGCGUGGUUGGGUUACCCACGUCCGUAUUGAUGAGAAUCCCGUGAUAAAGGGAACAUGAUCUCUGCUUUGACAAGACGUGUCAAGAAAAUCGCAUCAUGAUAUGUGCGGAGCUGGUUAAGAAAAGCAGUUCGAAUAAAAACCGGGUCGUGACGUGAUGUCAUGCUAUCAAAACAUGUCAGCAGAUUAGAUUUGUGGAAAUAUUAUUCUCUCUACGGUGGUAUGUGGAACUUAUUUUGCAGGGCCGGACACUAUCCUUGUAUUCAAACUCUUCCAUGGUGUAUUCGGAGGAGGAACCCACCUUGCAAUGCCGAAGACAACACUGCGCGCCGGACUCAUCGUCAUUGAAGCCUGGUUCAGGGGCUACUGAGGGAGUCCUGGAUUAGGGGGUCUACGGACAGCCGGACUAUAUCCUUUGGCCGAACUGUUGGACUAUGAAGAUACAAGAUUGAAGACUUCGUCCCAUGUCCGGAUGGGACUCUACUUGGCGUGGAAGGCAAGCUAGGCAAUACGGAUAUGUAUAUCUCCUCCUUUGUAACAGACCUUGUGUAACCCUAGCCUCCUCCGGUGUCUAUAUAAACUGGAGGGUUUUAGUCCGUAGGACAACAUACAAUCAUACCAUAGGCUAGCUUCUAGGGUUUAGCCUCUUUGAUCUCGUGGUAGAUCAACUCUUGUAAUACUCAUAUCAUCAAGAACAAUCAAGCAGGACGUAGGGUAUUACCUCCAUCAAGAGGGACCAAACCUGGGUAAACAUCGUGUCCCCUGCCUCCUGUUACCAUCCGCCUUAGACGCACAGUUCGGGACCCCCUACCCGAGAUCCUCCGGUUUUGACACCGACACUCGCGAUACAUCAAGAUCGUACCACCUCAAGAACACGAGAGAGAGAGAGAUCAAACACAUAGCUACUGGUACAUACCCUCAGCCUCGAGGGAGAACUACUCCCUCCUCGUCAUGGAGAGCACCGGGAUGAUGAAGAUGACCACCAGAGAGGGAUUCCCCCUCUGGCAGGGUGCCGGAACAGGUCUAGAUUGGCUUUCGGUGGCUACAGAGGCUUCUGGCGGCGGAACUCCCGAUCUAUUGUGCUCCCCGGUCGUUUUAGGGUAUAUGGGUAUAUAUAGGAGGAAGAAGUACGUCAGGGGAGCCACGAGGGUGGAGGGCGCCCCCAGGGGGUGGGCGCACCCCCUACCUUGUGGCUUCCUCGAAGCUUCCUUGAUGUGGACUCCAAGUCUCCCGGGUUGCUUUCCUUCCAAAAAUAAGUUCCGUGAAGUUUCAGGUCAAUUCGACUCCAUUUGAUUUUCCUUUUCUGCGAUACUCUAAAACAAAGAAAAAAAUAGAAAUUGGCACUGGGCUCUGGGUUAAUAGGUUAGUCCCAAAAAAUCAUAUAAAAUGGCAUAUAAAUGCAUAUAAAACAUCCAAGGUUGAUAAUAUAAUAGCAUGGAACAAUCAAAAAUUAUAGAUACGUUGGAGACGUAUCAGCAUCCCCAAGCUUAAUUCCUGCUCGUCCUCGGGUAGGUAAAUGAUAAAAACAGAAUUUUUGAUGUGGAAUGCUACCUAACAUAUUCAUCAUGUAUUUCUCUUUAUUGUAGCAAGAAUAUUCAGAUCCAUAAGAUUCAAGACAAAAGUUUAUAUUGACAUAAAAAUAAUAAUACUUCAAGCAUACUAACUAAGCAAUCAUGUCUUCUCAAAAUAACAUGGCCAAAGAAAGUUCAUCCCUACGAAAUCAUAUAGUUUGGUCAUGCUCCAUUUUCGUCACACAAGAAUGCUCUCAUCAUGCACAACCCGGAUGACAAGCCAAGUAAUUGUUUCAUAUUUUAGUAAUCUCAAACUUUAUAAACCUUCAUGCAAUACAUGAGCGCGAGCCAUGGAUAUAGCACUAUGGGUGGAAUAGAAUAUGAUGAUGGGGAUUAUGUGGAGAAGACAAAAAAGGAGAAAGUCUCACAUCAACGAGGCUAAUCAAUGGGCUAUGGAGAUGCCCAUCGAUUGAUGUUAAUGCAAGGAGUAGGGAUUGCCAUGCAACGGAUGCACUAGAGCUAUAAAUGUAUGAAAGCUCAACAAAAGAAACUAAGUGGGUGUGCAUCCAACUUGCUUGCUCACGAAGACCUAGGGCACUUGAGGAGGCCCAUUGUUGGAAUAUACAAGCCAAGUUCUAUAAUGAAAAUUUCCCACUAGUAUAUGAAAGUGACAAAACAAGAUACUCUCUAUCAUCAAGAUCAUGGUGCUACUUUGAAGCACAAGUGUGGAAAAAAGGAUAGUAGCAUUGUCCCUUUUAUUUUUUUAUUUUUUAUUAUUUGGCCUUUUUUAUUUUUUAAUAUUUGGCCUUUCUUUUUUCCCCUAUUUUUGGGACAAUGCUCUAUUAAUGAUGAUCAUCACACUUCUAUUUAUUUACAACUCGAUACUAGAACAAAGUAUGACUAAAUAUGAAUGCCUCCGGUGGUUGAUAUGUCUCCAACGUAUCUAUAAUUUUUGAUUGCUCCAUGCUAUAUUAUCUACUGUUUUGGACAUCACUGGGCUUUAUUAUCCACUUUUAUAUUAUUUUUGGGACUAACCUACUAACCGGAGGCCCAACCCAGAAUUGCUGUUUUUUUGCCUAUUUUAGGGUUUCGAAGAAAAGGAAUAUCAAACGGAGUCCAAACGGAAUGAAAGCUUCGGGAACAUGAUUUUCUCAACGAACAAGACCCAGGAGACUUGGACCCUACGUCAAGACACAAAAGAGGAGGCCACGAGGUAGGGGGCGCGCCUACGCCCCCCCCCCCCAGGCGCGCCCUCCACCCUCGUGGGCCCCCUGUUGCUCCACCGAUGUACUCCUUCCUCCUAUAUAUACCAACGUACCCCCAAAUGAUCAGAUACGGAGCCAAAACCCUAAUUCCACCACCGUAACUUUCUGUAUCCACGAGAUCACAUCUUGGGGCCUGUUCCGGAGCUCCACCGGAGGGGGCAUCGAUCACGGAGGGCUUGUACAUCAUCACCAUAGCCCCUCCGAUAAAGUGGAAGUAGUUCACCUCAGACCUACGGGUCCAUAGUUAUUAGCUAGAUGGCUUCUUCUCUUUUUUUUUGGAUCUCAAUACAAUGUUCUCCCCCUCUCUUGUGGAGAACUAUUCGAUGUAAUCUUCUUUUUGUGGUGUGUUUGUUGAGAUUGAUGAUUGUGGGUUUAUGAUCAAGUCUAUCUAUGAACAAUAUUUGAAUCUUCUCUGAAUUCUUUUAUGUAUGAUUGGUUAUCUUUGCAAGUCUCUUUGAAUUAUCAGUUUGGUUUGGCCUACUAGAUUGAUCUUUCUUGCAAUGGGAGAAGUGCUUAGCUUUGGGUUCAAUCUUGCGGUGUCCUUUCCCAGUGACAGUAGGGGCAGCAAGGCACGUAUUGUAUUGUUUCCAUCGAGGAUAACAAGAUGGGGUUUUCAUCAUAUUGCAUGAUUUUAUCCCUCUACAUCAUGUCAUCUUGCUUAAGGCGUUACUCUGUUUUCAUUAACUUAAUACUCUAGAUGCAUGUUGGAUAGCGGUCGAUGAGUGGAGUAAUAGUAGUAGAUGCAGGCAGGAGUCGGUCUACCUGUCUCGGACGUGAUGCCUAUACACAUGAUUGUGCCUAGAUAUUCUCAUAACUAUGCUCAAUUCUGUCAAUUGCUCAAUAGUAAUUUGUUCACCCACCGUAGAAUACUUAUGCUCUUGAGAGAAGCCACUAGUGAAACCUAUGGCCCCCGGGUCUAUCAUCAUCAUAUUAAUCUUCCAACACUUAGUUAUUUACUUUGCCUUUUUACUUUUCUUUUAUUUUACUUUGCAUCUUUAUCAUAAAAAUACCAAAAAUAUUAUCUUAUCAUAUCUAUCAGAUCUCACUCUCGUAAGUGGCCGUGUAGCGAUUGACAACCCCUUAUCGCGUUGGUUACGAGGAUUUAUUUGUUUUGUGCAGGUACAAGGGACUCGCGCGUAGCCUCCUACUGGAUUGAUACCUUGGUUCUCAAAAACUAAGGCAAAUACUUACGCUACUCUGCUGCAUCACCCUUCCUCUUCGGGGAAAAACCAACGCAGUGCUCAAGAGGUAUCAAGAAGGAUUUCUGGCGUCGUUGCCGGGGAGUCUACGCAAAAGUCAAUAUACCAAGUACCCAUCACAAUCCCUAUCUCCCGCAUUACAUUAUUUGCCAUUUGCCUCUCGUUUUCCUCUCCCCCACUUCACCCUUUCCAUUUUAUUCGCCUCUCUCUCUAUCCUACCUCUCUUUUUCCGUUCACUUUUUUUCCGCUUGCUUUUUGUUUGCUUGUGUGUUGGGUUGCUUGCUUGUCGCGAUGGCUCAAGAUAACACUAAAUUGUGUGACUUUACCAAUACCAACAACAAUGAUUUUAUUAGCACUCCGAUAUUUCAUCUUACCGAUGCUGAAUCUUGUGAAAUUAAUACUGCUUUGCUAAAUCUUGUCAUGAAAAAUCCGUUUUCCGGCCUUCCUAGUGAAGAUGCCGCUACCAAUCUAAACAGCUUCGUUGAUUUGUGUGAUAUGCAAAAGAAGAAAGAUGUGGAUAACGAUAUUGUUAAAUUGAAGCUAUUUCCUUUUUCGCUUAGAGAUCGUGCUAAAGCUUGGAUUUCGUCUUUGCCUAAGAAUAGUAUUGAUUCAUGGAAUAAGUGCAAAGAUGCUUUUAUCUCUAAGUAUUUUCCUCCCGCUAAGAUCAUCUCCCUUAGAAACGAUAUUAUGAAUUUUAAGCAACUUGAUCAUGAAUAUAUUUCACAAGCUUGGGAGAGGAUGAAAUUAAUGACACAUAAUUGCCCUACUCAUGGUUUGAAUUUGUGGAUGAUUAUACAAAAAUUUUAUGCCAGAUUGAAUUUUGCUUCUAGAAAUCUUUUAGAUUCGGCCGCGGCAGGGACUUUUAUGGAAAUCACUUUAGGAGAAGCUACUAAACUCCUAGACAAUAUUAUGGUUAACUAUUCUCAAUGGCAUACUGAAAGAUCUACUAAUAAAAAGGUGCAUGCAAUAGACGAAAUUAAUGUUUUGAGUGGAAAGAUGGAUGAACUUAUGAAAUUAUUUGCUAGUAAAAGUGUUUCUUCUGAUCCUAAUGAUAUGCCCUUGUCUACUUGAUUGAGAAUAAUAAUGAAUCUAUGGAUGUGAAUUUUGUUGGUAGGAACAAUUUUGGUAACAACGCGUAUAGAGGAAAUUUUAAUCCUAGGCCUUAUCCUAGUAACCCCUCCAAUAAUUAUGGUAAUUCCUACAACAAUUCUUAUGGAAAUUAUAAUAAGACGCCCUCUGAUUUUGAAUCUAAUAUUAAAGAAUUUAUUACUUCGCAAAAGAAUUUCAAUGCUUUGAUUGAAGAAAAAUUGCUUAAGAUUGAUGAGUUGGCUAUGAACGUUGAUAGAAUUUCUCUUGAUGUUGAUUCUUUGAAACUUAGAUCUAUUCCACCAAAGCAUGAUAUCAAUGAGUCUCUCAAAGCCAUGAGAAUUUCCAUUGAUGAGUGCAAAGAAAGAACCGCUAGAAUGCGUGCUAAGAAAGAUGCCUUUAUAAGAGCGUGUUCUUCUAGUUCCGAUGAAAAUAAAGAUGAAGAUCUCAAAGUUAUUGAUGUGUCCCCUAUUAAAUCUUUGUUUUGCAAUAUGAAUCUUAAUAAUUAUGGGACUGAAUAUGAUCCACCAUUAUCUAGAAGGCGUUCCAAGAAUUCGGAGUCUUUAGAUCUUAAUGCUAAAAUUGAUGAAAGUGGGAUCGAAGAAAUCAAAACCCUAGAUGUUGCUAAACCCACUAUUUUUGAUUUCAAGGAAUUUAAUUAUGAAAAUUGCUCUUUAAUUGAAUGUAUUUCCUUGCUGCAAUCCGUGCUAAAUUCUCCUCAUGCUUAUAGUCAAAAUAAAGCAUUCACUAAACAUAUCGUUGAUGCCUUGAUGCAUUCUUAUGAAGAAAAACUUGAAUUGGAAGUUUCUAUCCCUAGAAAACUUUAUGAUGAGUGGGAACCAACUAUUAAAAUUAAAAUUAAAGAUCAUGAGUUCUAUGCUUUAUGUGAUUUUGGUGCUAGUGUUUCCACGAUUCCAAAGACUUUGUGUGAUUUGUUAGGUUUCCGUGAUUUUGAUGAUUGCCCUCUAAACUUGCACCUUGCGGAUUCCACUAUUAAGACACCCAUGGGAAGAAUUAAUGAUGUUCUUAUUGUUGCAAAUAGGAAUUAUGUGCCCAUAGAUUUUAUUGUUCUUGACAUAGAUUGCAAUCCUUCAUGUCCAAUUAUUCUUGGUAGACCUUUCCUUAGAACGAUUGGUGCAAUUAUUGAUAUGAAGGAAGGAAAUAUUAUAUUCCAAUUUCCGUUAAGGAAAGGCAUGGAACACUUUCCUAGAAAUAAAAUUAAAUUACCUUAUGAAUCUAUUAUGAGAGACACUUAUGGAUUGCCUACUGUCAGUGUCAAAACCGGCGGAUCUCGGGUAGGGGGUCCCGAACUGUGCGUCUAGGCGGAUGGUAACAGGAGGCAGGGGCCACGAUGUUUUACCCAGGUUCGGGCCCUCUUGAUGGAGGUAAAACCCUACGUCCUUCUUGAUUAAUAUUGAUGAUAUGGGUAGUACAAGAGUAAAUCUACCACGAGAUCAAGGAGGCUAAACCCUAGAAGCUAGCCUAUGGUAUGAUUGUUCUUCGUCCUACGGACUAAAACUGAAGGAAAUAUGCCCUAGAGGAAAUAAUAAAGUUAUUAUUUAUUUCGUUAUAUCAUGAUAAAUGUUUAUUAUUCAUGCUAGAAUUGUAUUAACCGGAAACAUAAUACAUGUGUGAAUACAUAGACAAACAUAGUGUCACUAGUAUGCCUCUACUUGACUAGCUCGUUAAUCAAAGAUGGUUAUGUUUCCUAACCAUGAACAAAGUGUUGUUAUUUGAUUAACGAGGUCACAUCAUUAGUUGAAUGAUCUGAUUGACAUGACCCAUUCCAUUAGCUUAGCACCCGAUCGUUUAGUAUGUUGCUAUUGCUUUCUUCAUGACAUAUACAUGUUCCUAUGACUAUGAGAUUAUGCAACUCCCGUUUGCCGGAGGAACACUUUGUGUGCUACCAAACGUCACAACGUAAAUGGGUGAUUAUAAAGGAGCUCUACAGGUGUCUCCAAUGGUAGAUGUUGGGUUGGCGUAUUUCGAGAUUAGGAUUUGUCACUCCGAUUGUCGGAGAGGUAUCUCUGGGCCCUCUCGGUAAUGCACAUCACUUAAGCCUUGCAAGCAUUGCAACUAAAUGAGUUAGUUGCGGGAUGGUGUAUUACGGAACGAGUAAAGAGACUUGCCGGCAACGAGAUUGAACUAGGUAUGGGAAUACCGAUGAUUGAAUCUCGGGCAAGUAACAUACCGAUGACAAAGGGAACAACGUAUGUUGUUAUGCGGUCUGACCGAUAAAGAUCUCCGUAGAAUAUGUAGGAGCCAAUAUGGGCAUCCAGGUCCCGCUGUUGGUUAUUGACCGGAGACGUGUCUCGGUCAUGUCUACAUUGUUCUCGAACCCGUAGGGUCCGCACGCUUAAGAUUACGAUGACAGUUAUAUUAUGAGUUUAUGCAUUUUGAUGUACCGAAGGUUGUUCGGAGUCCCGGAUGUGAUCACGGACAUGAUGAGGAGUCUCGAAAUGGUCGAGACGUAAAGAUUGAUAUAUUGGAAGUCUAUGUUUGGAUAUCGGAAGUGUUCCGGGUGAAAUCGGGAUUUUACCGGAGUACUGAGAGGUUACCGGAACCCCCUCGGGAGCUAUAUGGGCCUUUGUGGGCUUUAGUGGAAAGGAGAAAGGGGCAGCCCAAGGUGGCUGUGCGCCUCCUCCCUUCCCCUAGUCCUAUUAGGACUAGGAUAGGUGGCCGGCCCCCUCUCUCUCUUUCCCCCCUCAAGGAAUCCUAUUCCAACUAGGAUUGGGGGGGGGGGGGAAUCCUACUCCCAGAGGGAGUAGGACUCUCCUGGCACGCCAAGCUUGGCCGGCCAGCCUCCCCCCUCUAGUCCUUUAUAUACUGAGGUAGAGGCACCCUAGAACACACAAUUGAUCAACGUGAUCUAUUCCUUAGCCGUGUGCGGUGCUCCCAGCCACCAUAUUCCUCGAUUAUACUGUAGCGGAGUUUAGGCGAAGCCCUGCUGCUGUAGUGCAUCAAGAUCGUCACCACGCCGUUGUGCUGACGGAACUCUUCCCCGACACUUUGCUGGAUCGGAGUCCGGGGAUCGUCAUCGAGCUGAAUGUGUGCUCGAACUCGGAGGUGCCGUAGUUUCGGUGCUUGAUCGGUCGGAUCGGGAAGAUGUACGACUACUUCCUCUAUGUUGCGUCAAUGCUUCCGCAGUCGGUCUGCGUGGGUACGUAGACAACACUCUCCCCUCUCGUUGCUAUGCAUCACAUGAUCUUGCGUGAGCGUAGGAAUUUUUUUGAAAUUACUACGAAACCCAACAAAAACCCUNNNNNNNNNNNNNNNNNNNNNNNNNNNNNNNNNNNNNNNNNNNNNNNNNNNNNNNNNNNNNNNNNNNNNNNNNNNNNNNNNNNNNNNNNNNNNNNNNNNNNNNNNNNNNNNNNNNNNNNNNNNNNNNNNNNNNNNNNNNNNNNNNNNNNNNNNNNNNNNNNNNNNNNNNNNNNNNNNNNNNNNNNNNNNNNNNNNNNNNNNNNNNNNNNNNNNNNAGAGUCGGUUACAAUGGUAGAAGAUCUACAUAUCCGUAUCGCCAAGCUUGCCUUCCACGCCAAGGAAAGUCCCUUCUGGACACAGGAUGAAGUCUUCAACCUUGUAUCUUCAUAGUCUAGGAGUCUGGCCGAAGGUAUAGUCCGGCUAUCCGGACACCCCCUAAUCCAGGACUCCCUCAGUAGCCCCUGAACCAGGCUUCAAUGACGACGAGUCCGGCGCGCAGAUUGUCUUCGGCAUUGCAAGGCGGGUUCCUCCUCCAAGUACUUCAUAGAAUAUUUUGAACACAAAGGUAGUGUCCGGCUCUGCAAAAUAAGUUUCCACAUAUUGCCAUAGAGAGAAUAAUAUUUACACAAAUCUAAUCUACUGACGUAUUCCGUAGCGUGACAUCACACCACGGCCAAGUUUUUAUUCGAAUCUGUCCCACCUCAACGCGUUUAGUGAGGCGGUUUCCUUGGCACAUCUUGUCAAAGCAGAGAUUGUGUCCCCUUAUUCCGGGAUUCUCAUCAAUACGGGCGUGGGUAACCCAACCGUACCCGUCGGUAUGUUUCCUCGAUCAAAGGAGAGUCCCAAACGGUCACGGGAAGGGCCCUUGGUAUUCAACCUCUUAUAAAGAGACCAAGGCCUUACUCCUUUCUUUCAAUCUCAAAUGAGUUCGCCCUUCGCCUCUACUUCCAACACCCAAGGCUCUAGAUUUCAGGCGCUUCGGACCUUCGACAAUGUCCGGUUCCGACCUUCGAGGCCGAUGGAUGCCCUCCUCCGUCACGGAGGAGGACGUGCUGAAGUUGAGAGAGGCCAGGUUCUUGACCGGCGAAAUCUCGCAUAGGCUGCCUGCUCAAGGGCAGGUCAUUCCCACUCCCAAGCCUGGUGAGAGUGUGGUGUUCAUGUCUCACUUCCUUCGGGGGUUAGGCUUCCCGACGAUCCCUACGUGAGGGGGCUCAUGUUUUAUUAUGGGCUGGAAUUUCAUGACUUAGCUCCGGAGUCCAUCCUCCAUAUUUCUUCAUUCAGCGUCGUGUGUGAAGCCUUCCUCCAUAUUACUCCUCACUUUGGACUAUGGCUCAAGACCUUCAAAGUAGAGCCGAAGAUGAUCGAGGGAUGGCACGCGGAGUGCGGAGGUGCUUUUAUAAGCAAGAAUGCUGGUGCUCCAUGGCCCGAGGGCUCUUUUCAAGGGGAGUCCAGCUUACGGCAACGAGAGUGGUUUUAUAUCACAGCUCCCAGGAGCACCAAGUGGGUGGCGCUGCCUGCUUUUCGCUCGGGUCCCCCGCCACGACUGGCGUCAUGGGUCAACAAGGGGCUGGACUGGGGGCCGGCAAAGGACGUGCCCCUGUUGCAGGGCCGCAUCCGAGAUCUCCUAGAAAGAGACAUCAGUCUGGUCGUGGUGACGCAGGUUAUGUUAAUUCGCCGAGUUCUGCACUGCAAACGUCGGCCCCUUCGGUUGUGGAAGUUCAACCCGGAGGGACCACGAGUUCUCCAACAUUUUCUUGGCAUGACGCCCAUGGAUAUGUACAAAUUAUUCUUUGGACCACAAGUAGUGUGUCUGGAUUCUACGGAGGACGCAGGUCUGAGCUGCAAUCGUCCAGAUACUCAAGUAAGUAGCCUUGUGCCCGGACUUGCUAUCCAUAUAUUUAUCAUAAAGUUUCCCCUAAAAGAGUUGUCCUUUAAAUAGGAGUGGAUAGCGAAAGCAAAGCUAAUCAGAUGUCCGGCCCCCCUCCCCGAGACCAUGCCGGGUCCCAUGCUAGUCAAGAUGUUGGAGGUUGUGCCUUCAAAGGAAAGAGAGGGAGGGGACAAGGAAGCUACCGCCUCCUCGAAGGAGGUUGUCCAGAAGGGAGGAAUCGAAAAUUCCUCUCCUCAGGGGAAGAAGAGGACCGCCUCUGAAGACCCGGAGACCAUGGCCUCAAAGCGGGGGAAGAAAUCUUCGCUAGAGGGUCCUGUGCUGGGGGAUACUUCGGCCGAAUUAUGCCCUCAAGGGGAUCAGCCCUCCAUCGAGCCGUAAGUAGAGAGGAGUUUUAUUUUUAAGAAACGAGAGAAAUCCUUGCUUUAUAUCUGAGAAAAGUAAUCGAAAAUUUACCUUGUAGCUCGGACCUUAGCUCUUCUCAGCAGAGCUCGUCUUCGGGGGAUCUUCUUCCGGAGAUGAUGGAGAGCGGAAUGCCUCCCCCUGCCGUAUCACCUCGCGAGGUGGGCGACCCCGAGGUAUUGUCGCGGAGGGUUUCUCCGAAUCCGGCAGGGCCGGAAGGCAGUCAUAUGGCCCCCCAAAGUCCUCCUUGUCCGGCCUUCUAAAAGGGCCAUCGGACGAGUCCGGCGUCGUCUGGUGCGUGGUCGGAGGAGCUGAAGGAUCUGCUAGGGAGAGCAUCUAUCUCAGAGGAGCACCGUGCAUUGAUGGGUACGGUGAUUGAGAGGAUUUCAUCCACGGAGAGCGGAUUGCACGAGGCCGUCAGGAGUGUACUGACAGGUUUUGAGGUACGCGAAAUAAUGUACCCUUUUUGGACAGUUGCACAUAAAUAAGAUGCGACCUGUGUAGAUAGUAGCCCCUGAGACUCUGUGCAUUGUCAAAAGUGACGGUGCGCAGAGGAUCAUAAUCCCAGGUCUAAUAUGCCGCCUUCAUACGUAGGUGGCUAAGUGUCCGGUGGCAAGCCGGACUGAUGAAUUUGCCGAGCUAAAGCGGCAACUUGACGUGGCAGAUGCCGACAUCGCGCUUGUCAACAAGCGGCUUGACGAGGCGCAAGGUAUGUAAUUCCUCCGGCGGCUCCUGGUAAGAGGAGCUUUAUGCUAGUAUCUUACAAUGUGUGCGCUUGAUGCAGAUGGUGCGGCCGCCAUGGAGAAUCUUCGGGCAGAACUUGCCCGAGCCAAGGAGCAAUCCAGGAAAAGUGAUGCGGCUGCCGGAAUGGCAAUUGAAGAGCUGAAAGCCGAACAGGCUGCUCACUGCCAAAGCAAGAAGGAAAUGGCCGAGAUGGCCGUGAAGCUGAAGAACGCUGCUGACCGUUGCAAGCUUCUUGAAAAAUAAGAUCGGGCAAAACAAACGGACCUGGAGAAGGCCGUUGCCGAUGCCAAGGAUGCUCGCUCUGCGAUGAGAGCUGUGAAGGAGGAGCUGCGUCAGGCCGGAGAGAUCGCGACUGGAAAGCCCUUUAUGCUGCAGAGGAAGUUCCGUGAUCCUAAACAUGCUCCGUUGGACUGGAUGUGGAGUACGACGGACACCUAUAUGGAUUUGGCAGCGGCCGCGGAUGCGGCCGAACACUUCCGAGAUCAAGAAGAUCGCGAAGUGGAAAAGCUCUUUUGGUUGCAGUUCCACAAUCCGGAGCGUCCGCUGUCAUGAGCCGAUCAUUUGGCCGAAUGGGCCGAGCUAAAUAGGUUGUCCGGACUUGCCAUGAAGUAUGUCAUGAGUCAUCUGUGGCCAGAGAGGCCAGAGCCGAAAAGUUAUUUCAACUUGGUGCAGCAGUUCCUUGGUGCGGCGCCACAUAUCAAUGCGAUGAAGAGGUCAGCGUGCAUAGAGGGUGCGCGGAUGACUCUUGCCCGUGUCAAGACAUACUGGGCAGAAAUGGAGGCCGCCGCUGUUGCAUCCCCAGACUCGGAUGGAAGUCGAGUACCUGCCGAGCACUAUUUUCAGGAAGUUCUGCAAGGCGCUCGUUUAAUAGAGACGUAGUGCUCGAAGGACACUAUAUUCGAGUAGCAUUAUUGUAAUACAAUAUUUUGAUAAAUUGUAGAAGCUUUUUAUACUUGUGCCUGCAAGUAUUAUAAUACCUCCUGUGCGGCCGUUUAACAUAUAUGUUUAUACAAUCUGAAUGAUGGCAGUCGUCGGCUUCAGCCCCCACGCACAUAAUGCGGGGGUGUUCGCAGAAGGCGCAUUUUCACACUUGAUCCAACGUCUUGGUCCUACAAAGGAGGUGAUAGCGCAGCGAACUAGGCAAUCAUACUAUGAUGCUUUAUCACUUUCACUUAGCCAUAGGAGUUUGAUAGUGAGGCUACUUAUAUAGCCCCUGGUGGCGCCUGCGCUCGCCCGAACUCGGGGCGCGUAUGUGCCUGGCCGGGAAGCGAACCUUCGUUAAUGCGGAGGAAUCCUAAAGAUUCUGGUAAGUCAUCGAGUGGUUGACCAGUCUCACGCUAUAUCAUGACAGUCAGUUUUUGACUUUCUCUACUGAGGUGCUCGCCUCGCUGAACCGGGGCACAAUCGCAGUAGUUCUCCUGGUGCCACCUUAGCCGAUAGAGCGAAAUGUAAGGUAGCAAAACACAGGAGCCGGGCAAACCCAACAUUUGACCAAAGACAUGAUUCGGAGCUGAUGCAUAUAAGGACAAACUCGCGACGCCGAACACUCCCUAAGGUAUUUGGUCUUUAUGAGGGCGGGCGGGAUAACGCCCUUAGUAAUAAGCCCCUAGUGUCCAGGUACGUGCAAAAACUCUGACAUGGCCACAUGCCAAAAUGCCAGCCUCCUCCUUGGUUAUACCAAGAAACCAGGGGAUGUGUAUCAACAAGAGACAGUAAAAAAGGUUUACGCAGGGUCUUAAUCUGAAAAGAAUCCUUGGAACGGGUCCCUGCUGCACGUCUACGCCUGUGUCUCCGUUGUGCCGUAUCCUGGACGGGCGUAGCACGGUGUUCAUCUGUAAAAGGGAGGAACUUAGUUACAUAAAGAUCGUGCCGAACAUGAGUUAUACUAAAUAAAUGAAGUAUAAAUCGAAAUGGGUAAAAUUGAGCUUUAUUGUCUCUUGUUUUAUAUGCGCGGAGCCCCUAGUACAGGGGCAUACGGCUAUUAAGCCUUUAUAAAUUGUAUGUUUAUGCCGGACUCGUCUAGCCGUGUCCGUUGUCUUGAUGACUUGUUUACGUGCUUUGGUUGGUGAAGCCGCUUUAUUGUGGGGCUGUCAAGGCAGCCACACUGUCUUCCGCGUGGGGGGAACACUCAAUGUUUUCCCUUUAAUGAGAUGAUGCCUCGUGGACCGGGCAUCUUAAGCGUGAGAUAUGCAUAAUGCGGUAUUGCGUUAAAGCGGGUGAAAGCUUUGCGUCCCAGUAGUGCUUGAUAGCUACUUGAGAAUGGGGCGAUGUGGAAAGUUAGCUGUUCGUGACGGAAGUUAUCGGGGGAGCCGAACAUAACUUCUAGCCGGAGAGAACCCAUGCAACGGGCAUCCGGGCCUGGCGUUACCCCUUGAAAGGAGGUUUUGCUAUGGCGAAUUUUUGUUGGGUCUAUCCCCAUGUUGCGGAUUGUGUCCUGGUAUAACAGGUUUAGACCACUUCCGCCGUCCAUCAGGACAUUUGUAAAGUGGAGUCCGCCGAUUAUUGGAUCUAAUACCAAGGGGAGACCAUAAAUGCCUUCAUCAAUGAAACCAUAGAUCUGUCAAUUUGCUGUCUCUGUCUGGAGCGGCGCUUACGUCGCCGCUUUGAUUGCUUUCCCCUAAUCCACAACUCUCAAUGAAACCGACGUCCCCGUGCGUCCAAAGAUGGUGAUACCUAAAUCUAUCCUUACUUUUCAUGCCUAGCUAGGGGGCGUUAAACGAUAGCGCUUGUUGGGAGGCAACCCAAUUUUAUUUUUAUUCCUUACUUUUUGCUCCUGUUUAUUAAUAAAUAAUUUAUCUAGCCUUUGUUUAGAUAGUGUUUUUUGUGUUUAAUUAGUGUUUGUGCCAAGUAGAACCGUUGGGAAUAAUUGGGGAAAGUCUUGAUAUCUUGCUGUAAAAAACAGAAACUUUAGCGCUCACGAGAACUGCUGCCAUUUUUAUUUGGAAAGUGAUAUAUAGUUAAUUCUUUUUGCAGAUGAUUAAUAAAUAUAUUCCUCCAUCCAUAAAUUUAUUUUAGAAUUUUUGGGGUUCCAGAUCUUGCGCUAGCUUCAGAUUACUACAGACUGUUCUGGUUUUGACAGAUUCUGUUUUUCGUGUGUUGUUUGCUUAUUUUGAUGAAUCUAUGGCUAGUAAAAUAGUUCAUAAACCAUAGAGAAGUUGGAAUACAGUAGGUUUAACACCAACAUAAACAAAGAAUAAGUUCAUUACAGUACCUUGAAGUGGUCAUUUGUUUUCUUUCGCUAACGGAGCUCACGAGAUUUUCUACUUUGAGUUUUGUGUUGUGAAGUUUUCAAGUUUUGGGUAAAGAUUUGAUGGAUUAUGGAACAAGGAGUGGCAAGAGCCUAAGCUUUGGGAUGCCCAUGGAACCCCCAAGAUAAUCUAAGGACACCUAAAAGCCAAAUCUUGGUAAUGCCCCUGAAGGCAUCCCCUCUUUUCGUCUACUUCUAUCGGUAACUUUACUUGGAGCUAUAUUUUUAUUCACCACAUGAUAUGUGUUUUUCUUGGAGCGUCUUGUAUUAUUUGAGUCUUUAUUUGUUAGUUUACCACGAUCAUCCUUGCUGUACACACCUUUUCAGAGAGCCAUACAUGAUUUGGAAUUUGUUAGAAUGCUCUAUGUGCUUCGCUUAUAUCUUUUGAGUUAUAUAGUUUUGCUCUAGUACUUCGCUUAUAUCUUUUAGAGCACGGUGGUGGAUUUGUUUUAUAGAAACUAUUGAUCUCUCAUGCUUCACUUAGAUUAUUUUGAGAGUCUUAAAUAGCAUGAUAAUUUGCUUAAAUAAUGCUAAUAUGCUAGGUAUUCAAGAUUAGUAAAAAAAUAUCCUAGGAGUGUUUGAAUACUAAGAGACGUUUGAUGCUUGAUGAUCGUUUUGAGAUAUGGAGGUAAUAAUAUCAAAGUCGUGCUAGUUGAGUAGUUGUGAAUUCGAGAAGUGCUUGUGUUGAAGUUUGCAAAUCCCGUAGCAUGCACGUAUGGUAAACGUUGUGUAACAAAUUUGAAACAUAAGGUGUUUUUUUCAUUGUCUUCCUUAUGAGUGGCGGUCGGGGACGAGCGAUGGUCUUUUCCUACCAGUCUAUCCCUCUAGGAGCAUGCGCGUAGUGCCGAGGUUUUUUAUGACUUGUAGAUUUUUUCAAUAAGUAUGUGAGUUCUUUAUGACUAAUGUCGAGUCCAUGGAUUAUACGCGCUCUCACCCUUCCAUCAUUGCUAGCCUCUUCGGUACCGUGCAUUGCCCUUUCUCACAUUGAGAGUUGGUGCAAACUUCACCGGUGCAUCCAAACCCCGUGAUAUGAUACGCUCUUUCACACAUAAACCUCCUUAUAUCUUCCUCAAAACAGCCACCAUACCUACCUAUUAUGGCAUUUCCAUAGCCAUUCUGAGAUAUAUUGCCAUGCAACUUUCCACCAUUCCGUUUAUCAUGACACAUUCAUCAUUGUCAUAUUGCUUAGCAUGAUCAUGUAGUGGACAUAGUAUUUGUGGCAAAGCCACCGUUCAUAAUUCUUUCAUACAUGCCACUCUUGGUUCAUUGCAUAUCCCGGUACACCGCCGGAGGCAUUCAUAUAGAGUCAUCUUUUGUUCUAGCAUCGCGUUGUAAUCAUUGAGUUGUAAAUAAAUAGAAGUGUGAUGAUCAUCAUUUUCUAGAGCAUUGUCCCAAAUGAGGAAAAAAAGAGAAAGGCCAUAUAAAAAAAGGCCUGAAUAAAAAAAAGAGAGAAAAAGAGAGAAGGGACAAUGUUACUAUCCUUUGCCACACUUGUGCUUCAAAGUAGCACCAUAAACUUCAUGUCACUUUGCUUUUAUUUUACUUUGCAUAUUUGUCAGAAAAAUACCAAAAAUAUUAUCUUAUCAUAUCUAUCAGAUCUCACUCUCGUAAGUGGCCAUGUAGGGAUUGACAACCCCUUAUCACGUUGGUUGCGAGCAUUUAUUUGUUUUGUGCAGGUACGAGGGACUCGCGCGUAGCCUCCUACAGGAUUAAUACCUUGGUUCUCAAAAACUAAGGGAAAUACUUACGCUACUCUGCUGCAUCAUCCCUUCCUCUUCGGGGAAAAACCAACACAGUGCUCAAGAGGUAGCAGUGGUGUACCGGGAUUGCGAUGAAUCAAGAGUGACAUGUAUGAAAAAUUAUGAACGAUGGCUUUGCCACAAAUACGAUGUCAACUACAUGAUCAUGCAAAGCAAUAUGACAAUGAUGAUGCGUGUCAUAAUAAACAGAACGGUGGGAAGUUGCAUGGCAAUAUAUCUCGGAAUGGCUAUGGAAAUGCCAUAAUAGGUAGGUAUGGUGGCUGUUUUGAGGAAGAUAUAAGGAGGUUUAUGUGUGAUAGAGCGUAUCAUAUCACGGGGUUUGGAUGCACCGGCGAAGUUUGCACCAACUCUCAAUGUGAGAAAGGGCAAUGCACGGUACCGAAGAGGCUAGCAAUGAUGGAAGGGUGAGAGUGCGUAUAAUCCAUGGACUCAACAUUAGUCAUAAAGAACUCACAUACUUAUUGCAAAAAUCUACAAGUCAUCAUAAACCAAGCACUAUGCGUAUGCUCCUAGGGGGGUAGAUUGGUAGGAAAAGACCAUUGCUCGUCCCCGACCGCCACUCAUAAGGAAGACAAUCAAAGAACACCUCAUGUUUCAAAUUUGUUACAUAUCAUUUACCAUACGUGCAUGCUACGGGACUUGCAAACUUCAACACAAGCAUUUCUCAAAUACACAACUACUCAACUAGCACGACUUUGAUAUUAUUACCUCCGUAUCUCAAAACAAUCAUCAAGCAUCAAGCUUCUCUUAGUAUUCAAUGCACUCUAUAUGAAAGUUUUUAUUAUAUCCCUCUUGGAUGCCCAUCAUAUUAGGACUAGUUUCAUAACAAAAGCAAACUACCAUUCUGUUCUAAGGGACUCUCAAAAUAAUAUAAGUGAAUCAUGAGAGUUCAUCUAUUUCUAUAAAAUAAAACCACCACCAUGCUCUAAAAGAUAUAAGUGAAGCACUAGAGCAAAUGACAAACUACUCCAAAAGAUAUAAGUGAAGAUCAAUGAGUAGUCGAAUAAUUAUGCAACCAUGUGAAGACUCUCUAACAUUUAAUAAUUUCAGAUAUUGUUAUUUUAUCCAAGCAGCAAGCAAAACUAAAUAAAAUAAAAUGACUCUCCAAGCAAAACACAUAUCAUGUGGUGAAUAAAAAUAUAGCUCCAAGUGAAGUUACCGAUAGACGAGGACGAAAGAGGGGAUGCCUUCCGGGGCAUCCCCAAGCUUAGGCUUUUGGUUGUCCUUGAAUAUUACCUUGGGGUGCCUUGGGAAUCCCCAAGCUUAGGAUCUUUCCACACCUUGUUCCAUAGUCCAUCAAAUCUUUACCCAAAACUUGAAAACUUCACAACACAAAUCUUAACCAAAAACUCGUAAGCUCCGUCAGUAUAAGAAAAUAAAUCACCACUUAGGUACUGUUGUGAACUCAUUCUAAAUUCAUAUUGGUGUAAUAUCUACUGUAUUCCAACUUAUCUAUGGUUCAUACCCUCCGAUACUACUCAUAGGUUCAUCAAAAUAAGCAAACAACACAUUGAAAACAGAAUCUAUCAAAAACAGAACAGUCUGUAGUAAUAUGGAUCAAACGUAUACUUCUGGAACCCCAAAAAUUCUAAAAUAAAUUUCUGGACCUGAUUAAUUUAUCUAUUAAUCAUAUUCAAAAGGAAUUAACUAAAUAUCACUCUCCAAAUAAAAAUUGCAGCAAUUCUCGUGAGUGCUAAAGUUUCUGUUUUUUACAGCAUGAUUAUAAAGACUUCACCCAAGUCUUCCCAAAGGUUCUACUGGGCACAAACACUAAUUAAAACAUAAAACCACAUCCAAACAGGGGCUAGAUGAAUUAUUUAUUACUAAACAGGAGCAUAAAGAAAGGAACAAAAAUAAAAUUGGGUUGCCUCCCAACAAGCGCUAUCGUUUAACGCCCCUAGCUAGGCAUGAUGAUUUCAAUGAUGCUCACAUAAAAGAUAAGAAUUAAAACAUAAAGAGAGCAUCAUGAAGAAUAUUACUAGAGCAUUUAAGUCUAACCCACUUCCUAUGCAUUGGGAUUAUGUGAGCAAACAACUUGUGGGUACAAGAAUCAAUUUGCAUAGGAAGGUAAAACAAGCAUAACUUCAAAACUUUAAGCACAUAGAGAGGAAACUUGAUAUUAUUGCAAUUCCUACAAGCAUAAGUUCCUCCCUCAUAAUAAUUUUCAUUAGCAUCAUGAAUGAAUUCAACAAUAUAACCAGCACCUAAAGCAUUAUUUUCAUUAUCUAUAAGCAUAGAAAUUUUAUUACUCUCCACAUGAGCAAAAUUCUUCUCAUUCGGAAUAGUGGGAGUAUCAUAAGAAACUCGAAUACUAUAAAUUGUUUCCACAUUAAAAGAGUAAUGUUCAGAAAAGGGGUUAUCAUAAUCAUACAAGUUUUAUAAUCAUAAUCACUACUUUUUAUAGCAUAAGUACCAUCACAAUAAUCAUCAUAAGUAGGAGGCAUGCUAUCAUCAUUAUAAAUUUGCAUAUCAAAACUUGGGAGACUAAAAAUAUCAUCUUCAUUAAACGUAGCAUCCCCAAGCUUGAGACAAACAUUAGCUGCAGCAAAUAUAUUCUCAAAAACAUCAUUUUCAUCAAACAUAGCAUCCCCAAGCUUGGCCCUUUUCAUAUCAUAAGCAUAAUCACUCUCAUCAUUAAUAGUAUGGAUAGCACCAAUAGUAUAGCAAUUAUCAUAUUCUUCCAAGCAAGUGCCAAAAAGAUCUUCAAGAUCAUAAUAAGUAUCAUUAUCUUUCACAAUUAUAUUUUCAUGAGGCACAAUAGUAAUAGGAGCAGCAUUAUUUGGGGGAGAUAUCUUUUUACCUCUCUUCCUUUUUCUUUUCUUCUUCUUCACCACAUCAUGUGUGGGUUCAAUCCUCUUUUUGUAGCUCCUUAUUAAUGAGAUUGGUUGAAUAGGAGGCUCUUCCUCGUUACCUGAUUCAUCAUAAGAAAUAAUAGGAGGGUAUUGGGAAGUCUCUUCCCUUUCAUUAGUAUUCUCUUCAUCUUCUAUUUAUUUUCUUUUCUUCAUGUAGUUGGCAAUAUAAGGAUUUUCAAUACAAUUCACCGCACAAUACAUAUAAAUUUUCUCUAGAUCAAAAUCAAGAAAUCUACCAAGAUUAAACUUUGGAAUACCCUCAGUUAUACUUUUCAUUUCCUCAUACCCCAAAAGAAGACUAAGCUCUUUAUGAUGCUCAAGGGUAAUCAAAUUAUCACAAUUUUUGGGUACGAUUUGGUCAUGAAACAAUUUGCAUUGGAGAUUUAAAUGACCAUGUUCAUUGCAAAGUUCACAAGGGGCGCGAAAAAUAUUGAAUUUUUCAGCACAAACAUCAAGACUUUCUUGCAACAAUUUAGUUUCUAAAUACUUAUGCCUCUUGCAAUAUCUAUCUUCCCUAUUUGGUGUAUACUUGCAAACCCAAUGCACUCCACAAAAAUUGACAUGUUUAUAGGAGACAUUUUCAUCAUAACUAGUGCAAUCAUCAUUAGUACUACGGAUAUUCAAAGAGUUCAUACUAACAACAUUCCAAUCAUGCUCAUCAUUCAAAGAUUUAGUGCCAAACAUUUUAAUGCAUUCUUCUUAUAACACUUUGGCACAAUUUUCCUUUCCACCAUACUCACGGAAGAUAUUAAAAAGAUGAAGCGUAUGAGACAAACUCAAUGUUGGGGAACGUUGCAGAAAACAAAAAAAUUCCUACGGUUUCACCAAGAUCCAUCUAUGAGUUCAUCUAGCAACGAGUGAUCGGAUGCAUCUACAUACCUUGUAGAUCGUGAGCGGAAGCGUUCAAAGAAUGGGGAUGAGGGAGUCGUACUCGAUGUGAUCCAAAUCACCGGAGAUCCUAGCGCCGAACGGACGACACCUCCGCGUUCAACACACGUACGGUCAACGUGACGUCUCCUCCUUCUUGAUCCAGCAAGGGGAAGGAGAGGUUGAGGAAGAUGGGUCCAGCAGCAGCACGACGGCGUGGUGGUGGUGGAGAAGCAGUACUCCGACAGGGCUUUGCCGAGCUCUACGGAGGAGGAGGAGGUGUUGGAGGGGAGAGGGAGGCGCCAAGGGCAUGGGUGCGGCUGCCCUCCCUCCCCCCCUCUAUAUAUAGGGUCCCCAAGGGGGGGGCGCCGGCCCUGGAGAUUCAAUCUCCCAAGGGGCGCGGCCAAGGGGGGUGGAGUGCCCCCCAAGGCAAGUGGGGCGUGAAGGAAAUAUGCCCUAGAGGCAAUAAUAAAGUUAUUAUUUAUUUCCUUAUAAUCAUGAUAAAUGUUUAUUAUUCAUGCUAGAAUUGUAUUAACCGAAAACAUAAUACAUGUGUGAAUACAUAGACAAACAAGGUGUCACUAGUAUGCCUCUACUUGACUAGCUCGUUAAUCAAAGAUGAUUAUGUUUCCUAAUCAUGAACAAUGAGUUGUUAUUUGAUUAACGGGAUCACAUCAUUAAGAGAAUGAUCUGAUUGACAUGACCCAUUCCAUUAGCUUAGCACCCGAUCGUUUAGUAUGUUGCUAUUGCUUUCUUCAUGACUUAUACAUGUUCCUAUAACUAUGAGAUUAUGCAACUCCCGUUUACCGGAGGAACACUUUGGGUACUACCAAACGUCACAACAUAACUGGGUGAUUAUAAAGGAGUAUUACAGGUGUCUCCAAAGGUACAUGUUGGGUUGGCGUAUUUCGAGAUUAGGUUUUGUCACUCCGAUUGUCGGAGAGGUAUCUCUGGGCCCUCUCGGUAAUGCACAUCACUUAAGCCUUGCAAGCAUUGCAACUAAAUGAGUUAGUUGCGGGAUGGUGUAUUACGGAACGAGUAAGGAGACUUGCCGGCAACGAGAUUGAACUAGGUAUUGGAAUACCGACGAUCGAAUCUCGGGCAAGUAACAUACCGAUGACAAAGGGAACGACGUAUGUUGUUAUGCGGUCUAACCGAUAAAGAUCUUCGUAGAAUAUGUAGGAGCCAAUAUGGGUAUCCAGGUACCGCUAUUGGUUAUUGACUGGAGACAUGUCUCGGUCAUGUCUACAUUGUUCUCGAACCCGUAGGGUCCGCACGCUUAAGGUUACGAUGACAGUUAUAUUAUGAGUUUAUGCAUUUUGAUGUACCGAAGGUUGUUCGGAGUCCCGGAUGUGAUCAUGGACAUGACAAGGAGUCUCAAAAUGGUCGAGGCAUAAAGAUUGAUAUAUUGGAAGCCUAUGUUUGGAUAUCGAAAGUGUUCCGGGUGAAAUCGGGAUUUUACCGGAGAACCGGGAGGUUACCGGAACCCCCCGGGAGCUAAAUGGGCCAUGAUGGGCCUUAGUGGAAAAGAGAAGAGGCAGCCCUACAUGGGCCGCGCGCCCCUCCCCUCCCUUGGUCCGAAUAGGACAAGGAGAGGGGGCCGACCCCUCUCUCUCUUUUCCCCCCUCCGCGAAUCCUAUUCCAACUAGGAUUGGGGGGGGGGGGAAUCCUACCCCGAGAGGGAGUAGGACUCUCCUGGCGCGCCCUCCUUGGCCGGCCAGCCUCCUCCCUUUAGUCCUUUAUAUACGGAGGCAGGGGCACCCCAGAAACACACAAGUUGAUCCACGUGAUCUAUUCCUUAGCCGUGUGCGGCGCCCCCAGCCACCAUAGUCCUCGAUAAUACUGUACCGGAGUUUAGGCGAAGCCCUGCUGCUGUAGUGCAUCAUGAUCGUCACCACGCCGUCGUGCUGACGGAACUCUUCCCCGACACUUUGCUGGAUCGGAGUCCGAGGAUCGUCAUCGAGCUGAAUGUGUGCUAGAACUCGGAGGUGCCGUAGUUUCGUUGCUUGAUCGGUCGGAUCAUGAAGACGUACGACUACAUCAACCAAACGCUUCUGUUGUCGAUCUACUAGGUAUGUAGAUCACACUCCCCCCCCCUCGUUGCUAUGCAUCACAUGAUCUUGCGUGUGCGUAGGAAUUUUUUUGAAAUUACUACGUCCCCAACAGUGGCAUCCGAGCCUAGGUUUUAUAUGUUGAUGUUAUAUGCACGAGUAGAACACAAGUGAGUUGUGGGCGAUAUAAGUCAUACUGCCUACCAGCAUGUCAUACUUUGGUUCGGCGGUAUUGUUGGAUGAAGCGGCCCAGACCGACAUUACGCGUACGCUUACGCGAGACCGGUUCUCGCGACGUGCUUUGCACAGAGGUGGCUUGUGGGUGACAGUUUCUCCAACUUUAGUUGAACCAAGUGUGGCUACACCCGGUCCUUGCGAAGGUUAAAACGGAGUCAAAUUGACAAACUAUCGUUGUGGUUUUGAUGCGUAGGUGAGAUUUGUUCUUACUUAAGCCUGUAGCAGCCACGUAAAACUUGCAACAACAAAGUAGAGGACGUCUAACUUGUUUUUGCAGGGCAUGUUGUGAUGUGAUAUGGUCAAGACAUGAUGCUGAAUUUUAUUGUAUGAGAUGAUCAUGUUUUGUAACCGAGUUAUCGGCAACCGGCAGGAGCCAUAUGGUUGUCGCUUUAUUGUAUGCAAUGCAAUCGCGAUGUAAUGCUUUACUUUAUCACUAAAUGGUAGCGAUAGUCGUGGAAGCACAAGCUUGGCGAGACGACAAUGGUGCUACGAUGGAGAUCAAGGUGUCACGCCGGUGACGAUGGUGAUCACGACGGUGCUUCAGAGAUGGAGAUCACAAGCACAAGAUGAUGAUGGCCAUAUCAUAUCACUUAUAUUGAUUGCAUGUGAUGUUUAUCUUUUAUGCAUCUUAUCUUGCUUUGAUUGACGGUAGCAUUAUAAGAUGAUCUCUCACUAAAUUAUCAAGAAGUGUUCUCCCUGAGUAUGCACCGUUGCGAAAGUUCUUCGUGCUGAGACACCAUGUGAUGAUCGGGUGUGAUAGGUUCUACGUUCAAAUACAACGGGUGCAAAAUAGUUGCACACGCGGAAUACUCAGGUUAUACUUGACGAGCCAAGCAUAUACAGAUAUGGCCUCGGAACACGGAGACCGAAAGGUCGAGCGUGAAUCAUAUAGUAGAUAUGAUCAACAUAGCGAUGCUCACCAAUGAAACUACUCCAUCUCACGUGAUGAUCGGACAUGGUUUAGUUGAUUUGGAUCACGUGAUCACUUAGAGGAUUAGAGGGAUGUCUAUCUAAGUGGGACUUCUUAAGUAAUAUGAUUAAUUGAACUUAAAUUUAUCAUGAACUUAGUCCUGGUAGUAUUUUGCAAAUUAUGUUGUAGAUCAAUAGCUCGCAUUGUUGCUUCCCUGUGUUUAUUUUGAUAUGUUCCUAGAGAAAAUUGUGUUGAAAGAUGUUAGUAGCAAUGAUGCGGAUUGGAUCCAUGAUCUGAGGUUUAUCCUCAUUGCUGCAUAGAAGAAUUAUGUCCUUGAUGCACCGCUAGGUGACAGACCUAUUGCAGGAGCAGAUGCAGAUGUUAUGAACAUUUGGCUAGCUCAAUAUGAUGACUACUUGAUAGUUUAGUGCACCAUGCUUAAUGGCUUAGAAUCGGGACUUCAAAGACAUUUUGAACGUCAUGGACCAUAUGAGAUGUUCCAGGAGUUGAAGUUAAUAUUUCAAGCAAAUACCCGAGUUGAGAGAUAUGAAGUCUCCAACAAGGUCUAUAGCUAAAAGAUGGAGGAGAAUCGCUCAACUAGUGAGCAUGUGCUCAGAUUGUCUGGGUACUACAAUCGCUUGAAUCAAGUGGGAGUUAAUCUUCCAGAUAAGAUAGUGAUUGACAGAAUUCUCUAGUCACCAUCACCAAGUUAGUAGAACUUCCUGAUGAACUAUGAUAUGCAAGGGAUAACGGAAAUGAUUCCCAAGCUCUUCGUAAUGCGGAAAUUGACGAAGGUAGAAAUCGAGAAAAACAUCAAGUGUUGAUGGUAGACAAGACCACUAGUUUCAAGAAAAGGGCAGAGGGAAGAAGGGGAACUUCAAGAAGAACAGCAAGCAUGUUGCUACUCAAGUGAAGAAGCCCAAGUCUGGUCCUAAGCCUGAGACUAAGUGUUUCUACUGCAAAGGGACUGGUCACUGAAAGCGGAACUACCCCAAGUGAUUGGCAGAUAAGAAGGAUGGCAAAAUGAACAUAAGUAUAUUUGAUAUACAUGUUAUUGAUGUGUACUUUACUAGUGUUUAUAGCAACCCCUCAGUAUUUGAUACUAGUUCAGUUGCUAAGAUUAGUAACUUGAAACGGGAGUUGCAGAAUAAACAGAGACUAGUUAAGGGUGAAGUGACGAUGUGUGUUGGAAGUGGUUCCAAGAUUGAUAUGAUCAUCAUCGCACACUCCCUAUACUUUCGGGAUUAGUGUUGAACCUGAAUAAGUGUUAUUUGGUGUUUGUGUUAAGCAUGAAUAUGAUUUGAUCAUGUUUAUUAUAAUACGGAUAUUCAUUUAAGUAAGAGAAUAAAUUGUUGUUCUGUUUACAUGAAUAAAACCUUAUAUGGUUACACACCCAAUGAAAAUAGUUCAUUGGAUCUCGAUCGUAGUGAUACACAUAAUCAUAAUAUUGAAACCAAAAGAUGCAAAGUUAAUAAUGAUAGUGCAACUUAUUUGUAGCACUGCCAUUUAGGUCAUAUUGGUGUAAAGUGCAUGAAGAAACUCCAUGCUGAUGGAUUUUGGAAUCACUUGAUUAUGAAUCACUUGAUGCUUGAGAACCAUGCCUCAUGGUCAAGAUGACUAAGACUCCGUUCUCCGGAGAGAGCAACUGACUUAUUGGAAAUAAUACAUACUGAUGUAUGCGGUCCGAUGAGUGUUAAGGCUCACGGCAAGUAUCGUUAUUUUCUGAACUUCACAGAUGAUUUGAGCAAGAUAUGGGUAUAUCUACUUGAUGAAACAUAAGUCCUAAACAUUUGAAAAGUUCAAAGAAUUUCAGAGUGAAGUGGAAAAUCAUCAUGACAAGAAAAAAAAAUUUCUAUGAUCUGAUCGCGGAGACAAAUAUUUGAGUUACGAGUUUGGUCUUCAAAUAAAACAAUGUGGAAUAGUUUCACAAACUCAUGCCACAUGGAACACCACAGCAUAAUGGUGUGUCUGAACAUUAUAACCGUACUUUAUUAGAUAUGGUGCGAUCUAUGAUGUUUUUUUUUGAUCUACCACUAUCGUUUUGGGGUUAUGCAUUAAAGACAGCUGCAUUCACAUUUAAAAGGGCACCAUCUAAGUCCGUUGAGACGACACAAUCUGAACUGUGGUUUGGCAAGAAACCAAAGUUGUCAUUUCUUAAAGUUUGGGAUUGUGAUGCUUAUAUGAAAAGGUUUCAUCCUGAUAAGCUCAAAUCCAAAUAGGAGAAAUAUGUCUUCAUAGGAUACCCAAAGGAGACUGUUGGGUACACCUUCUAUCACAAAUCCGAAGGCAAGACUUUUGUUGCUAAAUUCGGAGUUUUUCUAGAGAAGGAGUUUCUCUCGAAAGAAGUGAGUGGGAGGAAAGUAGAACUUGAUGAGGUAACUGUACCUGCUCCCUUAUUGGAAAGUAGUUCAUCACAGAAAUCUGUUCCUGUGACUACUACACCAAUUCGUGAGGAAGCUAAUGAUGAUGAUCAUGUAACUUCAGAUCAAGUUACUACCAAAUCUCGUAGGUAAACCAGAGUGAGAUCCACACCAGAGUGGUACGGUAAUCCCAUUCUGGAAGUCGUGUUACUAGACCAUGACGAACUUGCGAACUAUGAGGAAGCGAUGAUGAGCCCAGAUUCUGCGAAAUGGUUUGAGGUCAUGAAAUCUGAGAUAUGAUCCAUGUAUGAGAACAAAGUAUGGACUUUGAUGGAUUUGCUCGAUGAUCGGCAAGCCAUAGAAAAUAAAUGGAUCUUCAAGAGGAAGACAGACGCUGAUAGUAGUGUUACUAUCUACAAAGCUAGAAUUGUCGCAAAAGGUUUUCGACAAGUUCAAGGAGUUGACUACGAUGAGAUUUUCUCACUCGUAUCUAUGCUUAAGUCUGUCCGAAUCAUGUUAGCAAUUGCCGCAUUUUAUGAAAUCUGGCAAAUGGAUAAACAAAACUGCAUUCCUUAAUGGAUUUACUAAAGAAGAGUUGUAUACGAUGCAACUAGAAGGUUUUGUCGAUCCUAAAGGUGUUAACUAAAUAUGCAAGCUCCAGCGAUCCAUCUAUGGACUAGUGCAAGAAUCUCAGAGUUGGAAUAUACGCUUUGAUAAGUUGAUCAAAGCAUAUAGUUUUAUGCAGACUUGCGGUGAAGCCUGUAUUUACAAGAAAGUGAGUGGGAGCACUACAACAUUUCUGAUAAGUAUAUGUGAAUGACAUAUUGUUGAUCGGAAAUAAUGUAGAAUUAUUCUGCAAAGCAUAAAGGAGUGUUUGAAAGGAGUUUUUUCAAAAAGGACCUCGAAGAAGCUGCUUACAUAUUGAGCAUCAAGAUCUAUAGAGAUAGAUCAAGACGCUUGAUAAGUUUUUUUUCAAUGAGUACAUACCUUGACAAGAUUUUAUAAUAGUUCAAAAUGGAACAGUCAAAGAAAGUGUUCUUGCCUGUGUCAUAAGGUGUGAAAUUGAGUAAGACUCAAAGCCCGACCACGGCAGAAGAUAGAAAGAGAAUGAAUGUCAUUCCCUAUGCCUCGGUCAUAGGUUCUAUAAAGUAUGCCAUGCUGUGUACCAGAUCUAUUGUAUACCCUACCAUUGAGUUUGGCAAGGGAGUACAAUAGUGAUCUAGGAGUAGAUCACUGGACAGCGGUCAAAAUUAUCCUUAGUGGAAUAAGGAAAUAUUUCUCAAUUAUGGAGGUGACAAAAAGGUUCGUCGUAAAAAGUUACAUCGAUGCAUGUUUUGACACAGAUCUGGAUGACUCUAAGUCUCGAUCUAGAUACAUAUUGAAAGUGGGAGCAAUAAGUUAGAGUAGCUCCGUGCAGAGCAUUGUUGACAUAGAAAUUCGCAAAAUACUUACGGAUCCGAAUGUGACAGACCUGUUGACUAAAAUUAUCUCACAAGCAAAACAUGAUCACACCUUAGUACUCUUUGGGUAUUAAUCACAUAGCGAUGUGAACUAGAUUACUGACUCUAGUAAACCCUUUGGGUGUUGAUCACAUAUCGAUGUGAACUAUGGGUGUUAAUCACAUGGUGAUGUGAACUAUUGUUGUUAAAUCACAUGGCGAUGUGAACUAGAUUAUUGACUCUAGUGCAGGUGGGAGACCGAAGGAAAUAUGCCCUAGAGGCAAUAAUAAAGUUAUUAUUUAUUUCCUUAUAAUCAUGAUAAAUGUUUAUUAUUCAUGCUAGAAUUGUAUUAACUGGAAACAUAAUACAUGUGUGAAUACAUAGACAAACAAAGUGUCACUAGUAUGCCUCUACUUGACUAGCUCGUUAAUCAAAGAUGAUUAUGUUUCCUAAUCAUGAACAAUGAGUUGUUAUUUGAUUAACGAGAUCACAUCAUUAAGAGAAUGAUUUGAUUGACAUGACCCAUUCCAUUAGCUUAGCACCCGAUCAUUUAGUAUGUUGCUAUUGCUUUCUUCAUGACUUAUACAUGUUCCUAUAACUAUGAGAUUAUGCAACUCCCGUUUACCGGAGGAACACUUUGGGUACUACCAAAGGUCACAAUGUAACUGGGUGAUUAUAAAGGAGUAUUACAGGUCUCUCCAAAGGUACAUGUUGGGUUGGCGUAUUUCGAGAUUAGGUUUUGUCACUCCGAUUGUCGGAGAGGUAUCUCUGAGCCCUCUCGGUAAUGCACAUCACUUAAGCCUUGCAAGCAUUGCAACUAAAUGAGUUAGUUGCGGGAUGAUGUAUUACGGAACGAGUAAAGAGACUUGCCGGCAACGAGAUUGAACUAGGUAUUGGAAUACCGACGAUCGAAUCUCGGGCAAGUAACAUACCGAUGACAAAGGGAACGACGUAUGUUGUUAUGCGGUCUGACCGAUAAAGAUCUUCAUAGAAUAUGUAGGAGCCAAUAUGGGCAUCCAGGUCCCGCUAUUGGUUAUUGACUGGAGACAUGUCUCGGUCAUGUCUACAUUGUUCUCGAACCCGUAGGGUCCGCACGCUUAAGGUUACGAUGACAGUUAUAUUAUGAGUUUAUGCAUUUUGAUGUACCGAAGGUUGUUCAGAGUCUCGGAUGUGAUCACGGACAUGAUGAGGAGUCUCGAAAUGGUCGAGACAUAAAGAUUGAUAUAUUGGAAGCCUAUGUUUGGAUAUCGGAAGUGUUCCAGGUGAAAUCGGGAUUUUACCGGAGUACCGGGAGGUUACCGGAACCCCCCGGGAGCUAAAUGGGCCAUGAUGGGCCUUAGUGGAAAAGAGAAGAGGCAGCCCUACAUGGGCCGCGCGCCCCUCCCCUCCCUUGGUCCGAAUAGGACAAGGAGAGGGGGCCGGACCCUCUCUCUCUUUUCCCUCCUCCGCGAAUCCUAUUCCAACUAGGAUUGGGGGGGGGGGGGAUCCUACUCCCAGAGGGAGUAGGACUCUCCUGGCGCGCCCUCCUUGGCCGGCCAGCCUCCCCCCUUUAGUCCUUUAUAUACGGAGGCAAAGGCACCCCAGAGACACACAAGUUGAUCCACGUGAUCUAUUCCUUAGCCGUGUGCAGCGCCCCCAGCCACCAUAGUCCUCAAUAAUACUGUAGCGGAGUUUAGGCGAAGCCCUGCUGCUGUAGUGCAUCAAUAUCGUCACCACGCCGUCGUGCUGACGGAACUCUUCCCCGACACUUUGCUGGAUCGGAGUCCGAGGAUCGUCAUCGAGUUGAACGUGUGCUAGAACUCAGAGGUGCCGUAGUUUCGGUGCUUGAUCGGUCGGAUCGUGAAGACGUACGACUACAUAAACCAAACACUUCCGUUGUCGAUGUACUAGGUAUGUAGAUCACACUCCCCCCCCCUCGUUGCUAUGCAUCACAUGAUCUUGCGUUUGCGUAGGAAAUUUUUUGAAAUUACUACGUUCCCCAACAGGGCGCCCCCCACCCUAGGGUUCCCAACCCUAGUCGCAGGGGGAAGGCCCAAGGGGGGCGCACCAGCCCACUAGGGGCUGGUUCCCCUCCCACUUCAGCCCAUGGGGCCCUCUGGGAUAGGUGGCACCACCCGGUGGACCCCCGGGACCCUUCCAGUGGUCCCGGUACAAUACCGGUGACCCCGAAACUUGUCCCGAUGGCCGAAAUAGCACUUCCUAUAUAUAAUUCUUUACCUCCGGACCAUUCCGGAACUCCUCGUGACGUCCGGUAUCUCAUUCGGGACUCCGAACAACUUUCUGGUUACUGCAUAUUCAUAUCCCUACAACCCUAGCGUCACCGAACCUUAAGUGUGUAGACCCUACGGGUUCGGGAGACAUGUAGACAUGACCGAGAUGGCUCUCCGGUCAAUAACCAACAGCGGGAUCUGGAUACCCAUGUUGGCUCCCACAUGCUCCUCGAUGAUCUCAUCGGGUGAACCACGAUGUCGAGGAUUCAAGCAACCCCGUAUACAAUUCCCUUUGUCAAUCGGUACGUUACUUGCCCGAGAUUCGAUCGUCGGUAUCCCAAUACCUCGUUCAAUCUCGUUACCGGCAAGUCACUUUACUCGUACCGUAAUGCAUGAUCCCGUGACCAGACACUUGGUCACUUUGAGCUCAUUGUGAUGAUGGAUUACCGAGUGGGCCCAGAGAUACCUCUUCGUCAUAUGGAGUGACAAAUCCUAGUCUUGAUCCGCGUCAACCCAACAGACACUUUCGGAGAUACCCGUAGUAUACCUUUAUAGUCAGCCAGUUACGUUGUGACGUUUGGUACACCCAAAGCACUCCUACGGUAUCCGGGAGUUACACGAUCUCAUGGUCUAAGGAAAGGAUACUUGACAUUGGAAAAACUCUAGCAAACGAACUAUACGAUCUUGUGCUAUGUUUAGGAUUGGGUCUUGUCCAUCACAUCAUUCUCCUAAUGAUGUGAUCUCGUUAUCAAUGACAUCCAAUGUCCAUAGUCAGGAAACCAUGACUAUCUGUUGAUCAACGAGCUAGUCAACUAGAGGCUUACUAGGGACAUGUUGGUGUCUAUUUAUUCGCACAUGUAUUACGAUUUCCUGAUAACACAAUUAUAGCAUGAAUAAAAUACAAUUAUCAUGAACAAGGUAAUAUAAUAAUAAUGCUUUUAUCAUUGCCUCUAGGGCGUAUUUCCAACAGUCUGCCGCUUGCACUAGAGUCAAUAAUCUAGUUACAUUGUGAUGAAUCGAACACCCAUGGAAUUCUGGUGUUGAUCAUGUUUUGCUCUAGGGAGAGGUUUAGUCAACGGAUCUGCUACAUUCAGGUCCGUAUGUACUUUACAAAUAUCUAUGUCUCCAUCUUGAACAUUUUCACGAAUGGAAUUGAAUCGACGCUUGAUGUGCCUGGUCUUCUUGUGAAACCUGGGCUCCUUGGCAAGUGCAAUAGCUCCAGUGUUGUCACAGAAGAGUUUGAUUGGCCCCGACGCAUUGGGUAUGACUCCUAGGUCAGUGAUGAACUCCUUCACCCAAAUUGCUUCAUGCGCUGCCUCAGAGGCUGCCAUGUACUCCGCUUCACAUGUAGAUCCCGCAGCGACGCUCUGCUUGCAAUUGCACCAGCUUACUGCCCCACCAUUCAAAAUAUACACUUAUCCGGUUUGUGACUUAGAGUCAUCCAGAUCUGUGUCGAAGCUAGCAUCGAUGUAACCCUUUACGACGAGCUCUUCGUCACCUCCAUAAACGAGAAACAUUUCCUUAGUCCUUUUCAGGUACUUCAGGAUAUUCUUCACCGCUGUCCAGUGUUCCUUGCCGGGAUUACUUUGGUACCUACCUACCAAACUUACGGCAAGGUUUACAUCAGGUCUGGUACACAGCAUGGCAUACAUAAUAGAACCUAUGGCUGAGGCAUAGGGGAUGACACUCAUCUCUUCUAUAUCUUCUGCCGUGGUCGGACAUUGAGCUGAGCUCAAUUUCACACCUUGCAACACAGGCAAGAACCCCUUCCUAGACUGAUCCAUAUUGAACUUCUUCAAUAUCUUAUCAAGGUAUGUACUUUGUGAAAGACCUAUGAGGCGUCUUGAUCUAUCUCUAUAGAUCUUGAUGCCUAAUAUAUAUGCAGCUUCUCCAAGGUCCUUCAUUGAAAAACUCUUAUUCAAGUAGGCCUUAAUGUUGUCCAAGAGUUCUAUAUCAUUUUCCAUCAAAAGUAUGUCAUCUACAUAUAAUAUGAGAAAUGCUACAGAGCUCCCACUCACUUUCUUGUAAACGCAGGCUUCUCCAUAAGUCUGCGUAAACCCAAACACUUUGAUCAUCUCAUCAAAGCGAAUGUUCCAACUCCGAGAUGCUUGCACUAGCCCAUAAAUCGAGGGUUGGAGCUUGCACACCUUGUCAGCAUUCUUAGGAUCGACAAAACCUUCCGGCUGCAUCAUAUACAAUUCUUCCUUAAGGAAACCAUUAAGGAAUGCCGUUUUGACGUCCAUUUUCCAUAUCUCAUAAUCAUAGAAUGCGGCAAUUGCUAACAUGAUUCGGACGGACUUUAGCUUCGCUACCGGUGAGAAAGUCUCAUCGUAGUCAACCCCUUGAACUUGUCGAUAACCCUUAGUGAAAAGCCGAGCUUUAUAGAUGGUCACAUUACCAUCCGCAUCUGUCUUCUUCUUAAAGAUCCAUUUAUUUUCUAUGGCUCGCCGCUCAACGGGCAAGUCAGUCAAAGUCCAUACUUUUUUUUCAUACAUGGAUCCUAUCUCGGAUUUCAUGGCUUCUAGCCAUUUGUCAGAAUCCGGGCCCGUCAGCGCUUUUUCAUAGUUCGGAGGUUCACCAUUGUCUAACAACAUGAUUUCCAAGACAGGGUUGCCGUACCACUCUGGUGCGGAACGUGUCCUUGUGGACCUACGAAGUUCAGUAGCAACUUGAUCCGAAGUUUCAUGAUCAUCUUCAUUAAUUUCCUCUCUAGUCGGUGCAGGCACCUCAGGAACAUUUUCUUGAGUUGUGCCAUUUUCCGGUUCAAGAGGUAAUACUUCAUCAAGUUCUACUUUCCUCCCACUUACUUCUUUCGAGAGAAACUCCUUCUCUAGAAAGGAUCCAUUCUUGGCAACAAAGAUCUUUGCCUUCGGAUCUGAGGUAGAAGGUAUACCCAAUAGUUUCUUUAGGGUAUCCUAUGAAGACGCAUUUUUCCGACUUGGGUUCGAGCUUUUCAGGUUGAAGUUUCUUGACAUAAGCAUCGCAUCCCCAAACUUUUAGAAACUAUAGCUUAGGUUUCUUCCCAAACCAUAAUUCAUACGGUGUCGUCUCAACGGAUUUCGACGGAGCCCUAUUUAAAGUGAAUGCGGCAGUCUGUAAAGCAUAGCCCCAAAAUAAUUGCGGUAAUUCGGUAAGAGUGAUCAUAGAUCGCACCAUAUCUAAUAGAGUGCGAUUACGACAUUCAGACACACCAUUACGCUGAGGUGUUCCAGGCGGCGUCAGUUGUGAAACUAUUCCACAUUUUCUUAAGUGUGUGCCAAAUUCGUGACUCAAGUAUUCUCCUCCAUGAUCUGAUCACAAGAACUUGAUUUUCCUGUCACGUUCAUUCUCAACCUCACUCUAAAAUUCCUUGAACUUUUCAAAGGUCUCAGACUUGUGUUUCAUUAAAUAGACAUACCCAUAUCUACUCAAGUCAUCAGUGAGGGUGAGAACAUAACGAUAGCCACCGCGAGCCCCAGCACUCAUUGGACCGCACGCAUCAGUAUGUAUGAUUUUCAAUAAGUUGGUUGCUCGCUCCAUUGUUCCUGAGAACAGAGUCUUGGUCAUUUUACCCAUGAGGCAUGGUUCGCACGUGUCAAAUGAUUCGUAAUCAAGAGACUCUAGAAGUCCAUCUGCAUGGAGCUUCUUCAUGCGUUUGACACCUAUGUGACCAAGGCGGCAGUGCCACAAGUAUGUGGGACUAUUAUUAUCAACCUUACAUCUUUUGGUAUUCACACUAUGAAUAUGUGUAGCAUUACGCUCGAGAUUCAUUAAGAAUAAACCAUUCACCAUCGGAGCAUGACCAUAAAACAUAUCUCUCAUAUAAAUAGAACAACCAUUAUUCUCGGAUUUAAAUGAGUAGCCAUCUCGUAUUAAACGAGAUCCUGAUACAAUGUUCAUGCUCAAACUUGGCACUAAAUAACAAUUAUUGAGGUUCAAAACUAAUCCCGUAGGUAAAUGUAGAGGUAGCGUGCCGACGGCGAUCACAUCGACCUUGGAACCAUUCCCGACGCGCAUCGUCACCUCGUCCUUCGCCAGUCUCCGCUUAUUCCGCAGCUCCUGCUUUGAGUUACAAAUGUGAGCAACUUCACCGGUAUCAAAUACCCAAGAGCUACUACAAGUACUGGUAAGGUACACAUCAAUUACAUGUAUAUCACAUAUACCUUUAUGAUGCCGGCCUUCUUGUCCGCUAAGUAUUUGGGGCAGUUCCGCUUCCAGUGACCACUUCCCUUGCAAUAAAAGCACUCAGUCUCGGGCUUGGGUCCAUUCUUUGGCUUCUUCCCGGCAGCUUGCUUGCCGGGCGCGGCAACUCCCUUGCCGUCCUUCUUGAAGUUCUUCUUACCCUUGCCUUUCUUGAACUUAGUGGUUUUAUUCACCAUCAACACUUGAUGUUCCUUUUUGACUUCUACCUCUGCUUAUUUCAGCAUUGCAAAUACUUCAGGAAUGGUCUUUUCCAUCCCCUGCAUAUUGAAGUUCAUCACAAAGCUCUUGUAGCUUGGUGGAAGCGACUAGAGGAUUCUCUCAAUGGCCGCGUCAUUUGGGAGAUUAACUCCCAGCUGAGUCAAGCGGUUAUGUAACCCAGACAUAGUGAGUAUGUGCUCACUGACAGAACUAUUUUCCUCCAUCUUACAGCUGAAUAACUUGUCGGAGACUUCAUAUCUCUCGACCCUGGCAUGAGCUUGAAAAACCAUUUUCAGCUCUUCGAACAUCUCAUAUGCUCCGUGUCUCUCAAAAUGCUUUUGGAGCCCCGGCUCUAAGCUGUAAAGCAUGCGGCACUGAACGAGGGAGUAAUCAUCGGAACGUGUCUGCCAAGCGUUCAUAACGUCUUGUUCUGCAGGGAGAACAGGUGCUUCACCUAGCGGUGCUUGUAGGACAUAAUCUUUCUUGGCAGCUAUGAGGAUGAUCCUCAGGUUCCGGACCCAGUCCGUAUAGUUCCUGCCAUCAUCUUUCAGCUUGGUUUUCUCUAGGAACGCGUUGAAGUUGAGGACAACAUUGGUCAUUUGAUCUACAAGACAUAUUGUAAAUAUUUUAGACUAAGUUCAUGAUAAUUAAGUUCAUCUAAUCAAAUUAUUCAGUGAACUCCCACUUAGAUAGACAUCCCUCCAGUCAUCUAAGUAUAACAUGAUCCGAGUUAACUAGGCCGUGUCCGAUCAUCACGUGAGACGGACUAGUCAACAUCGGUGAACAUCUUCAUGUUGAUCGUAUCUUCUAUACGACUCAUGCUCGACCUUUCGGUCUUCUAUGUUCCGAGGCCAUGUCUAUACAUGCUAGGCUCGUCAAGUCAACCUAAGUGUUUGCAUGUGUAAAUCUGUCUUACACCCGUUGUAUGUGAACGUUGGAAUCUAUCAUACCCGAUCAUCACGUGGUGCUUCGAAACAACGAACUGUCGCAACGGUGCACAGUUAGGGGGAACAUUUUCUUGAAAUUAUUAUGAGGGAUCAUCUUAUUUACUACCGUCGUUCUAAGUAAACAAGAUGCAAAAACAUGAUAAACAUCACAUGCAAUAAUAAUAGUGACAUGAUAUGGCCAAUAUCACAUAGCUCCUUUGAUCUCCAUCUUGGGGCUCCAUGAUCAUCUUGUCACCGGCAUGACACCAUGAUCUCCAUCAUCAUCGUGUCUCCAUGAAGUUGCUCGCCAACUAUUACUUCUACUACUAUGGCUAACACGUUUAGCAAUAAAGUAAAGUAAUUUACAUGGCGUUUCUCAAUGACACGCAGGUCAUACAAAAAAAUAAAGACAACUCCUAUGGCUCCUGCCGGUUGUCAUACUCAUCGACAUGCAAGUCGUGAUUCCUAUUACAAUAGCAUGAACAUCUCAUACGUCACAUAUAUAUCAUUCAUCAUUCAUCACAACUUUGGCCAUAUCACAUCACAAAACACUUGCUGCAAAAACAAGUUAGACGUCCUCUAAUUGUUGUUGCAAGUUUUACGUGGCUGAAAUAGGGUUCUAGCAAGAAUGUUUUCUUACCUACGUGAAAGCCACAACGUGAUUUGUCAACUUCUAUUUACCCUUCAUAAGGACCCUUUUCAUCGAAUCCGCUCCAACUAAAGUGGGAGAGACAGACACCCGCCAACCACCUUAUGCAACUAGUGCAUGUUAGUCGGUGGAACCGGUCUCACAUAAGCGUACGUGUAAGGUUGGUCCGGGCCGCUUUAUCCCACAAUACCGCUGAAGCAAAAUAAGACUAGUAGCGGCAAGAAAGUUGACAACAUCUACGCCCACAACAAAUUAUGUUCUACUCGUGCAAAGAGAACUACACAUAGACCUAGCUCAUGAUGCCACUGUUGGGGAACGUUGCAGAAAACAAAAAAAUUCCUACGGUUUCACCAAGAUCCAUCUAUGAGUUCAUCUAGCAAGGAGUGAUCGGAUGCAUCUACAUACCUUGUAGAUCAUGAGCGGAAGCGUUCAAAGAACGGGGAUGAGGGAGUCGUACUCGACGUGAUCCAAAUCACCGGAGAUCCUAGCGCCGAACGGACGGCACCUCCGCGUUCAACACACGUACGGUCAGCGUGACGUCUCCUCCUUCUUGAUCCAGCAAGGGGAAGGAGAGGUUGAGGAAGAUGGCUCCAGCAGCAGCACGACGGCGUGAUGGUGGUGGAGAAGCAGUACUCCGACUAGGCUUCGCCGAGCUCUACGGAGGAGGAGGAGGUGUUGGAGGGGAGAGGGAGGCGCCAAGGGCAUGGGUGCGGCUGCCCUCCCUCCCCCCUCUAUAUAUAGGGUCCCCAAGGGGGGCGCCGGCCCUGGAGAUCCAAUCUCCCAAGGGGCGGCGGCCAAGGGGGGUGGAGUGCCCCCCAAGGCAAGUGGGGCGCCCCCCACCCUAGGGUUCCCAACCCUAGGAGCAGGGGGAAGGCCCAAGGGGGGCGCACCAGCCCACUAGGGGCUGGUUCCCCUCCCACUUCAGCCCAUGGGGCCCUCCGGGAUAGGUGGCCCCACCCGGUGGACCCCCGGGACCCUUCCGGUGGUCCCGGUACAAUACCGGUGACCCCGAAACUUGUCCCGAUUGCCGAAAUAGCACUUCCUAUAUAUAAUUCUUUACCUCCGGACCAUUCCGGAACUCCUUGUGACGUCCAGGAUCUCAUCCGAGACUCCUAACAACUUUCGGGUUACUGCAUAUUCAUAUCCCUACAACCCUAGCGUCAUCGAACCUUAAGUGUGUAGACCCUACGGGUUUGGGAGACAUGUAGACAUGACCGAGAUGGCUCUCCGGUCAAUAACCAACAAUGGGAUCUAGAUACCUAUGUUGGCUCCCACAUGCUCCUCGAUGAUCUCAUCGGAUGAACCACGAUGUCGAGGAUUCAAGCAACCCCGUAUACAAUUCCCUUUGUCAAUCGGUACGUUACUUGCCCGAGAUUCGAUCGUCGGUACAAUACCUCGUUCAAUCUCGUUACCGGCAAGUCACUUUACUCGUACUGUAAUGCAUGAUCCCGUGACCAGACACUUGGUCACUUUGAGCUCAUUGUGAUGAUGCAUUACCGAAUGGGCCCAGAGAUACCUCUCCGUCAUACGGAGUGACAAAUCCCAGUCUUGAUCCGUGUCAACCCAACAGACACUUUCGGAGAUACCUGUAGUAUACCUUUAUAGUCACCCAGUUACGUUGUGACGUUUGGUACACCCAAAGCACUCCUACGGUAUCCGGGAGUUACACGAUCUCAUGGUCUAAGGAAAGGAUACUUGACAUUGGAAAAACUCUAGCAAACGAACUAUACAAUCUUGUGCUAUGUUUAGGAUUGGGUCUUGUCCAUCACAUCAUUCUCCUAAUGAUGUGAUCUCGUUAUCAAUGACAUCCAAUGUCCAUUGUCAGGAAACCAUGACUAUCUGUUGAUCAACGAGCUAGUCAACUAGAGGCUUACUAGGGACAUGUUGGUUUCUAUUUAUUCACACAUGUAUUACGAUUUCCGGAUAACACAAUUAUAGCAUGAAUAAAAGACAAUUAUCAUGAACAAGGAAAUAUAAUAAUAAUGCUUUUAUUAUUGCCUCUAGGGCAUAUUUCCAACACUCAAUUCCAUUUUUUAUAGUUUUCUUUUAUAAACUAAACUAGUGAUAAAACAAGAAACAAAAAGAUUCGACUUCAAGAUCUAAAGAUAUACCUUCAAGCGCUAACCUCCCCGGAACGGCGCCAGAAAAGAGCUUGAUGUCUACUACACAACCUUCUUCUUGUAGACGUUGUUGGGCCUCCAAGUGCAGAGGUUUGUAGGAUAGUAUAAAAUUUCCCUCAAGUGGAUGACCUAAGGUUUAUCAAUCCAUAGGAGGCGUAGGAUAAAUAUGGUCUCUCUCAAGCAACCCUGCAACCAAAUAACAUGGAGUCUCUUGUGUCCCCAACACACCCAAUACAAUGGUAAAUUGUAUAGGUGCACUAGUUCGGCGAAGAGAUGGUGAUACAAGUGGUAUAUUGAUGGUAGAUAAAGGUUUUUGUAAUCUGAAAAUAUAAAUACAGCAAAGUAACUAAUGAUAAAAGUGAGCGUACACGCUAUUGCAAUGCUAGGAAAAAAGGCCUAGGGUUCAUACUUUCACUAGUGCAAGUUCCCUCGACAAUAAUAACAUAAUUGAAUCACAUAAUUAUCCCUCAACAUGCAACAAAGUGUCACUCCAAAGUCACUAAUAGUGGAGAACGAACGAAGAGAUUAUGGUAGGGUAUGAAACCACCUCAAAGUUAUUCUUUCCAAUCAAUCCGUUGGGCUAUUCCUAUAAGUGUCACAAACAACCCUAGAGUUUGUACUAGAAUAACACCUUAAGACACAAAUCAACCAAAACCCUAAUGUCACCUAGAUACUCCAAUGUCACCUCAAGUAUCCGUGGGUAUGAUUAUACGAUAUGCAUCACACAAUCUCAGAUUCAUCUAUUCAACCAACACAUAGAACCUCAAAGAGUGCCCUAAAGUUUCUAUCGGAGAAUCACGACGAAACCGUGUGCCAACCCCUAUGCAUAGGUUCAUGGGAGGAACCCGCAAGUUGAUCACCAAAACAUACAUCAAGAGAAUCACGUGGUAUCCCAUUGUCACCACAGAUACGCAUGGCAAGACAUACAUCAAGUGUUCUCAAAUCUUUAAAGACUCAAUCCGAUAAGAUAACUUCAAAGGGAAAACUCAAUCCAUUACAAGAGAGUAGAGGGGGGAGAAAACAUCAUAAGAUCCAACUAUAAUAGCAAACUCACAAUACAUCAAGAUCGUACCACCUCAAGAACACGAGAGAGAGAGAGAGAGAGAGAGAGAGAGAGAGAGAGAGAGAUCAAACACAUAGCUACUGGUACAUACCCUCAGUCCCGAGGGAGAACUACUCCCUCCUCGUCAUGGAGAGCAUCGGGAUGAUGAAGAUGACCACCGAAGAGGGAUUCCCCCUCCGGCAGGGUGCUGGAACGGGUCUCGAUUGUCUUUCGGUGGCAACGAAGGCUUCUGGCGGCAGAACUUCCGAUCUAUUGUGAUCCCCGAUCGUUUUAGGGUAUAUGGGUAUAUAUAGGAGGAAGAAGUACGUCAGGGGAGCCACGAGGGGCCCAUGAGGGUCGAGGGCGUGCCCAGGGGGGUGGGCGCGCGCCCCUACCUCGUGGCUUCCUCGAAGCUUCCUUGACGUGGACUCCAAGUCUCCCGGGUUGCUUUCCUUCCAAAAAUAAGUUCCGUGAAGUUUCAAGUCAAUUGGACUCCGUUUGAUUUUCCUUUUCUGCGAUACUCUAAAACAAGGAAAAAAAAGAAGCUGGCACUGGGUUCUAGGUUAAUAGGUUAGUCCCAAAAAAUCAUAUAAAAUAGCAUAUAAAUGCAUAUGAAACAUCCAAGGUUGAUAAUAUAAUAGCAUGGAACAAUCAAAAAUUAUAGAUACGUUGGAGACGUGUCAACGCCGCGUGGGUCGGGCAUCGUGAGCUUACGGUAGGCAUAAUGUGGUACCGCGUUGAAUUGAGCGAACGCGGUUCGUCUGAGUAGUGCCUGAUAAUCACUGCGAAAGGGGACGAUGUCGAAGAUUAACUCUUCGGCACGGUAAUUGUCUGGUGAUCCGGAGACUACUUCAAGGGCGAAGGAGCCUGUACAGCUGGCCUCCAUACCUGGUAUGAUACCUCUGAAGGUGGUUUUAGUGGGAUUGAUCACCGAAUGAUCGAUGACCAUCUUGCGCACUGUGUCCUAGUAAAGUAGGUUUAGACUGCUCCCUCCGUCCAUAAGGACUCGCGUGAGGUGGAACCCGUCAAUUAUUGGGUCGAGGACUAGUGCGGCUGGAUUGCCCUGAUUGGUGUUAACCGGACGAUCCGUGCGGUUGAAGGUGAUCGGCCCUAGUUUAUAUUGUGGGACGACUGGUUCCGUUAAGUCGACAUCCCUAAGGGUGUGCGUCCGGUCCGGGUUGGGAGUGUAGGUGCCGUUUACUACGUUCACCGUUUGGAUUUGCGGGGGAAAUUUCUUUUGCCCUCCUGUACUCGAUGAUCUGGGCUCCUCGUCGCCAUCGUCGCUUUGAGACCCCUUAUCUUUGUUUUUGGCACCUGACCUGCCGGCUUGUUUGAAGAUCCAGCAUUCUCUGUUGGUAUGAUUGGCUGGUGUUCAUGCGGUGCCAUGAAUUUGGCAUGGGCGGUUGAGUAUGCGGUACAGGCUGGACGGACCCGAAUUUGGCAUGGGAGGGGAAAGCCAGGGUUCGUCCCGUUCGGGUUCGACCCGACCGAGCCACAAACAACGACCGAGCUGGGUGGGCCCGAGUCAGUGGCGUGGCGCGCGCGGGUAUGCCACCAUGUCACCUGACACGUGGGCCCGCUCGGUUAGAUUCAUGGUCAAUACGUGCUUAUACGGCUGUCAAACCGUUUUGCAACACUUAGGCUUAGAGCUGGUACUGAAUUGCAAAAAUUGUGUCUAAUGGUACUGAUUCGUUACGACGUGCCGAAGUGUAGUAGUUUCUUGCAAUUAACUCAAACUCUACGGUUAUAUCACCUCGAUGUGUGAGUCAAUGUGUUUGAACCAAUCAAGAGUUGCAUGUGAAUGUUUCAAGUGUGAUUAAUAGGUCCGUGUUAUAACAGCCACACCUUGCGAAAGAAGAUAGCAAACACCCAAUCAUGUCUAGUAGUUCGAUAUGGGCGCAACUAUGGGUAGCUUAUAGCGACACGGAAGCCAGCGUUUCCUAAAGAAACUCUCGGUUGGGCCGCCCUAGAGACAAAUUAUUUUUCUCUCAUUUUUUCUUAAUAUUAUUUAUUUCUAUUUUAAAAAAUAAAAGUAAAUAUAUUCCACAAACAAAUACUGAAAUUCUGAAAAAAUGUUGGUCCAUUGUUAAAAAAAUAUUGAUAGCAUUAAACAAAUCAUGGUAACAAAAUAAUCUACACAUAUUUAAAAAAUUGUACGUGAAAUUAUAAUGAAUGUUAAAUUUGUUUAAAAAUGUUCCUAAUGUAAUGUACAACAUGAAACAAAUUAUACAUCAAAACAUAUAUUUGAAAAUUGUUAAUUGUUUAUUUGAAAAAUGUUAAAUGUGUAUAGAAAAAAAGGUUCCUGAUAUAUAAGACAAAUGCAUGAAGUACAUGCAAUUUUUUUUACAUCCAAAGAUAUAUUUUAAAAAUAUUAAUCAUGUAUUUUAAAACUGUUAAAUGUUUAUAGAGAAAAAAUGCUCCUGAUGCAUACGAAACAAUUUCCAAUGUGUAUGAAAAAAUUAGACAUGAAAUAAGUAUUUUAAAAAAAAAUUAAUGAUUCUAUUUAAAAAUAUUUCUCAUGUAGAUGGAAAGAAAACUCGACUUAAAAAAGACUCAAAAAGAAAAAGAACGUACAGAGAGCAAAUUAGAAACAACUGAGUGAACUAGCGAUAUGCGAGAACACGUUAAUGGUCCAGCCCAUACAUGAGGACUCCAGAGGUGAGCCUGAAUAGGUGUGAUAUAGCUAUGACGAUUUGACACCCUUCAUAGCUUCACGAAUGCUAUAUCUCGCGCAAAGCGAGAUUAGCAUUUGCCACGCCUGAAGGUGCAAGAAUAGCAUCAGGUCGUUGUAAGGUUUGCAAUCCUACCAUCAGAGCUUCUAUCCGAUUUAAAUCAUGUUUCUGGCAACCUUGGGUCAUUCGCUCGCGCUCAAGCCAUUCGCUCACAGGUUCCACACACUAGUUUGGUUACUUUUUUUUCUUAUUUUCUUUCUUCACCGGUUUUCUUUCAUUUUUUGAAAAAAAAAAUUCAUCGGUUUUCUUUGUGUCUUUCAUGUUUUACUCUUGUUUUCCUUUUUUACUCGUUUAUCUAUCCUUUUUUUUCUUUGUUUCUUUCUCAGUGUUCUUUGUUUAGGGUUUAGGGAUUUCUUUGUUUUCCUUUCUUUUAAUGUCAACCUUUUGACAUAUAUUUUUUGUAUAUAUCAAAAAUAUUUUUGAUAGAGAGGUUUAACAGUUUUCAAAUACAUGAUUACCCUUUUUAAAGUUAUAUUUUUUGACAUCUACUUGUUCCAUAAACAUAGUGAUGGGGUUAUACAUAAGGGAUGGGCCCAAGUACACAUAUGUCCCAGCCAAAGGCCCAGGGUAUUCAAGGAUACGGUCCCAAAGACAAUGGGGCAUUGGAGAUACAAGCCCAAGGCAUCAGAUACAAGGGGAAUACUCGCUAAGGAGUCAAGUGUCUAUAGUCGGAUUACACACCCCCUGACAGACAAGACUCAAUAGUCGGUCAUGAGAAAGAUAUGAGCAGUAAGAUCAUCUACAGUCGGACAUCAGCAAGAUAGGAGCAGUCGGACCAUCUACAGUCGGCUACGUCCUAGGAUGAUGUGACCCUCAUGAUGCAUUCAUCGCCGUUACAUAACUGACUAGUUAAAUACGCCAGUUAGUAUUAAUAAUAGCCACGAACAGUCGAUCAUGCAUGUGACCAUCAAUAGUAUUUACACCAGCCUGUUAUGGCACUCCCUCCUAGCGCACUCCAUAUAAGACAAGAGUAGGACAUCACACGGAGGGUUGAACUCUCUCACAUUGUAACCUACGCCAAGAGCGAGAUCACACAGGAGUAGGGCGUUACCAACACCAUAGAGGGCCCAAACCUAUAUAAUUCCUUGUGUUUAAUCCCAUCUGCUUUACAUACCAAUUAGCUUAUAAUUGCCUCUACAUUCACAUCACCAUAGUAUUGUCAUGGUUAUAUCCAUGACAAGAACUAAUUUUUUUUACAUUAUAUAUAAAAAAAUAAUAUUUUUAGAUGCAUGGUUUCUUCCAUACACAUUAUACAUGUUUGUAUACAUAUCAGGACCAUUUAUAUAUACACAUUAAAAAAACUAAUUACAUGAUUACUUUUUUUAAAAUGUAUACUUUUAUGUCUAAUAUUUUCAUACAUACUGUACAUUUUUUGUACAUCAGGAACCUUUUUAUAUUUACAUUUAACAUUUUCAAAUACAUAAUUAAUAUUUUUUACACAUAUAUUUUUAUAUCUACUUUUCCCUUAAACAUUAUACAUUUUUUUAUACAUCAGGAACAUUUUUUAUAUACCAAUUCAACAGUUUUGAAAUACAUGAUUAACAUGUCUCAUAUAUAUGUUUGUGUCUAUUUUUUCAUACAAAAUAUACAGUUUUUUAUUAAUUAGAAACAUGUUUCUGUACAUGUUUAAUAUUUUCUUAUAAUGCGCAAUUAACAUUUUCAACUUUUCUGUAUAAAGUGAAUUUUACAAUAGAUAUAUUCAGAAUAUUUCAUAAAAAAGGCAAAGUAAAAAAACAAAAAAAAUGCAAAUAUGUGUAAAAGGAAGGAAGAAACCGUAGAAGGCAUGUGUAGGCGCUGUGGCGGCCCAAUAGGUCUGCUGCACAUCCUACUAUCUUGUGUCAAUCGAGACAUAGGCUUGCCCUCUUAAGGAGCAACUAACCAACGGUUACCCCUUGGCGAGCUCCUGCAAGGGUCAUUGUUGUGGUAUGAGAGCACGCCAAGUGGUCCGUCCAACUGCUGUCACAUGUCGUGUGUUAGGUGCUUCCUGUGGAUUUCAUUUUCAUUUUUUAUUUUUUGUACGCGUUUUCGGGUUUCUGAUUGUCUUUUCAAUGGGUUUUGGAUUUCUGCUUUUUCCAUGGUUUUCUCUAGAUCAUGAAAGAAAAAUAUCUUUUUAUUUUCUUAUGAAGCACAACCCUGCUUCUAAAAAAACAAUUUUAUGCUUUCACGAGAAGCACAAUUUUUGUUUCUCAUGUAAUCACAAAAUUGCUUGCAGCAGGCGCACCACAUGUGCUUCCAUGAUUAGCAUAGCUAUGCUUCCACGCGAAUCAAAUAUGUGCUUAUGCUACAAGCACAACCUAUGCUUCCAUAUGCUUCUCGAAAAGAGAAAAGGCACACCCUGUGUUUUCACGAGAAGUACAUUUGUGCAUCCCUGAGAACUGUAGCCUUGCUUCCGUGAGAAGCACAGUCUAUCUAUUACCUAAUAUUAAAAGAUAGAAGAUCUCAUAGUUCUCCAUCAGUCACCUCUUCAUAAACCGUUGGUUUUGUGUUAAUCUUAUAGAUUGACGGCCGAGAUUUAAAAAUAGAUUUGCACAGGAAAAAAAAGAUCCGCAUUGACGAUCCAUCGUAGGUAUCCAUCCAUCCAACUUUCUUUGUUCUGCCCACAUCACGCUUGGUAAAAAAAGAAAAAAAAUCAGAAACCCAUCGAUGCACGAUUGAGUAAGCCGGGAUAAAAAACAGCUCAAUAAAAUAUGGCCAGCCACGCGCGAUCUUAGGAGAAAAAUUGUUUGCCACAUGAUCUAUCUCCUAGCUACGCCGAUCCUCAACGGCGAUCAUGCCAAGAUGUUCGCCAGGAUCCGCAACUCCGUCGACCACUCGGGUGACAUGCCACAGCGACACAACAGGGCAGCAGCGAGUGACAUGGCCGGCUUGCCGGGCCGCGCGCUCUCCGGCUCCAGGUGCGCGCGGCACACCAGACAUGACGCACAUCCAGGUAGUAAUGCAACUGCCCUCGAAGAAGUGAUGCCGGCAUUACACGCACCGCGUUGAGGUUCUGCAGCCACACACUCCACCGACGUUGCCCUCGCCUUGCAGCCGCUCUUCCUCUUACAACUGGUGCUCCUGCAGCCAGUGGCGGAGACAGGGGGGACCAGCAGGGCCCUGGCCCCCCCUAACAGCAGAGAUAUAGUGCUAAUUUGCAGAUGAAUAGUGCUAAAAUUAGUGAUUAAUUUCUGUCAAAUGCAUGUUUUUCAUUGGCUUGGCCCUCCCUAAGCAGUUUUAACAUCAUUCGGCCUGGUUGAUACAAUUUUCCUGGCUCCGCCAUUGCCUCCAACUGCCCCAGCUACCCUGGGGCUGGGGCGACGAUGUCGGCGCCUCGCGCGCUCUGUAGGUGAAGGUGGGGAGCGCGGGGAUGUCCUUGAUGCUCGGCCUGAGGUGGGUUGCCAGAGGCGGGUCGUCGCCGGUGCGGUGGAGCUUGCGCCACUCAGACAAGAGCGACCGGCCAUAGCGGACGGCCACGUACAAUACGACACUGACAAGGACAAUGAUGAUGAUGUACAACAGCAUCAGGAAGGAGAACAACAUGCUCGUCCUUAGGGGACAUGCGCCGACGCGUCCGGCACUCCGACGCAAUGGUGGUGUAUGCGCCGGUCAACAUGCAGUCCAUGCACACGUCGUCAUGGGCGGUGGCGACUCGGCCUACAUCUCCCUCCUGCCCUAUCGGUUCGCCAUUCUCCCGAGCGUCCACAACGCACACUCGCCGGUGGCCGCCACUCUAGAAGUCGAGUCUAGACCGUUCGCCCCAGGGAUCGUAGCUCAGCGCUCAUGGAGCCCUGCUCCAGUGCUCCCCCUAACCUAAUUUUGAAGGAGUAUUUUUGUCCCCGCAAAUUUGUUUUUUUUCUGGCCCGCCGCCGCCCAGAUCCAAGCCCUGUCUAGUCCUGUAUAACCCAGAACGUAUACGUACAGUACCCUGGUUCGAAAAAAAAAACAUCACACGACCCCACGUCCACGUAAGACCUGCCGAAUCCAAUCAUUCACACGAGCAGCUCCAUCAAUCUUGCGAGCAUUGACGCAGCUCCAUAAGUCACGUAGUAGAUCUCCAGCGGCGGCUAUCUCGUCGCCGGCGAUCUCGUCGGACAGCGGGCGCGACAACGUCGUGAAUCUCUAACGAGCGCGCACAGGUACCGCAUCCCGCGUCCCCCCUCUAGUCUCGCUCGCGGCAACAUCGAACGAACUGCCGCCGCCAGUGGUAGUGGUUAACCUAGCGGGGCGGGUAACCUAGCUACCUGGCGGCGCAUGUGAUCGUGGAUCUUGUUCCGGUAGUGCUGCUCCUCGUGAUCUGGGUUCACGUAGCGUCGGUUGCCGUCGGCUGUGCGCACCACUGGUAUCGUUAUUUGAUGUGGCGGCUAACCUAGGUAUCCGACGGCAGAGGUAAUCACAGAUCAAGCUAGGUUUUGAGAUCGUGCAGUUCCUCGCGAUUGAAAGUGAUCGCGACGGGUGCCGUGGCCAUCUUCCUUACUAAGUUGGGCAGAUCUGAACGGCCUCGGUUGCGGUUGUUUACAUAACAUCCGUGAUCGUGUGCUAUGUGUUUUAUAUUUCAUCAUUGAUAAUGUUUGCACAUGUGAUGAUACAUAAUAUUGGUUGUAGGAAAUGGCGGACGAGGAGUUAACUGAUAUCAUGGUAGACAUGGAGUUUGGAGAACUGAUGAAAGACUGGAUAGAAGAUUGGUCAGAUGAUGAAAAUUCAGAUCGUGAAGAUCGGUCAGAGAAUGGGAACGAAUGGGACGAUCUUAUUGUGAGUGGCAUUGUCAUGUUGUAAUUUUUUGGUGGCAUCCGACAACAUUAAAUCUUUGUGUUGAAAAUUUAUAGAUCGAUGAGCUUGAUGAUGAUCAGGAAAACAACUCAGAGCUCUCGAAUGAAGAUUACAUUAGUCAGGUACGUAAGUGAAAAAGAUUGUUGGCAUGCAAAUUGAAUUUCUUCUGGAAUAUUAUAUGAUAAGUAAUUAUGUAUUUGUGUUGUAUUUUUCAGUUCAUUCUCGAAUGUCAUAAUGCGUAUGACUAUUACGGUGAAUCCGACGCGGAGACAGGCCUUAACAACGAAUCAUUAGAUGCACCUGGUUCUGGGGAGUCCGAGUCGUCGGUCAUCAUGAGUGAGGUAUGUGUGUAAUCAAUGUUCUAUGGAAGUAAGUAAUGUUAAACCUUAGAAAUAUGUUUUCAUGGUUGUGGUUUGAUUGUGUAGGUGACACAAAAUGAUGGGGCAAAGAAUGUCCAAGAUACUGCCAGUGCAGAUGAUAAGAGGGAUAUGUUCAUGCAGAUAAUGGAAAUGACCUUUAUGUCUCACGAUGCUGCGUAUGAUUUCUACAACAGCUAUGCUAGAGAUAAUGGUUUCAGCAUUAGAAAGAAUAAGGUCAGGUAUAGCAAAACAGAGUCACGUCAUAUGCGUUAUAGGCGGUUUGUUUGUUCAAGACAAGGGAAACGUGACAGCAAGUUGCUAACCGAGGAAGGACACAGCCGUAGGCUCAGAGCCGAGACACGCUGCUUUUGCGAAGCGCACCUGACCGUCAAGCUUGACCAAAAGCAUGGGGUUUGGUAUGUUGAAAGUUUUGAGGACAAGCAUAGCCAUAUGUUGGCAGGACCGGACGAGGUACCUUUUCUUUGGUCCCACAGAAAAAUCAAAGAGUACCAGAAGCAUGAGAUAAUGUCCACGGCUCGGAGAGCUCGGGAAUCCGGACAUAGUUGGUCCUCAAGAUAGAGGAAAGGUCGCGACAUUGUUCCUCCACCACUGCAAUAUGAUGGGUGACCGGUGGAGAGUUAAUCUCCCUUUGAUCGGGUUUAAGCCCAAUCCGAUCAUAGUCCGUAGCGACUCCCAAGGCGGCGAUGCGAUCCAAGAGCUCGUUUAAGGGGGCGAGCUCCAUUGGAUCCAUCUGUUCGGCGAGUGCCGAUUUGACGUGGAGGCUGUUUUCGAUGACCCGAGAAGUCAUCAUCGGCUCGGCGGCCGAACAUGCGGUCAUGAUGAAACCGCCUAGCCGGAGAGUUUGGCCGACAACCAAAGCUCCCCCAACAGUAGUACCGUCUUUAAAGACGAGACGAGACAUUCUUCCUUCUGGCAACGACACAGAGGAACUCUCAAUGAAAGCUUCAAUGUCGGUGUCAAAACCAGCGGAUCUCGGGUAGGGGGUCCCGAACUAUGCGUCUAAGGCGGAUGGUAACAGGAGGCAGGGAACACGAUGUUUUACCUAGGUUCGGGCCCUCUUGAUGGAGGUAAAGCCCUAUGUCCUGCUUGAUUAAUAUUGAUGAUAUGGGUAGUACAAGAGUAGAUCUACCAGGAGAUCAGAGAGGCUAAACCCUAGAAGCUAGCCUAUGGUAUGAUUGUAUGUUGUCCUACGGACUAAAACCCUCCGGUUUAUAUAGACACCGGAGGGGGCUAGGGUUACACAAGGUCGGUUACAAAGGAGAAGAUGUACAUAUCCGUAUUGCCUAGCUUGCCUUCCACGCCAAGUAGAGUCCCAUCCGGACACGAGACGAAGUCUUCAAUCUUGUAUCUUCAUAGUCCAACAGUCCGGUCAAAGGAUAUAAUCCGGCUGUCCGGAGCCCCUAAUUCAGGACUCCCUCAGGCCCCCUGUUGCUCCACCGACGUACUCCUUCCUCCUAUAUAUACCUAUGUACCCCCAAAUGAUCAGAUACGGAGCCAAAACCCUAAUUCCACCGUCGUAACUUUCUGUAUCCACCGCCGGAGGGGGCAUCGAUCAUGGAGGGCUUCUACAUCAACACCAUAACCUCUCCGAUGAAGUGUGAGUAGUUUACCUCAGACCUACGGGUCCAUAGUUAGUACCUAGAUGGCUUCUUCUCUCUUUUUGGAUAUCAAUACAAUGUUCUCCCCCUCUCUUGUGGAGAUCUAUUCGAUGUAAUCUUCUUUUUGCGGUGUGUUUGUUGAGACCGAUGAAUUGUGGGUUUAUGAUCAAGUCUAUCUAUGAAUAAUAUUUGAAUCUUCUCUGAAUUCUUUUAUGUAUGAUUGGUUAUCUUUGCAAGUCUCUUCGAAUUAUCAGUUUGGUUUGUCCUACUAGAUUGAUCUUUCUUGCAAUGGGAGAAGUGCUUAGCUUUGGGUUCAAUCUUGCGAAGUCCUUUCCCGGUGACAGUAGGUGCAGCAAGGCACGUAUUGUAUUGUUGCCAUCGAGGAUAACAAGAUGGGGUUUUCUUCAUAUUGCAUGAGUCUAUCCCUCUACAUCAUGUCAACUUGCUUAAGGCGUCACUCUAUUUUUAACUUAAUACUCUAGAUGCAUGCUGGAUAGCGGUCCAAGAGUGGAGUAAUAGUAGUAGAUGCAGGCAGGAGUCGGUCUACUUGUCUCGGAUGUGAUGCAUAUAUACAUGAUCAUACCUAGAUAUUCUCAUAACUAUGCUCAAUUCUGUCAAUUGCUCAACAGUAAUUUGUUCACCCACCGUAGAAUACUUAUGCUCCCGAGAGAAGCCACUAGUGAAACCUAUGGCCCCCGGGUCUAUCUUUAUCAUAUUAAUCUCCUACCACUUAGUUAUUUCCUUUGCUAUUUACUUUGCCUUUAUUUUACUUUGCAUCUUUAUCAUAAAAAUACCAAAAAUAUUAUCUUUAUCAUAUCUAUCAUAUCUCACUCUCGUAAGUGGCCUUAUAGGGAUUGACAACCCCUAUUUGCGUUGGUUGCGAGGAUUUAUUUGUUUUGUGCAGGUACGAGGGACUCGCGUGCAGCCUCCUACUGGAUUGAUACCUUGGUUCUCAAAAACUGAGGGAAAUACUUACGCUACUUUGUUGCAUCAUCACUUCCUCUUCGGGGAAAACCAACACAGUGCUCAAGAGGUAGCAAGAAGGAUUUCUGGCGCCGUUGCCGGGGAGGUCUACGCAAAAGUCAACAUACCAAGUACCCAUCACAUACCCUUAUCUCCCGCAUUACAUUAUUUGCCAUUUGCCUCUCGUUUUCCUCUCACCCACUUCACCCUUGCUGUUUUAUUCGCCCUCUCUCUCUCUAUCCUCCCUCUCUUUCUCUAUUUGCCUCUUUUUGCCCGCUUGCUUUUUGUUUGCUUGUGUGUUAGUUUGUUUGCUUGUCGUUAUGGCUAGUCCCUUACCUUCUCCGUUGUCUCCCAAGAAUGAAAUUUUAAAUUUUAAGCAAAGGGAGGGAGAAAAUCUAAAAGAUGCUUCGUAUAGAAUUUGCAAUGCUCAAAAUAGAUCAACUAGGAAGCAAUCUACUUCCGUUCUUCUUUGCAAUUUUUAUGUAGGCAUUACUCCUUGGCACCGUUAUGUUCUUGAUACUAUUACCGGAGGGAACUUUUUGGGUAGCCAUACUUUUGAUUCUUAAAAUGCUAUGUUAGAUUUAUUUGUUUCACCCCCUCUCUUGGUUAAUGGAACUAUAUUAACUUUGGAGCAUGUAAUGCAACGGCUUGAAAUUAUUGAAAAUAAGGUUGCUACCAUAGAAUUAAUUGAAAAUUUGGAUAUGGAUCUAAAGUAGGAGUUACUUUGAAAGAUAUUAAAGAAAAGGAACCCAUAGUUAAUGAGAAAAUAAAUCAUGAUUCCACUAGGAUCGAUAAACUUGAAGGUAUUAUUACCAACUUGGGAACCGCUUUUUCUUCUGUAAAGAAUACUCCAAGUCCUCCCAGUAAAAUUACCAAGCUUAUGUAUGUUCCUAAAAAUAAGGGUGAAUCCUCUAGUAAGGAAAAUGCGGAUCUCAAAUCUAGAAGUAUUCAUCCCAAUCUUUUUACUAUCAUUAAGGAACCAUUUGUUACAAAUGAGUUUUUUGAUGUUGUGCCUAAAAGUUUGAUAAUUAAUAAAAAGAAAGAAAUUCCUAAAGAUGGUAGAUGCCUCAUUGAAUAAUUACCUACCAAAGAUGGCAAUACUUAGAUCUAUCCCUGCUUGUUAUGCCUAGCUAGGGGCGUUAAACGAUAGCGCUUGUUGGGAGGCAACCCAAUUUUAUUUUUAUUCCUUGAGUUUUGCUCCUGUUUAGUAAUAGAUAAUUAUCUAGCCUCUGUUAUGAUUGUGUUUUUUGUGUUUAAAUUAGUGUUUGUGCCAAGUAGAACCGUUGGGAAGACUUGGGGAAAGUCUUGUUGAAUUUGCUGUAAAAACAGAAACUUUAGCGCUCACAAGAACUGCUGUCAUUUUUAUUUGAAAAGUGAUAUUUAGUUCAUUCUUUUUGCAUAUGAUUAAUAUAUAAAUUCCUCACGUCCAGAAAAUUAUUUUAGAAUUUUUGGGGUUCCAUAUCUUGCGCUAGCUACAGAUUACUACAGACUGUUCUGUUUUUGACAGAUUCUGUUUUUCGUGUGUUGUUUGCUUAUUUUGAUGAAUCUAUGGCUAGUAAAAUGGUUUAUAAACCAUAGAUAAGUUGGAAUACAGUAGGUAUAACACAAAUAUAAAUAAAUAAUGAGUUCAUUACAGUACUUUGAAGUGGUCUUUUAUUUUCUUUCGCUAACGGAGCUCACGAGAUUCUCUACUUUAAGUUUUGUGUUGUGAAGUUUUCAAGUUUUGGGUAAAGAUUUGAUGGAUUAUGGAACAAGGAGUGGCAAGAGCCUAAGCUUGGGGAUGACCAUGGCACCCCCAAGAUAAUCUAAGGACACCUAAAAGCCAAAGCUUGGGGAUGCCCCGGAAGGCAUCCCCUCUUUCGUCUACUUCUAUCGGUAACUUUACUUGGAGCUAUAUUUUUAUUCGCCACAUGAUAUGUGUUUUGCUUGGAGCGUCUUGUAUGAUUUGAGUCUUUUCUUGUUAAUUUACCACAAUCAUCCUUGCUGUACACACCUUUUGAGAGAGCCAUACAUUAUUUGGAAUUUCUUAGAAUACUCUAUGUGCUUCGCUUAUAUCUUUUGAGUUAUAUAAUUUUGCUCUAGUACUUCGCUUAUAUCUUUUAGAGCACGGUGGUGGAUUUGUUUUAUAUAAACUAUUGAUCUCUCAUGCUUCACUUAGAUCAUUUUUGAGAGUCUUAAUAGCAUGUUAAUUUGCUUAAAAUCCUAAUAUGCUAGGUAUUCAAAGUUAGUAAAAUUUCCUUAAGAGUGUUUUGAAUACUAAAGUUUGAUGCUUGAUGAUUGUUUUGAGAUAUGGAGAUAAUAAUAUCAAAGUCGUGCUAGUUGAGUAGUUGUGAAAUUGAGAAAUACUUGUGUUGAAGUUUGCAAGUCCCGUAGCAUGCACGUAUGGUAAACGUUAUGGAACAAAUUUGAAAGAUGAGGUGUUAUUUGAUUGUCUUCCUUAUGAGUGGCGGUCGGGGACGAGCGAUGGUCUUUUCCUACCAAUCUAUCCCCCUAGGAGCAUGCGCGUAGUACCGAGGUUUUUGAUGACUUGUAGAUUUUUGCAAUAAGUAUGUGAGUUCUUUAUGACUAAUGUUGAGUCCAUGGAUUAUACGCACUCUCACCCUUCCAUCCUUGCUUGCCUCUUCGGUACCGUGCAUUGCCCUUUCUCACAUUGAGAGUUGGCGCAAAGUUCGCCGGUGCAUCCAAACCCCGUGAUAUGAUACGCUCUUUCACACAUAAACCUCCUUAUAUCUUCCUCAAAACAGCCACCAUACCUACCUAUUAUGGCAUUUCCAUAGCCAUUCCGAGAUAUAUUGCCAUGCAACUUUCCAUCAUCCCGUUCAUCAUCACACAUUCAUUAUUGUCAUAUUGCUUAGCAUGAUCAUGUAGUUGAUAUAGUAUUUGUGGCAAACCCACCGUUCAUAAUUCUUUCAUACAUGUCACUCUUGGUCCAUUGCAUAUCCCGGUACACCGCCGGAGGCAUUCAUAUAGAGUCAUAUUUUGUUCUAAGUAUCGAGUUGUAAUUGUUCAGUUGUAAGAAAAAUGAAAGUGUGAUGAUCAUCAUUAUUAGAGCAUUGUCCCAGUGAGGAAAGGAUGAUGGAGACUAUGAUUUCCCCACAAGUCGGGAUGAGACUCCGGACGAAAAAAAAAGAAAAAAAGAGGCCAUAAAAAAAGAGAAAAGGCCCAAAUAAAAAAAGAGAGAGAAAAAGAGAGAAGGGACAAUGUUACUAUCCUUUUACCACACUUGUGCUUCAAAGUAGCACUAUGAUCUUCAUAGUAGAGAGUCUCUCAUGUUAUCACUUUCAUAUACUAGUGGGAAUUUUUCAUUAUAGAACCUGGCUUGUAUAUUCCAAUGAUGGGCUUCCUCAAGUGCCCUAGGUCUUCGUGAUCAAGCAAGUUGGAUGCACACCCACUAGUUUCUUUUGUUGAGCUUUCAUACAUUUAUAGCUCUAGUGCAUCCAUUGCAUGGCAAUCCCUACUUCUUGCAUUAACAUCAAUCGGUGGGCAUCUCCAUAGCCCAUUGAUUAGCCUCGUUGAUGUGAGACUUUCUCCUUUUUUGUCUUCUCCACAUAACCCCCCUCAUUAUAUUCUAUUCCACCCAUAGUGCUAUGUCCAUGGCUCGCGCUCAUAUAUUGCGUGAAAGUUUAUAGGUUUGAGAUUACUAAAGUAUGAAACAAUUGCUUGGCUUGUCAUCGGGGUUGUGUAUGAUGAGAGCAUUCUUGUGUGACGAAAAUGAAACCUGACUAAACCAUAUGAUUUUGUAGGGAUGAACUUUCUUUGGCCAUGUUAUUUUGAGAAAACAUAAUUGUUUAGUUAGUAUGCUUGAAGUAUUAUUAUUUUUAUGUCAAUAUGAACUUUUGUCUUGAAUCUUUCGAAUCUAAAUAUUCAUACCACAAUUAAGAAGAAUUACAUUAAAAUUGUGCCAAGUAGCACUCCGCAUCAAAAAUUCCGUUUUUUUCAUUUACCUACUCAAGGACGAGCAGGAAUUAAGCUUGGGGAUGCUUGAUACGUCUCCAACGUAUCUACAAUUUUUGAUUGCCCCAUGCUAUAUUAUCUACUGUUUUGGACAUUACUAGGCUUUAUUAUCCACUUUUAUAUUAUUUUUGGGACUAACCUAUUAACCGGAGGCCCAGCCCAGAAUUGUUGUUUUUUUGCCUGUUUUAGGGUUUCGAAGAAAAGGAAUAUCAAACGGAGUCCAAACGGAAUGAAACCUUCGGGAACGUGAUUUUUAGGAAGAUUAUGAUCCGGGAGACUUGGACCCUAUGUCAAGAAAAGAAACAGGAGGCCACGAGGUAGGGGGCGCGCCCCCCCCCCCCCCCCCAGGCACACCCUCCACCCUCGUGGGCCCCCUGUUUCUCCACCGACGUACUCCUUCCUCCUAUAUAUACCUAUGUACCCCCAAACGACCAGAUACGGAGCAAAAACCCUAAUUCCACUUCCGUAACUUUCUGUAUCCACGAGAUCCCAUCUUGGGGCCUGUUCCGGAGCUCCGCCGGAGGGGGCAUCGAUCACGGAGGGCUUCUACAUCAACACCAUAGCCUCCCCAAUGAAGUGUGAGUAGUUUACCUCAGACCUAUGGGUCCAUAGUUAGUACUUAGAUGGCUUCUCCUCUCUUUUUGGAUCUCAAUACAAUGUUCUCCCCCUCUCUUCUGGAGAUCUAUUCGAUGUAAUCUUCUUUUUGCGGUGUGUUUGUUGAGAUCGAUGAAUUGUGGGUUUAUGAUCAAGUCUAUCUAUGAAUAAUAUUUGAAUCUUCUCUGAAUUCUUAUGUAUGAUUGGUUAUCUUUGCAAGUAUCUUCGAAUUAUCAGUUUGGUUUGGCCUACUAGAUUGAUCUUUCUUGCAAUGGGAGAAGUGCUUAGCUUUGGGUUCAAUCUUGUGGUGUCCUUUCCCAGUGAGAGUAGGGGCAGCAAGGCACGUAUUGUAUUGUUGCCAUCGAGGAUAACAAGAUGGGGUUUUCUUCAUAUUGCAUGAGUCUAUCCCUCUACAUCAUGUCAUCUUGCUUAAGGCGUUACUCUGUUUUUAACUUAAUACUCUCGAUGCAUGCUGGAUAGCGGUCGAUGAGUGGAGUAAUAGUAGUAGAUGCAGGCAGGAGUCGGUCUACUUGUCCCGGACGUGAUGCCUAUAUACAUGAUCAUACCUAGAUAUUCUCAUAACUAUGCUCAAUUCUGUCAAUUGCUCAACAGUAAUUAGUUCAACCACCGUAGAAUACUUAUGCUCUUGAGAGAAGCCACUAGUGAAACCUAUGGCCCCCGGGUCUAUCUUUAUCAUAUUAAUCUCCUACUACUUAGUUAUUUCCUCUGCUAUUUACUUUGCCUUUAUUUUACUUUGCAUGUUUAUCAUAAAAAUACCAAAAAUAUCAUCUUUAUCAUAUUUAUCAGAUCUCACUCUCGUAAGUGGCCUUAUAGGGAUUGACAACCCCUGUUUGUGUUGGUUGCGAGGAUUUAUUUGUUUUGUGUAGGUACGAGGGACUCACGCAUAGCCUCCUACUGGAUUGAUACCUUGGUUCUCAAAAAAUGAGGGAAAUACUUACGCUACUUUGUUGCAUCAUCCCUUCCUCUUCGGGGAAAACCAACGCAGUGCUCAAGAGGUAGCAGAUAGGCAUCCAAGAUGGGUAUAAUAAAAACUAUCAUAAAAAGUGCAUUGAAUACUAUGAGAAGUGUGAUACUUGAUGAUUGUUUUGAGAUAUCAAGAUGGUGAUAUUAGAGUCAUGCUAGUUGAGUAAUUGUGAAUUUGAGAAAUACUUGUUCUAAAGUUUGUGAUUCCCCUAGCAUGGACAUAUGGUGAACCGUUAUGUGAUGAAGUCAGAGCAUGAUUUUUUAUUGAUUGUCUUCCUUAUGCGUGGCGGUCAGGGACGAGGCGAUGGUCUUUUCCUACCAAUCUACCCCCCUAGGAGCAUGCAAUGCACGUAGUACUUUGUUUCGAUAACUAAUAGAUUUUUGCAAUAAAUAUGUGAGUUCUUUAUGACUAAUGUUGAGUCCAUGGAUUAUACGCACUCUCACCCUUCCACCAUUGCUAGCCUCUCUAAUAUUGUGCACCUUUCGCUGGUAUCAUACAUCUACCAUAUACCUACCUCAAAACAGCCACCAUACCUACCUAUUAUGGAAUUUCCAUAGCCAUUCCGAGAUAUAUUGCCAUGCAACUUUCCACCGUUCCGUUUGUUAUGACACGCUUCAUCGUUGUCAUAUUUCUUUGCAUGAUCAUGUAGUUGACAUCGUAUUUGUGGCAAAGCCAUCUUUAUAAUUCUUUCAUACAUGUCUGUUGGGGAACGUUGCAGAAAACAAAAAUUUUCCUACAGUUUCACCAAGAUCCAUCUAUGAGUUCAUCUAGCAACGAGUGAUCGGAUAGCAUCUACAUACCUUUGUAGAUCACGCGCGGAAGCGUUCAAAGAAUGGGGAUGAGAAAUUCGUACUCGACGUGAUCCAAAUCACCGGAGAUCCUAGCGCCGAACGGACGGCACCUCCGCGUUCACGUACGGUCAGCGUGACGUCUCCUCCUUCUUGAUCCAGCAAGGGGGAAGGAGAGGUUGAGGAAGAUGGCUCCAGCAGCAGCACGACGGCGUGGUGGUGGUGGAGCAGCAGUACUCCGGCAGGGCUUCGCCAAGCUCGUGACGGAGGAGGAAAUGUGUUGGGGAGGGGAGGGGCUGUGCCUUGGAUGUCCUCUGCAGCCCUUCCCUCACCCCUCUAUUUAUAGGGGAAGGAGGAAGGGGGCCGGCCCCCUCUAGAUGAGAUCUAGAGGGGGGGCGGCGGCCAAGGGGAGGGGGGCUUGCCCCCCAAGCAAGGGGCGCACCCCCUUAGGGUUUCCCCCAACCCUAGGCGCAUGGGCCGUAGGGGGAGUGUGUUGGGUUUCGUUGUAAUUUCAAAAAAAUUCCUACGCACACGCAAGAUCAUGUGAUGCAUAGCAACGAGAGGAGAGUGUGAUCUACAUACCUAGUAGAUCGACAACGGAAGCGUUUGGUUGAUGUAGUCGUACGUCUUCACGAUCCAACCGAUCAAGCACCGAAACUACGUCACCUCCGAGUUCGAGCACACGUUCAGCUCGAUCACGAUCCCCGGACUCCGAUCCAGCAAAGUGUCGGGGAAGAGUUCCGUCAGCACGACGGCGUGGUGACGAUCUUGAUGCACUAUAGCAGCAGGGCUUGGCCUAAACUCCGCUACAGUAUUAUCGAGGACUAUGGUGGCUGGGGCGCCGCACACGGCUAAGGAAUAGAUCACGUGGAUCAACUUGUGUGUUUCUGGGGUGCCUCUGCCUCAGUAUAUAAAGGACCAAAGGGGGGAGGCUGGCCGGCCACAUAGGGCGCGCCAGGAGAGUCCUACUCCCUCUGGGAGUAGGAUCCCCCCCCCAAUCCUAGUUGGAAUAGGAUUCGCGGAGGGGGAAAAGAGAGAGGGGAGGCUGGCCACCUCUCCUUCUCCUAAUAGGACUAGGGGAGGGAGGGAGGCGCGCAUCCCAUCUUGGGCAGCCCCUUCUCUUUUCCGCCAAGGCCCACUAAGGCCCAUAUAGCUCGCGGGGGGUUCCGGUAACCUCCCGGUACUCCGGUAAAAUCCCGAUUUCACCCGGAACACUUCCGAUAUCCAAACAUAGGCUUCCAAUAUAUCAAUCUUUAUGUAUCGACCAUUUCGAGACUCCUCGUCAUGUUCGUGAUCACAUCCGGGACUCCGAACAACCUUCGGUACAUCAAAAUGCAUAAACUCAUAAUAUAAUUGUCAUCGUAACCUUAAGCGUGCGGACCCUACGGGUUCGAGAACAAUGUAGACAUGACCGAGACACAUCUCCAGUCAAUAACCAAUAGCGGGACCUGGAUGCCCAUAUUGGCUCCUACAUAUUCUACGAAGAUCUUUAUCGGUCAGACCGCAUAACAACAUACGUUGUUCCCUUUGUCAUCGGUAUGUUACUUGCCCGAGAUUCGAUCGUCGGUAUUCCAAUACCUAGUUCAAUCUCGUUACCGGCAAGUCUCUUUACUCGUUCUGUAAUACAUCAUUCCGCAACUAACUCAUUUAGUUGCAAUGCUUGCAAGGCUUAAGUGAUUUGCAUUACCGAGAGGGCCCAGAGAUACCUCUCCGACAAUCGGAGUGACAAAACCUAAUCUCGAAAUACGCCAACCCAACAUGUACCUUUGGAGACACCUGUAAUACUCCUUUAUAAUCACCCAGUAACGUUGUAACGUUUGGUAGUACCCAAAGUGUUCCUCCGGUAAACGGGAGUUGCAUAAUCUCAUAGUUAUAGGAACAUGUAUAAGUCAUGAAGAAAGCAAUAGCAACAUAUUAAACGAUCGGGUGCUAAGCUAAUGGAAUGGGUCAUGUCAAUCAGAUCAUUCUCUUAAUGAUGUGAUCCCUUUAAUCAAAUAACAACUCAUUGUUCAUGGUUAGGAAACAUAACCAUCUUUGAUUAACGAGCUAGUCAAGUAGAGGCAUACUAGUGACACUUUGUUUGUCUAUGUAUUCACACAUGUAUUAUGUUUCCGGUUAAUACAAUUCUAGCAUGAAUAAUAAACAUUUAUCAUGAUUAUAAGGAAAUAAAUAAUAACUUUAUUAUUGCCUCUAGGGCAUAUUUCCUUCAGUCUCCCACUUGCACUAGAGUCAAUAAUCUAGAUUACACUGUAAUGAUUCUAACACCCAUGGAGCCCUGGUGUUGAUCAUGUUUUGCUCGUGGAAGAGGCUUAGUCAACGGGUCUGCAACAUUCAGAUCCGUAUGUAUCUUGCAAAUUCUAUGUCUCCCACCUGGACUAGAUCCCGGAUGGAAUUGAAGCGUCUCUUGAUAUGCUUGGUUCUCUUGUGAAAUCUGGAUUCCUUUGCCAAGGCAAUUGCACCAGUAUUGUCACAAAAGAUUUUCAUUGGACCCGAUGCACUAGGUAUGACACCUAGAUCGGAUAUGGACUCCUUCAUCCAGACUCCUUCGUUCGCUGCUUCCGAAGCAGCUAUGUACUCCGCUUCACAUGUAGAUCCCGCUACGACGCUUUGUUUAGAACUGCACCAACUGACAGCUCCACUGUUCAAUGUAAACACAUAUCCGGUUUGCGAUUUAGAAUCGUCCGGAACAGUGUCAAAGCUUGCAUCAACGUAACCAUUUACGACGAGCUCUUUGUCACCUCCAUAUACGAGAAACAUAUCCUUAGUCCUUUUCAUGUAUUUUAGGAUGUUCUUGACGGCUGUCCAGUGAUCCACUCCUGGAUUACUUUGGUACCUCCCUGCUAGACUUAUAGCAAGGCACACAUCAGGUCUGGUACACAGCAUUGCAUACAUGAUAGAUCCUAUCGCUGAUGCAUAGGGAACAUCUUUCAUAUUCUCUCUAUCUUCUGCAGUGGUCGGGCAUUGAGUCUUACUCAAUUUCACACCUUGUAACACAGGCAAGAAUCCUUUCUUUGCUUGAUCCAUUUUGAACUUCUUCAAAAUUUUGUCAAGGUAUGUUGUUUGUGAAAGUCCAAUUAAGCGUCUUGACCUAUCUCUAUAGAUCUUUAUGCCUAAUAUGUAAGCAGCUUCACCGAGGUCUUUCAUUGAAAAACUCUUAUUCAAGUAUCCCUUUAUGCUAUCCAGAAAUUCUAUAUCAUUUCCAAUCAGUAAUAUGUCAUCCACAUAUAAUAUCAGAAAUGCUACAGAGCUCCCACUCACUUUCUUGUAAAUACAGGCUUCUUCGAAAGUCUGUAUAAAAUAAAAUGCUUUGAUCACACUAUCAAAGCAUUUAUUCCAACUCCGAGAGGCUUGCACCAGUCCAUAAAUGGAUCGCUGGAGCUUGCACACUUUGUUAGCUCCUUUUGGAUCGACAAAACCUUCUGGUUGCAUCAUAUACAACUCUUCUUCCAGAAAUCCAUUCAGGAAUGCAGUUUUGACAUCCAUUUGCCAAAUUUCAUAAUCAUAAAAUGCGGCAAUUGCUAACAUGAUUCGGACAGACUUAAGCAUCGCUACGGGUGAGAAGGUCUCAUCGUGGUCAACCCCUUGAACUUGUCGAAAACCUUUUGCGACAAGUCGAGCUUUGUAGACAGUAACAUUACCGUCAGCGUCAGUCUUCUUCUUGAAGAUCCAUUUAUUCUCAAUUGCUUACCGAUCAUCGGGCAAGUCAACCAAAGUCCAUACUUUGUUCUCAUACAUGGAUCCCAUCUCAGAUUUCAUGGCUUCAAGCCAUUUUGCGGAAUCUGGGCUCACCAUCGCUUCUUCCUAGUUCGCAGGUUCAUCAUGAUCUAGUAGCAUGACUUCCAGAACAGGAUUACCGUACCACUCUGGUGCGGAUCUUACUCUGGUUGAUCUAUGAGGUUCAGCAGUAUCUUGAUCUGAAGUUUCAUGAUCAUUAUCAUUAGCUUCCUCACUAACUGGUGUAGGUGUCACUGAAACAAUUUUCUGUGAUGUACUACUUUCCAAUAAGGGAGCAGGUACAGUUACCUCGUCAAGUUCUACUUUCCUCCCACUCACUUCUUUCGAGAGAAACUCCUUCUCUAGAAAGUUUCCGAAUUUAGCAACAAAAGUCUUGCCUUCGGAUCUGUGAUAGAAGGUGUGUCCAAUAGUUUCCUUUGGAUAUCCUAUGAAAACACAUUUCUCUGAUUUGGGUUCGAGCUUAUCAGGUUGAAGCUUUUUCACAUAAGCAUCGCAGCCCCAAACUUUCAGAAACGACAACUUUGGUUUCUUGCCAAACCACAGUUCAUAAGGCGUCGUCUCAACGGAUUUUGAUGGUGCCCUAUUUAAAGUGAAUGCGGCCGUCUCUAGAGCGUAUCCCCAAAAUGAUAGUGGUAAAUCAGUAAGAGACAUCAUAGAUCGCACCAUAUCUAGUAAAGUACGAUUACGACGUUCGGACACACCAUUACGCUGUGGUGUUCCGGGCGGCGUGAGUUGCGAAACUAUUCCACAAUUUUUCAAAUGUACACCAAACUCGUAACUCAAAUAUUCUCCUCCACGAUCAGAUCGUAGAAACUUUAUUUUCUUGUUACGAUGAUUUUCAACUUCACUCUGAAAUUCCUUGAACCUUUCAAAUGUUUCAGACUUAUGUUUCAUUAAGUAGAUAUACCCAUAUCUGCUUAAAUCAUCUCUGAAGGUGAGAAAAUAACGAUAUCCGCCACGAGCCUCAAUAUUCAUCGGACCACAUACAUCUGUAUGUAUGAUUUCCAACAAAUCUGUUGCUCUCUCCAUAGUACCGGAGAACGGUGUUUUGGUCAUCUUGCCCAUAAGGCACGGUUCGCAAGUACUAAGUGAUUCAUAAUCAAGUGGUUCCAAAAGUCCAUCAGAAUGGAGUUUCUUCAUGCGCUUUACACCGAUAUGACCUAAACGGCAGUGCCACAAAUAAGUUGCACUCUAAUUAUCAACUCUGCAUCUUUUGGCUUCAACAUUAUGAAUAUGUGUGUUACUACUAUCGAGAUUCAACAAGAAUAGACCACUCUUCAAGGGUGCAUGACCAUAAAAGAUAUUACUCAUAUAAAUAGAACAACCAUUAUUCUCUGAUUUAAAUGAAUAACCGUCUCGCAUCAAACAAGAUCCAGAUAUAAUGUUCAUGCUUAACGCUGGCACCAAAUAACAAUUAUUUAGGUCUAACACUAAUCCCGAAGGUAGAUGUAGAGGUAGUGUGCCGACUGCGAUCACAUCGACUUUGGAACCGUUUCCCACGCGCAUCGUCACCUCGUCCUUAACCAAUCUUCGCUUGAUCCGUAGUCCCUGUUUCGAGUUGCAAAUAUUAGCAACAGAACCAGUAUCAAAUACCCAGGUGCUACUGCAAGCAUUAGUAAGGUACACAUCAAUAACAUGUAUAUCACAUAUACCUUUGUUCACCUUGCCAUCCUUCUUAUCCACCAAAUACUUGGGGCUGUUCCGCUUCCAGUGACCAGUCUGCUUGCAAUAGAAACACUCAGUUUCAGGCUUAGGUCCAGGUUUGGGUUUCUUCUCUUGAGUAGCAACUUGCUUGCCGUUCUUUUUGAAGUUCCCCUUCUUCUUCCCUUUGCCCUUUUUAUUGAAACUAGUGGUCUUGUUGACCAUCAACACUUGAUGCUCCUUCUUGAUUUCUACCUCCGCGGCUUUCAGCAUCACGAAGAGCUCGGGAAUAGUCUUGUUCAUCCCUUGCAUAUUAUAGUUCAUCACGAAGCUCUUGUAGCUUGGUGGCAGUGAUUGAAGAAUUCUGUCAAUGACGCGAUCAUCUGGAAGAUUAACUCCCAAUUGAAUCAAGUGAUUAUUAUACCCAGACAUUUUGAGUAUAUGCUCACUGACAGAACUGUUCUCCUCCAUCUUGCAGCUAUAGAACUUAUUGGAGACUUCAUAUCUCUCAAUCCGGGCAUUUGCUUGAAAUAUUAACUUCAACUCCUGGAACAUCUCAUAUGCUCCAUGACGUUCAAAACAUCGUUGAAGUCCCGAUUCUAAGCCGUAAAGCAUGGCACACUGAACUAUCGAGUAGUCAUCAGCUUUGCUCUGCCAGACAUUCAUAACAUCCGGCGUUGCUCCUGCAGCAGGGCUGGCACCCAGCGGUGCUUCCAGGACGUAAUUCUUCUGUGCAGCAAUGAGGAUAAUCCUCAAGUUAUGGACCCAGUCCGUGUAAUUGCUACCAUCAUCUUUCAACUUUGCUUUCUCAAGGAACGCAUUAAAAUUCAACGGAACAACAGCACGAGCCAUCUAUCUACAAUCAAACAUAAACAAGAAAGAUACUAAUCAGGUACUAAGUUUCAUGAUAAAUUUAAGUUCAGUUAAUCAAAUUAAUUAAAGAACUCCCACUUAGAUAGACAUCCCUCUAAUCCUCUAAGUGAUUACGUGAUCCAAAUCAACUAAACCAUAACCGAUCAUCACGUGAGAUGGAGUAGUUUUCAAUGGUGAACAUCGUUAUGUUGAUCAUAUCUACUAUAUGAUUCACGCUCGACCUUUCGGUCUCCGUGUUCCGAGGCCAUAUCUGUAUAUGUUGGCUCGUCAAGUAUAACCUGAGUAUUCCGCGUGUGCAACUAUUUUGCACCCGUUGUAUUUGAACAUAGAACCUAUCACACCCGAUCAUCACGUGGUGUCUCAGCAUGAAGAACUUUCGCAACGGUGCAUACUCAGGGAGAACACUUCUUGAUAAUUUAGUGAGAGAUCAUCUUAUAAUGCUACCAUCAAUCAAAGCAAGAUAAGAUGCAUAAAAGGAUAAACAUCACAUGCAAUCAAUAUAAGUGAUAUGAUAUGAGCAUCAUCAUCUUGUGCUUGUGAUAUCCAUCUCCGAAGCACCGUCGUGAUCAGCAUCGUCACCGGCGUGACACCUUGAUCUCCAUCGUAGCAUCGUUGUCGUCUCGCCAAGCUUGUGCUUCUACGACUAUCGCUACCGCUUAGUGAUAAAAGCAAAGCAUUACAUCGCGAUUGCAUUCCAUACAAUAAAACGACAACCAUAAGGCUCCUGCCAGUUGCCGAUAACUCGGUUACAAAACAUGAUCAUCUCAUACAAUAAAAUUCAGCAUCAUGUCUUGACCAUAUCACAUCACAACAUGCCCUGCAAAAACAAGUUAGACGUCCUCUACUUUGUUGUUGCAAGUUUUACGUGGCUGCUAUGGGCUUAAGCAAGAACCAAUCUUACCUACGCAUCAAAACUACAACGAUAGUUUGUCAAUUUGACUCCGUUUUAACCUUCGCAAGGACCGGGCGUAGCCAUACUCGGUUCAACUAAAGUUGGAGAGACAGUCGCCCGCAAGCCACCUAUGUGCAAAGCACGUCGGGGGAACCGGUCUCGCGUAAGCGUACGCGUAAUGUUGGCCGGGUCGUCUCGUCCAACAAUGCCGCCGAACCAAAGUAUGACAUGCUGGUAGGCAGUAUGACUUAUAUCGCCCACAACUCACUUGUGUUCUACUCGUGCAUAUAACAUCAACAUAAAUAACCUAGGCUCGGAUGCCACUGUUGGGUUUCGUAGUAAUUUCAAAAAAAUUCCUAUGCACACGCAAGAUCAUGUGAUGCAUAGCAAUGAGAGGAGAGUGUGAUCUACAUACCUAGUAGAUCGACAACGGAAGCAUUUGGUUGAUGUAGUCGUACGUCUUCACGAUCCAACCGAUCAAGCACCGAAACUACGGCACCUCCGAGUUUGAGCACACGUUCAGCUCGAUGACGAUCUCCGGACUCUGAUCCAGCAAAGUGUCGGGGAAGAGUUCCGUCAGCACGACGGCAUGGUGACGAUCUUGAUGCACUACAGCAGCAGGGCUUCGCCUAAACUCCGCUACAGUAUUAUCGAGGACUAUGGUGGCUGGGGCGCCGCACACGGCUAAGGAAUAGAUCACGUGGAUCAACUUGUGUGUUUCUGGGGUGCCUCUGCCUCAGUAUAUAAAGCACCAAAGGGGGGAGGCUGGCCGGCCACAUAGGGCGCGCCAGGAGAGUCCUACUCCCUCUGGGAGUAGGAUUCCCCCCCCCCCCAAUCCUAGUUGGAAUAGGAUUCGCGGAGGGGGAAAAGAGAGAGGGGGGCCGGCCACCUCUCCUUCUCCUAAUAGGACUAGGGGAGGGAGGGAGGCGCGCAUCCCAUCUUGGGCAGCCCCUUCUCUUUUCCACUAAGGCCCACUAAGGCCCAUAUAGCUCUCGGGGGGUUCCGGUAACCUCCCGGUACUCCGGUAAAAUCCCGAUUUCACACGGAACACUUCCGAUAUCCAAACAUAGGCUUCCAAUAUAUCAAUCUUUAUGUCUCGACCAUUACUAGACUCCUCGUCAUGUCCGUGAUCACAUCCGGGACUCCGAACAACCUUCGGUACAUCAAAAUGCAUAAACUCAUAAUAUAACUGUCAUCAUAACCUUAAGCGUGCGGACCCUAUGGGUUCAAGAACAAUGUAGACAUGACCGAGACACGUCUCCGGUCAAUAACCAAUAGCGGGACCUGGAUGCCCAUAUUGGCUCCUACAUAUUCUACGAAGAUCUUUAUCGGUCAGACCGCAUAACAACAUACGUUGUUCCCUUUGUCAUCGGUAUGUUACUUGCCCGAGAUUCGAUCGUCGGUAUUCCAAUACCUAGUUCAAUCUUGUUACUGGCAAGUCUCUUUACUCGUUCUGUAAUACAUCAUUCCGCAACUAACUCAUUUAGUUGCAAUGCUUGCAAGGCUUAAGUGAUGUGCAUUACCGAGAGGGCCCAGAGAUACCUCUCCGACAAUCGGAGUGACAAAACCUAAUCUCGAAAUACGCCAACCCAACAUGUACCUUUAGAGACACCUGUAAUACUCCUUUAUAAUGACCCAGUAACGUUGUGACGUUUGGUAGUACCAAAAGUGUUCCUCCGGUAAACGGGAGUUCAUAAUCUCAUAUAGGAACAUGUAUAAGUCAUGAAGAAAGAAAUAGCAACAUACUAAACGAUCGGGUGCUAAGCUAAUGGAAUGGGUCAUGUCAAUCAGAUCAUUCUCUUAAUGAUGUGAUCACGUUAAUCAAAUAACAACUCAUCGUUCAUGGUUAGGAAACAUAACCAUCUUUGAUUAACGAGCUAGUCAAGUAGACGCAUACUAGUGACACUUUGUUUGUCUAUGUAUUCACACAUGUAUUAUGUUUCUGGUUAAUACAAUUCUAGCAUGAAUAACAAACAUUUAUCAUGAUUAUAAGGAAAUAAAUAAUAACUUUAUUAUUGCCUCUAGGGCAUAUUUCCUUCAGAGUGGCGCCCCAGCCCACUUUGGGCUGGAUCCCUUCCUCAUACAGCCCAUAAGGCCCUCCGGGAGAGGUGGCCCCUCCGAGUGGACCCCCGGAACCCCUCCGGUGGCCCCGGUACAAUACCGUUAUGCCCCCGAACCUUUCCGGUGACCGUAUGACAACUUCCCAUAUAUAAUUCUUUACCUCCGGAUUAUUCCGGGACUUCGAACAACUUUCGGAUUACUGCAUACUCAUAUCUAUACAACCCUAGCAUCACUGAACCUUAAGUGUGUAGACCCUACGGGUUCGGGAGACAAUCAGACAUGACCGAGACGACUCUCUGGUCAAUAACCAACAGUGGGAUCUGGAUACCCAUGUUGGCUCCCACAUGCUCCUUGAUGAUCUCAUCGGAUGAACCACGAUGUCGAGGACCUAAUCAAUCCCGUACUCAAUUCCCUUUGUCAAUCGGUACAUUACUUGCCCGAGACUCGAUCGUCGAUAUCCCAAUACCUUGUUCAGUCUCGUUACCAGCAAGUCACUUUACUCGUACCGUAAUGCAUGAUCCCGUGAUCAACCACUUGAUCACAUUGAGCUCAUUAUGAUGAUGCAUUACCGAGUGGGCCCAGAGAUACCUCUCCGUCAUACGGAGUGACAAAUCCCAGUCUCGAUUCGUGCCAACCCAACAGACACUUUCGGAGAUACCUGUAAUGUACCUUUAUAGUCACCCAGUUACCUUGUGACGUUUGGCACACCCAAGGCACUCCUACGGUAUCCGGGAGUUGCACGAUCUCAUGGUCUAAGGAAAUGAUACUUGACAUCCAGAAAAGCUACAGCAAACGAACUACACGAUCUUUGUGCUAUACUUAGGUUUGGGUCUUGUCCAUCACAUCAUUCUCCUAAUGAUGUGAUCCCAUUAUCAAUGACAUCCCCAUGUCCAUAGCCAGGAAACCAUGACUAUCUGUUGAUCAACGAGCUAGUCAACUAGAGGCUCACUAGGGACACAUUAUGGUCUAUGUAUUCACACAUGUAUUACGAUUUCCGGACAAUACAAUUAUAGCAUGAAUAAUAGAAAAUUAUCAUGAACAAGGAAAUAUAAUAAUCAUUUUAUUAUUGCCUCUAGGGCAUAUUUCCAACAGUCUCCCACUUGCACUAGAGUCAAUCAUCUAGUUACAUUGUGAUGAAUCGAACACCCAUGGAAUUCUGGUGUUGAUCAUGUUUUGCUCUAGGGAGAGGUUUAGUCAACGGAUCUGCUACAUUCAGGUCCGUAUGUACUUUACAAAUCUCUAUGUAUCCAUUUUGAACACUUUCACGAAUGGAGUUGAAACGACGCUUGAUAUGCCUGGUCUUCCUGUGAAACCUGGGCUCCUUGGCAAGGGCAAUAGCUCCAGUGUUGUCACAGAAGAGAGUCAUCGGGCCCGACGCAUUGGGUAUGACUCCUAGGUCGGUAAUGAACUCCUUCACCCAGACUGCUUCGUGUGCUGCCUCCGAGGCUGCCAUGUACUCCGCUUCACAUGUAGAUCCUGCCACAAUGCUUUGCUUGCAACUGCACCAGCUUACUGCCCCACCAUUCAAAAUAUACACGUAUCCGGUUUGUGACUUAGAGUCAUCCAGAUCUGUGUCGAAGCUAGCAUCAACGUAACCCUUUACGACAAGCUCUUCGUCACCUCCAUAAACGAGAAACAUUUCCUUAGUCCUUUUCAGGUACUUCAGGAUAUUUUUGAUCGCUGUCCAGUGUUCCAUGUCGGGAUUACUUUGGUACCUUCCUACCAAACUCACGGCAAGGUUUACAUCAGGUCUGGUACACAGCAUAGCAUACAUGAUAGACCCUAUGGCUGAGGCAUAGGGGACGACACUCAUCUUUUCUCUAUCUUCUGCCGUGGUCGGGCAUUGAGCCAAGCUCAAUCUCGUACCUUGCAAUACAGGCAAGAACCCCUUCUUUGACUGAUCCAUUUUGAACUUCUUCAAUAUCUUGUCAAGGUACAUACUCUAUGAAAGACCAAUGAGGCGUCUCGAUCUAUCUCUAUAGAUCUUGAUGCCUAAUAUAUAAGCAGCUUCUCCAAGGUCCUUCAUUGAAAAACACUUGUUCAAAUAGGCCUUUAUGCUUUCCAAGAAUUCUAUAUCAUUUCCCAUCAACAGUAUGUCAUCCACAUACAAUAUGACAAAUGCUACAGAGCUCCCACCCACUUUCUUGUAAAUGCAAGCUUCUCCAUAAGUCUGCAUAAACCCAAACGCUUUGAUCAUCUCAUCAAAGCGAAUGUUGCAACUCCGAGAUGCUUGCACCAGCCCGUAAAUCGAGCGUUGGAGCUUGCACACCUUGUCAGCAUUCUUAGGAUCGACAAGACCUUCCGGUUGCAUCAUAUACAAUUCUUCCUUAAGGAAACCAUUAAGGAAUGCCGUUUUGACGUCCAUUUGCCAUAUUUCAUAAUCAUAGAAUGCGGCAAUUGCUAACAUGAUUCGGACGGACUUCAGCUUCGCUACGGGUGAGAAAGUCUCAUCGUAGUCAACCCCUUGAACUCGUCGAUAACCCUUAGCGACAAGCCGUGCUUUAUAGAUGGUCACAUUACCAUCCGCGUCUGUCUUCUUCUUAAAGAUCCAUUUAUUUUCUAUGGCUCGCCGAUCAACGGGCAAGUCAGUCAAAGUCCAUACUUUGUUUUCAUACAUGGAUCCUAUCUCGGAUUUCAUGGCUUCCAGCCAUUUGUCGGAAUACGGGCCCGCCAUCACUUCUUCAUAGUUCAAAGGUUCACCGUUGUCUAACAACAUGAUUUCCAAGACAGGGUUGCCGUACCACUCUGGUGAGGAACGUGUCCUUGUGGACCUUCGAAGUUCAGUAGGAGCUUGAUCAGAAGUAUCUUGAUCAUCAUCAUUAACUUCCUCUCUAAUUGGUGCAAGCACCACAGGAACAUUUGCCUGAGUUGCGCCACUUUCCGGUUCAAGAGGCAAUACUUCAUCAAGUUCUACUUUCCUCCCACUUACUUCUUUCGAGAGAAACUCCUUCUCUAGAAAGGAUCCAUUCUUGGCAACAAAGAUCUUGCCUUCGGAUCUGAGGUAGAAGGUAUACCCAAUAGUUUCUUUAGGGUAUCCUAUCAAGACGCAUUUUUCCGACUUGGGUUCGAGCUUUUCAGGUUGAAGUUUCUUGACAUAAGCAUCGCAUCCCCAAACUUUUAGAAACGACAGCUUAGGCUUCUUCCCAAACCAUAAUUCAUACGGUGUCGUCUCAACGGAUUUCGACGGAGCCCUAUUUAAAGUGAAUGCAGUAGUCUCUAAAGCAUAGCCCCAAAAUGACAGCGGUAAAUUGGUAAGAGACAUCAUAGAUCGCACCAUAUCUAAUAGAGUGCGAUUACGACGUUCGGACACACCAUUACGCUGAGGUGUUCCAGGCGGCAUGAGUUGUGAAACUAUUCCACAUUUUCUUAAGUGUGUACCAAAUUCUUGACUCAAGUAUUCUCCUCCACGAUCUGAUCGCAAAAACUUGAUUUUUCUGUCAUGUUGAUUCUCAACCUCACUCUGAAAUUCCUUGAACUUUUCAAAGGUUUCAGACUUGUGUUUCAUUAAGUAGAUAUACCCAUAUCUACUCAAGUCAUCAGUGAGGGUGAGAACAUAACGAUAGCCACCACGAGCCUCAACAUUCAUUGGACCGCACACAUCAGUAUGUAUGAUUUCCAAUAGGUUGGUUGCUCGCUCCAUUGUUCCUGAGAACGGAGACUUGGUCAUCUUACCCAUGAGGCAUGGUUCACACAUGUCAAAUGAUUCGUAAUCAAGAGACUCUAAAAGUCCAUCUGUAUGGAGCUUCUUCAUGCGUUUGACACCUAUGUGACUAAGGCGGCAGUGCCACAAGUAUGUGGGACUAUCAUUAUCAACCUUACAUCUUUUGGCAUUCACACUAUGAAUAUGUGUAGCAUUACGCUCGAGAUUCAUUAAGAAUAAACCAUUCACCAUAGGAGCAUGACCAUAAAACAUAUCUCUCAUAUAAAUAGAACAACCAUUACACUUGGAUUUAAAUGAGUAGCCAUCUCGUAUUAAACGAGAUCCUGAUACAAUGUUCAUGCUCAAACUUGGCACUAAAUAACAAUUAUUGAGGUUCAAAACUAAUCCCGUAGGUAAAUAUAGAGGUAGCGUGCCGACGACGAUGACAUCGACCUUGGAACCAUUCCCGACGCGCAUUGUCACCUCGUCCUUCGCCAAUCUCCGCUUAUUCCGCAGCUCCUGCUUUGAGUUACAAAUGUGAGCAACUGCACCGGUAUCAAAUACCCAGGAGCUACUACGAGUAUUGGUAAGGUACACAUCAAUUACAUGUAUAUCACAUAUACCUUUCGUUUUGCCGGCCUUCUUGUCCGCUAAGUAUUUGGGGCAGUUCCGCUUCCAGUGUCCACUUCCCUUGCAAUAAAAACACUCAGUCUCGGGCUUGGGUCCAUUCUUUGGCUUCUUCCCGGCAGCUUGCUUACCAGGCGCGGCAACUCCCUUGCCGUCCUUCUUGAAGUCCUUCUUACCCUUGCCUUUCUUGAACUUAGUGGUUUUAUUCACCAUCAACACUUGAUGGUCCUUUUUGACUUCUACCUCUGCUGAUUUCAGCAUUGCAAAUACUUUAGGAAUGGUCUUUUCCAUCCCCUGCAUAUUGAAGUUCAUCACAAAGCUCUUGUAGCUUGGUGGAAGCGACUGGAGGAUUCUGUCAAUGACCGCGUCAUCCGGGAGAUUAACUCCCAGCUGAGUCAAGCGGUUAUUUAACCCAGACAUAGUGAGUAUGUGCUCACUGACAGAACUAUUUUCCUCCAUCUUACAGCUGAAGAACUUGUCGGAGACUUCAUAUCUCUCGACCCGGGCAUGAGCUUGGAAAACCAUUUUUAGCUCUUCGAACAUCUCAUAUGCUCCGUGUCGCUCAAAACGCUUUUGGAGCCCCGGUUCUAAGCUGUAAAGCAUGCCGCACUGAACGAGGUAGUAAUCAUCAGCACGUGUCUGCCAAGCGUUCAUAACGUCUUGGUUCUGUGGGACGGGUGCGUCACCUAGCGGUGCUUCUAGGACAUAAUCUUUCUUGGCAGCUUUAUAGUUGCUGCCAUCGUCUUUCAGCUUGGUUUUCUCUAGGAACGCAUUGAAGUUGAGGACAACGUUGGCUAUUUGAUCUACAAGACAUAUUGUAAAUAUUUUAGACUAAGUUCAUGAUAAUUAAGUUCAUCUAAUCAAAUUAUUCAAUGAACUCCCACUUAGAUAGACAUCCCUCCAGUCAUCUAAGUAUAACAUGAUCCGAGUUGACUAGGUCGUGUCCGAUCAUCACGUGAGACGGACUAGUCAACAUCGGUGAACAUCUUCAUGUUGAUCGUAUCUUCUAUACGACUCAUGCUCGACCUUUCGGUCUUCUGUGUUCCGAGGCCAUGUCUGUACAUGCUAGGCUCGUCAAGUCAACCUAAGUGUAUUGCGUGUGUAAAUCUGUCUUACACCCGUUGUAUGUGAACGUUGGAAUCUAUCACACCCGAUCAUCACGUGGUGCUUCGAAACAACGAACUGUCGCAACGGCGCACAGUUAGGGGGAACACUUUCUUGAAAUUAUUAUGAGGGAUCAUCUUAUUUACUACCGUCGUUCUAAGUAAACAAGAUGCAAAAACAUGAUAAACAUCACAUGCAAUCAAAUAAUAAUAGUGACAUGAUAUGGCCAAUAUCACAUAGCUCCUUUGAUCUCCAUCUUGGGGCUCCAUGAUCAUCUUGUCACCGACAUGACACCAUGAUCUCCAUCAUCAUGAUCUCCAUCAUCGUGUCUCCAUGAAGUUGCUAGCCAACUAUUACUUCUACUACUAUGGCUAACGCGUUUAGCAAUAAAUUAAAGUAAUUUACAUGGCGUUUCUCAAUGACACGCAGGUCAUACAAAAAAUAAAGACAACUCCUAUGGCUCCUGCCGGUUGUCAUAAUCAUCGACAUGCAAGUCGUGAUUCCUAUUACAAGAACAUGAUCUCAUACAUCACAUAUAUAUCAUUCAUCAUUCAUCACAACUUUGGCCAUAUCACAUCACAAAUCACUUGCUGCAAAAACAAGUUAGACGUCCUCUAAUUGUUGUUGCAAGUUUUACGUGGCUGCAAAAGGGUUCUAGCAAGAACGUUUUCUUACCUACGUAAUAGCCACAACGUGAUUUGUCAACUUCUAUUUACCCUUCAUAAGGACCCUUUUCAUCGAAUCCGCUCCAAAUAAAGUGGGAGAGACAGAAACCCGCUAGCCACCUAAUGCAACUAGUGCAUGUCAGUCGGUGGAACCAGUCUCACGUAAGCAUACGUGUAAGGUCGGUCCGGGCCGCUUCAUCCCACAAUACCGCUAAAGCAAGAUAAGACUAGUAGCGGCAAGAAAGUUGACAACAUCUACGCCCACAACAAAUUGUGUUCUACUCGUGCAAGGAGAACUACGCAUAAACCUGGCUCUGAUACCACUGUUGGGGAACAUUGCAGAAAACAAAAAAUUUCCUACGAUUUCACCAAGACCCAUCUAUGAGUUCAUCUAGCAACGAGUGAUCGGAUUGCAUCUACAUACCUUUGUAGAUCACGCGCGGAAGCGUUCAAAGAACGGGGAUGAGAAAGUCGUACUCGACGUGAUCCAAAUCACCGGAGGUCCUAGCGCCGAACAGACGGCACCUCCGCGUUCAACACACGUACGGUCAGCGUGACGUCUCCUCCUUCUUGAUCUAGCAAGGGGGAAGGAGAGGUUGAGGAAGAUGGCUCCAGCAGCAGCACGACGGCGUGGUGGUGGUGGAGCAGCAGUACUUCAGCAGGGCUUCGCCAAGCUCGUGACGGAGGAGGAGAUGUGUUGGGGAGGGGAGGGGAUGUGCCUUGGAUGUCCUCUGCAGCCCUCCCCUCACCCCUCUAUUUAUAGGGGAAGGAGGAAGGGGGCCGGCCCCCUCUAGAUGAGAUCUACAGGAGGGGCGGCGGCCAAGGGGAGGGGGGCUUGCCCCCCAAGCAAGGGGGCGCCCCCCCUUAGGGUUUCCCCCAACCCUAUGCGCAUGGGCCCUAGGGGGAGUGGCACCCCAGCCCACUUUGGGGUGGAUACCUUCCUCAUACAGCCCAUAAGGCCCUCCGAGAGAGGUGGCCCCUCCUGGUGGACCCCCGGAACCCCUCCGGUGGCCCCGGUACAAUACUGAUACGCCCCCGAACCUUUCCGGUGACCAUAUGACAACUUCCCAUAUAUAAUUCUUUACCUCCGGAUUAUUCCGGAACUCCUCGUGACGUCCAGGAUCUCAUCCGGGACUCCGAAAAACUUUCGGAUUACUGCAUACUCAUCUAUACAACCCUAGCGUCACCGAACCUUAAGUGUGUAGACCCUACGGGUUUGGGAGACAAGCAUACAUGACCGAGAUGACUCUCUGGUCAAUAACCAACAGCGGGAUCUGGAUACCCAUGUUGGCUCCCACAUGCUCCUCGAUGAUCUCAUCAGAUGAACCACGAUGUCGAGGACCUAAUCAAUCUCGUACUCAAUUCCCAUUGUCAAUCGGUACGUUACUUGCCCGAGACUCGAUCGUCGGUAUCCCAAUACCUUGUUCAGUCUCGUUACCGGCAAGUCACUUUACUCGUACCGUAAUGCAUGAUCCCAUGAUCAACCACUUGAUCACAUUGAGCUCAUUAUGAUGAUGCAUUACCGAGUGGGCCCAGAGAUACCUCUCCGUCAUACGGAGUGACAAAUCCCAGUCUCGAUUUGUGCCAACCCAACAGACACUUUCGGAGAUACCUGUAAUGUACCUUUGUAGUCACCCAGUUACGUUGUGAUGUUUGGCACACCCAAGGCACUCCUACGGUAUCCGGGAGUUGCACAAUCUCAUGGUCUAAGGAAAUGAUACUUGACAUCCAGAAAAGCUAUAGCAAAUGAACUACACGAUCUUUGUGCUUUGCUUAGGUUUGGGUCUUGUCCAUCACAUCAUUCUCCUAAUGAUGUGUUCCCAUUAUCAAUGACAUCCCCAUGUCCAUAGCCAGGAAACCAUGACUAUCUGUUGAUCAACGAGCUAGUCAACUAGAGGCUCACUAGGGACACAUUAUGGUCUAUGUAUUCACACAUGUAUUACGAUUUCCGAACAAUACAAUUAUAGCAUGAAUAAUAGACAAUUAUCAUGAACAAGGAAAUAUAAUCAUCAUUUUAUUAUUGCCUCUAGAGCAUAUUUCCAACAAUGUCACUCUUGGUUCAUUGCACAUCCCGGUACAACGCCGGAGGCAUUCACAUAGAGUCAUAUUUUGUUCUAAGUAUCGAGUUGUAAUUUUUGAGUUGUAAAGUAAAUAAAAGUGUGAUGAUCAUCAUUAUUAGAUCAUUGUCCCAUGUGAGGAAAUGAUGAUGGAGACUAUGAUUCCCCAGAAGUCGGGAUGAGACUCGGGAUGAAAAAGAAAAAAAAGAAAAAAAGAGGCCAUAAAAAGAGAGAAGGCCCAAAAAGAAAAAAUAAUGAGAGAAAAGAGAGAAGGGACAAUGCUAAUAUCCUUUGACCACACUUGUGCUUCAAAGUAGCACCAUGAUCUUCAUGAUAGAGAGUCUCCUAUGUUGUCACUUUCAUAUACUAGUGGGAAUUUUACAUUAUAGAACUUGGCUUGUAUAUUCCAAUGAUGGGCUUCCUCAAAAUGCCCUAGGUCUUCGUGAGCAAGCAAGUUGGAUGCACACCCACUUAGUUUCUUUUUGAGCUUUCAUAUACUUAUAGCUCUAGUGCAUCCGUUGCAUGGCAAUCCCUACUCACUCACAUUGAUAUCUAUUGAUGGGCAUCUCCAUAGCCCGUUGAUACACCUAGUUGAUGUGAGACUAUCUUAUCCUUUUUGUCUUCUCCACAACCACCAUUCUAUUCCACCUAUAGUGCUAUGUCCAUGGCUCACGCUCAUGUAUCGCGUGAAGAUUGAAAAAGUUUGAGAACAUCAAAAGUAUGAAACAAUUGCUUGGCUUGUCAUCGGGGUUGUGCACGAUUUAAAUACUUUGUGUGAUGAAGAUAGAGCAUAGCCAUACUAUAUGAUUUUGUAGGGAUAACUUUCUUUGGCCAUGUUAUUUUGAGAAGACAUCAUUGCUUUGUUAGUAUGCUUGAAGUAUUAUUAUUUUUAUGUCAAUAUUAAACUUUUGUCUUGAAUAUUUCGGAUCUGAACAUUCAUGCCACAAUAAAGAAAAAAUAUAUUGAGAAUUAUGCUAGGUAGCAUUCCACAUCAAAAGUUCUGUUUUUAUCAUUUACCUACUCGAGGACGAGUAGGAAUGAAUCUUGGGAUGCUUCAUACGUCUACAACAUAUCUAUAAUUUGUGAUUGUUCCAUGCUAUUAUAUUAUCUGUUUUGGAUGUUUAAUGGGCUUUAAUAUACAUUUUUAUAUUAUUUUUGGGACUAACCUACUAACCAAAGCCCCAGUGCAAAUUGCUUUUUUUUGCCUAUUUCAGUGUUUCGCAGAAAAGGAAUAUCAAACGGAAUCCAAACGGAAUGAAACCUUCGGGAGAGUUAUUUAUAGAACAAAUGUGAUCCAGGAGACUUGAGUGGAUGUCAAGAAAGAAGCGAGGAGGCCACUGAAGGAAAUAUGCCCUAGAGGCAAUAAUAAAGUUAUUAUUUAUUUCCUUAUAAUCAUGAUAAAUGUUUAUUAUUCAUGCUAGAAUUGUAUUAACCGGAAACAUAAUACAUGUGUGAAUACAUAGACAAACAAAGUGUCACUAGUAUGCCUCUACUUGACUAGCUCGUUAAUCAAAGAUGGUUAUGUUUCCUAACCAUGAACAAUGAGUUGUUAUUUGAUUAACGAGGUCACAUCAUUAGUUGAAUGAUCUGAUUGACAUGACCCGUUCCAUUAGCUUAGCAACCGAUCGUUUAGUAUGUUGCUAUUGCUUUCUUCAUGACUUAUACAUGUUCCUAUAACUAUGAGAUUAUGCAACUCCCGUUUGCCGGAGGAACACUUUGGGUGCUACCAAACGUCACAAUCUAACUGGGUGAUUAUAAAGGAGCAUUACAGGUGUCUCCAAAGGUAGAUGUUGGGUUGGCAAAUUUCGAGAUUAGGAUUUGUCACUCCGAUUGUCGGAGAGGUAUCUCUGGGCCCUCUCGGUAAUGCACAUCACAUAAGCCUUGCAAGCAUUGCAACUAAUGAGUUAGUUGCGAGAUGAUGUAUUACAAAACGAGUAAAGAGACUGGUUGGUAACGAGAUUGAACUAGGUAUUGUAUAUCGACGAUCGAAUCUCGGGCAAGUAACAUACCGAUGACAAAGGGAACAACGUAUGUUGUUAUGCGGUCUGACCGAUAAAGAUCUUCGUAGAAUAUGUAGGAGCCAAUAUGGGCAUCCAGGUCCCGCUAUUGGUUAUUGACCAGAGACGUGUCUCGGUCAUGUCUACAUUGUUCUCGAACCCGUAGGGUCCGCACGCUUAAGGUUACGAUGACAGUUAUAUUAUGAGUUUAUGCAUUUUGAUGUACCGAAGGUUGUUCGGAGUCCCGGAUGUGAUCACGGACAUGACGAGGAGUCUCGAAAUGGUCGAGACGUAAAGAUUGAUAUAUUGGAAGCCUAUGUUUGGAUAUCGGAAGUGUUCCGGGUGAAAUCGGGAUUUUACCGGAGUACCGGGANNNNNNNNNNNNNNNNNNNNNNNNNNNNNNNNNNNNNNNNNNNNNNNNNNNNNNNNNNNNNNNNNNNNNNNNNNNNNNNNNNNNNNNNNNNNNNNNNNNNNNNNNNNNNNNNNNNNNNNNNNNNNNNNNNNNNNNNNNNNNNNNNNNNNNNNNNNNNNNNNNNNNNNNNNNNNNNNNNNNNNNNNNNNNNNNNNNNNNNNNNNNNNNNNNNNNNNNNNNNNNNNNNNNNNNNNNNNAAGGUGGCCGCGCGCCUCCCCCUCCCCCUAGUCCUAUUAGGACUAGGAGAGGUGGUCGGCCCCCCUUCUCUCUCUUCCCCCCUCGGGGAAUCCUAGUCCAACUAGGAUUGGGGGGGGAGUCCUACUCCCGGAAGGAGAAGGACUCCUCCUGCGCCCUCCUCCUGGCCGGCGCCCCCCUCCCCCUUGGCUCCUUUAUAUACUAAGGCAGAGGCACCCCAGAAACACACAAGUUGAUCCACGUGAUCUAUUCCUUAGCCGUGUGCGGUGCCCCCAGCCACCAUAUUCAUCGAUAAUACUGUAGCGGAGUUUAGGCGAAGCCCUACUGCUGUAGUGCAUCAAGAUCGUCACCACGCCGUCGUGCUGACGGAAUUCUUCCCCGACACUUUCCUGGAUCGGAGUCCGGGGAUCGUCAUCGAGCUGAACGUGUGCUCGAACUCGGAGGUGCCGUAGUUUCGGUGCUUGAUCGGUUGGAUCGCGAAGACGUACGACUACUUCCUCUACGUUGUGUCAACGCUUCCGCAGUCGGUCUGCGUGGGUACGUAGAAAGCACUCUCCCCUCUCGUUGCUAUGCAUCACCAUGAUCUUGCGUGUGCGUAGGAAUUUUUUUGAAAUUACUACGAAACCCAAAAGUCGCAUCCGUGCCUAGGUUAUUUAUGUUGAUGUUAUAUGCACGAGUAGAACACAAGUGAGUUGUGGGCGAUAUAAGUCAUACUGCCUACCAGCAUGUCAUACUUUGGUUCGGCGGCAUUGUUGGACGAGACGACCCGGACCAACCUUACGCGUACGCUUACGCGAGACCGGUUCCCCCGACGUGCUUUGCACACAGGUGGCUUGCGGGCGACUGUCUCUCCAACUUUAGUUGAACCAAGUAUGGCUACGCCCGGUCCUUGCGAAGGUUAAAACGGAGUCUAUUUGACAAACUAUCGUUGUGGUUUUGAUGCGUAGGUGAGAUUGGUUCUUGCUUAAAGCCCGUAGCAGCCACAUAAAACUUGCAACAACAAAGUAGAGGACGUCUAACCUGUUUUUGCAGGGCAUGUUGUGAUGUGAUAUGGUCAAGACAUGAUGCUGAAUUUUAUUGUAUGAGAUGAUCAUGUUUUGUAACCGAGUUAUCGGCAACUGGCAGGAGCCUUAUGGUUGUCGUUUUAUUGUAUGCAAUGAAAACGCGAUGUAAUGAUUUACUUUAUUACUAAGCGGUAGUGAUAGUCGUGGAAGCAUAAACUUGGCGAGACGACAACGAUGCUAUGAUGGAGAUCAAGGUGUCACGCCGGUGAUGAUGGUGAUCACGACGGUGCUUCGGAGAUGGAGAUCACAAGCACAAGAUGAUGAUGGCCAUAUCAUAUCACUUAUAUUGAUUGCAUGUGAUGUUUAUCCUUUUAUGCAUCUUAUCUUGCUUUGAUUGACGGUAGCAUUAUAAGAUGAUUUCUCACUAAAUUACCAAGAAGUGUUCUCCCUGAGUAUGCACCGUUGUGAAAGUUCUUCGUGCUGAGACACCACGUGAUGAUCGGGUGUGAUAGGUUCUACGUUCAAAUACAACGGGUGCAAAACAGUUGCCCACGCGGAAUACUCAGGUUAUACUUGACGAGCCAAGCAUAUACAGAUAUGGCCUCAGAACACGGAGACUGAAAGGUCGAGCGUGAAUCAUAUAGUAGAUAUGAUCAACAUAACGAUGUUCACCAUUGAAAACUACUCCAUCUCACGUGAUGAUCGGUUAUGGUUUAGUUGAUUUGGAUCACGUAAUCACUUAGAGGAUUAGAGGGAUGUCUAUCUAAGUGGGAGUUCUUUAAUUAAUUUGAUUAACUGAACUUAAAUUUAUCAUGAAACUUAGUACCUAAUUAGUAUCUUGCUUGUUUAUGUUUGAUUGUAGAUAGAUGGCUCGUGUUGUUGUUCCGUUGAAUUUUAAUGCGUUCCUUGAGAAAGCAAAGUUGAAAGAUGAUGGUAGCAAUUACACGGACUAGGUCCGUAACUUGAGGAUUAUCCUCAUUGCUGCACAGAAGAAUUACGUCCUGGAAGUACCACUGGGUGCCAGGCCUGCUGCAGGAGCAACGCCGGAUGUUAUGAACGUCUGGCAGAGCAAAGCUGAUGACUACUCAAUAGUUCAGUGUGCCAUGCUUUACGGCUUAGAAUCGGGACUUCAACGACGUUUUGAACGUCAUGGAGCAUAUGAGAUGUUCCAGGAGUUGGAGUUAAUGUUUCAAGCAAAUGCCCAGAUUGAGAGAUAUGAAGUCUCCAAUAAGUUCUAUAGCUGCAAGAUGGAGGAGAACAGUUCUGUCAGUGAGCAUAUACUCAAAAUGUCUGGGUAUAAUAAUCACUUGAUUCAAUUGGGAGUUAAUCUUCCAGAUGAUUGCGUCAUUGACAGAAUUCUUCAAUCACUGCCACCAAGCUACAAGAGCUUCGUGAUGAACUAUAAUAUGCAAGGGAUGAACAAGACUAUUCCCGAGCUCUUCGCGAUGCUGAAAGCUGCGGAGGUAGAAAUCAAGAAGGAGCAUCAAGUGUUGAUGGUCAACAAGACCACUAGUUUCAAGAAAAAGGGCAAAGGGAAGAAGAAGGGGAACUUCAAAAAGAACGGCAAGCAAGUUGCUACUCAAGAGAAGAAACCCAAACCUGGACCUAAGCCUGAAACUGAGUGUUUCUAUUGCAAGCAGACUGGUCACUUGAAGCGGAACUGCCCCAAGUAUUUGGCAGAUAAGAAGGAUGGAAAGGUGAACAAAGGUAUAUGUGAUAUACAUGUUAUUGAUGUGUACCUUACUAAUGCUCGCAGUAGCACCUGGGUAUUUGAUACUGGUUCUGUUGCUAAUAUUUGCAACUCGAAACAGGGACUACGGAUCAAGCGAAGAUUGGUUAAGGACGAGGUGACGAUGCGCGUGGGAAACGGUUCCAAAGUCGAUGUGAUCGCAGUCGGCACACUACCUCUACAUCUACCUUCGGGAUUAGUAUUAGACCUAAAUAAUUGUUAUUUGGUGCCAGCGUUAAGCAUGAACAUUAUAUCUGGAUCUUGUUUGAUGCGAGACGGUUAUUCAUUUAAAUCAGAGAAUAAUGGUUGUUCUAUUUAUAUGAGUAAUAUCUUUUAUGGUCAUGCACCCUUGAAGAGUGGUCUAUUCUUGUUGAAUCUCGAUAGUGGUAACACACAUAUUCAUAAUGUUGAAGCCAAAACAUGUAGAGUUGAUAAUGAGAGUGCAACUUAUUUGUGGCACUGCCGUUUAGGUCAUAUCGGUGUAAAGCGCAUGAAGAAACUCCAUUCUGAUGGACUUUUGGAACCACUUGAUUAUGAAUCACUUGGUACUUGCGAACCGUGCCUUAUGGGCAAGAUGACAAAACACCGUUCUCCGGUACUAUGGAGGGAGCAACAGAUUUGUUGGAAAUCAUACAUACAUAUGUAUGUGGUCCGAUGAAUAUUGAGGCUCGUGGCGGAUAUCAUUAUUUUCUCACCUUCACAGAUGAUUUAAGCAGAUAUGGGUAUAUCUACUUAAUGAAACAUAAGUCUGAAACAUUUGAAAGGUUCAAGGAAUUUCAGAGUGAAGUUGAAAAUCAUCGUAACAAGAAAAUAAAGUUUCUACGAUCUGAUCGUGGAGGAGAAUAUUUGAGUUACGAGUUUGGUGUACAUUUGAAAAAUUGUGGAAUAGUUUCGCAACUCACGCCACCCGGAACACCACAGCGUAAUGGUGUGUCUGAAUGUCGUAAUCGUACUUUACUAGAUAUGGUGCGAUCUAUGAUGUCUCUUACUGAUUUACCGCUAUCGUUUUGGGGAUACGCUCUAGAGACGGCCGCAUUCACUUUAAAUAGGGCACCAUCAAAAUCCGUUGAGACGACGCCUUAUGAACUGUGGUUUGGCAAGAAACCAAAGUUGUCGUUUCUGAAAGUUUGGGGCUGCGAUGCUUAUGUGAAAAAGCUUCAACCUGAUAAGCUCGAACCCAAAUCGGAGAAAUGUGUCUUCAUAGGAUAUCCAAAGGAAACUAUUGGAUACACCUUCUAUCACAGAUCUGAAGGCAAGACUUUUGUUGCUAAAUUCGGAAACUUUCUAGAGAAGGAGUUUCUCUCGAAAGAAGUGAGUGGGAGGAAAGUAGAACUUGACGAGGUAACUGUACCUGCUCCCUUAUUGGAAAGUAGUACAUCACAGAAAAUUGUUUCAGUGACACCUACACCAGUUAGUGAGGAAGCUAAUGAUAAUGAUCAUGAAACUUCAGAUCAAGAUACUGCUGAACCUCGUAGAUCAACCAGAGUAAGAUCCGCACCAGAGUGGUACGGUAAUCCUGUUCUGGAAGUCAUGCUACUAGAUCAUGAUGAACCUGCGAACUAGGAAGAAGCGAUGGUGAGCCCAGAUUCCGCAAAAUGGCUUGAAGCCAUGAAAUCUGAGAUGGGAUCCAUGUAUGAGAACAAAGUAUGGACUUUGGUUGACUUGCCCGAUGAUCGGUAAGCAAUUGAGAAUAAAUGGAUCUUCAAGAAGAAGACUGACGCUGACGGUAAUGUUACUGUCUACAAAGCUCGACUUGUCGCAAAAGGUUUUCGACAAGUUCAAGGGGUUGACUACGAUGAGACCUUCUCACCCGUAGCGAUGCUUAAGUCUGUCCGAAUCAUGUUAGCAAUUGCCGCAUUUUAUGAUUAUGAAAUUUGGCAAAUGGAUGUCAAAACUGCAUUCCUGAAUGGAUUUCUGGAAGAAGAGUUGUAUAUGAUGCAACCAGAAGGUUUUGUCGAUCCAAAAGGAGCUAACAAAGUGUGCAAGCUCCAGCGAUCCAUUUAUGGACUGGUGCAAGCCUCUCGGAGUUGGAAUAAAUGCUUUGAUAGUGUGAUCAAAGCAUUUUGUUUUAUACAGACUUUCGGAGAAGCCUGUAUUUACAAGAAAGUGAGUGGGAGCUCUGUAGCAUUUCUGAUAUUAUAUGUGGAUGACAUAUUACUGAUUGGAAAUGAUAUAGAAUUUCUGGAUAGCAUAAAGAGAUACUUGAAUAAGAGUUUUUCAAUGAAAGACCUCGGUGAAGCUGCUUACAUACUAGGCAUAAAGAUCUAUAGAGAUAGAUCAAGACGCUUAAUUGGACUUUCACAAACAACAUACCUUGACAAAAUUUUGAAGAAGUUCAAAAUGGAUCAAGCAAAGAAAGGAUUCUUGCCUGUGUUACAAGGUGUGAAAUUGAGUAAGACUCAAUGCCCGACCACUGCAGAAGAUAGAGAGAAUAUGAAAGAUGUUCCCUAUGCAUCAGCGAUAGGAUCUAUCAUGUAUGCAAUGUUGUGUACCAGACCUGAUGUGUGCCUUGCUAUAAGUCUAGCAGGGAGGUACCAAAGUAAUCCAGGAGUGGAUCACUGGACAACCGUCAAGAACAUCCUGAAAUACAUGAGAAGGACUAAGGAUAUGUUUCUCGUAUAUGGAGGUGACAAAGAGCUCGACGUAAAUGGUUACGUUGAUGCAAGCUUUGACACUGAUCCGGACGAUUCUAAAUCGCAAACCGGAUACGUGUUUACAUUAAACGGUGGAGCUGUCAGUUGGUGCAGUUCUAAACAAAGCGUCGUAGUGGGAUCUACAUGUGAAGCGGAGUACAUAGCUGCUUCGGAAGCAGCGAACGAAGGAGUCUGGAUGAAGGAGUUCAUAUCCGAUCUAGGUGUCAUAUCUAGUGCAUCGGGUCCAAUGAAAAUCUUUUGUGACAAUACUGGUGCAAUUGCCUUGGCAAAGGAAUCCUGAUUUCACAAGAGAACCAAGCACAUCAACAGACGCUUCAAUUCCAUCCAGGAUCUAGUCCAGGUGGGAGACAUAGAGAUUUGCAAGAUACAUACGGAUCUGAAUGUUGCAGACCCGUUGACUAAGCCUCUUCCACGAGCAAAACAUGAUCAGCACCAAGGCUCCAUGGGUGUUAGAAUCAUCACAGUGUAAUCUAGAUUAUUGACUCUAGUGCAAGUGGGAGACUGAAGUAAAUAUGCCCUAGAGGCAAUAGUAAAGUUAUUAUUUAUUUCCUUAUAAUCAUGAUAAAUGUUUAUUAUUCAUGCUAGAAUUGUAUUAACCGGAAACAUAAUACAUGUGUGAAUACAUAGACAAACAAAGUGUCACUAGUAUGCCUCUACUUGACUAGCUCGUUAAUCAAAGAUGGUUAUGUUUCCUAACCAUGAACAAUGAGUUGUUAUUUGAUUAACGAGGUCACAUCAUUAGUUGAAUGAUCUGAUUGACAUGACCCGUUCCAUUAGCUUAGCACCCGAUCGUUUAGUAAGUUGCUAUUGCUUUCUUCAAGACUUAUACAUGUUCCUAUAACUAUGAGAUUAUGCAACUCCCGUUUGCCGGAGGAACACUUUGGAUGCUACCAAACGUCACAACGUAACUGGGUGAUUAUAAAGGAGCAUUACAGGUGUCUCCAAAGGUAGAUGUUGGGUUGGCGUAUUUCGAGAUUAGGGUUUGUCACUCCGAUUGUCGGAGAGGUAUCUCUGGGCCCUCUCGGUAAUGCACAUCACAUAAGCCUUGCAAGCAUUGCAAUUAAUGAGUUAGUUGUGAGAUGAUAUAUUACAGAACGAGUAAAGAGACUUGCCGGUAACGAGAUUGAACUAGGUAUUGGAUACCGACGAUCGAAUCUCGGGCAAGUAACAUACCGAUGACAAAGGGAACAACGUAUGUUGUUAUGCGGUCUGACCGAUAAAGAUCUUCGUAGAAUAUGUAGGAGCCAAUAUGGUCAUCCAGGUCUGGCUAUUGGUUAUUGACCGGAGACGUGUCUCAGUCAUGUCUACAUUGUUCUCGAACCCGUAGGGUCCGCACGCUUAAGGUUACGAUGACAGUUAUAUUAUGAGUUUAUGCAUUUUGAUGUACCGAAGGUUGUUCGGAGUCCCGGAUGUGAUCACGGACAUGAUGAGGAGUCUCGAAAUGGUCGAGACGUAAAGAUUGAUAUAUUGGAAGCCUAUGUUUGGAUAUCGGAAGUGUUCCGGGUGAAAUCGGGAUUUUACCGGAGUACCGGGAGGUUACCGGAACCCCCCNNNNNNNNNNNNNNNNNNNNNNNNNNNNNNNNNNNNNNNNNNNNNNNNNNNNNNNNNNNNNNNNNNNNNNNNNNNNNNNNNNNNNNNNNNNNNNNNNNNNNNNNNNNNNNNNNNNNNNNNNNNNNNNNNNNNNNNNNNNNNNNNNNNNNNNNNNNNNNNNNNNNNNNNNNNNNNNNNNNNNNNNNNNNNNNNNNNNNNNNNNNNNNNNNNNNNNNNNNNNNNNNNNNNNNNNNNNNNNNNNNNNNNNNNNNNNNNNNNNNNNNAAGGAGAAAGGGGCAGCCCAAGGUGGCCGCGCGCCUCCCCCCUUCCCCUAGUCCUAUUAGGACUAGGAGAGGUGGCCGGCCCCCCUUCUCUCUCUUUCCCCCUCGGGGAAUCCUAGUCCAACUAGGAUUGGGGGGGAGUCCUACUCCCGGAAGGAGAAGGACUCCUCCUGCGCCCUCCUCCUGGCCGGCGCCCCCUCCCCCUUGGCUCCUUUAUAUACUAAGGCAGAGGCACCCCAGAAACACAUAAGUUGAUCCACGUGAUCUAUUCCUUAGCCGUGUGCGGUGCCCCCAGCCACCAUAUUUCUCGAUAAUACUGUAGCGGAGUUUAGGCGAAGCCCUGCUGCUGUAGUGCAUCAAGAUCGUCACCACGCCGUUGUGCUGACGGAAUUCUUCCCCAACACUUUGCUGGAUCGGAGUCUGGGGGUCGUCAUCGAGCUGAACGUGUGCUCGAACUCGGAGGUGCCGUAGUUUCGGUGCUUGAUCGGUUGGAUCGCGAAGACGUACGACUACUUCCUCUACGUUGUGUCAACGCUUCCGCAGUCGGUCUGCGUGGGUACGUAGACAGCACUCUCCCCUCUCAUUGCUAUGCAUCACCAUGAUCUUGCGUGUGCGUAGGAAAUUUUUUGAAAUUACUACGAAACCCAACAGCCACGAGGCAGGACGGCGCACCUAGGGGGUAGGCCCGCCCUCCACACUCGUGGGCCCCUUGCAGCUCCACUGACGUACUUCUUCCUCCUAUAUAUACCCAUAUACCGCGAAAACAUCCAGGAGCACCACGAAACCCUAUUUCCAUCGCCACAACCUUCUGUACCCGUGAGAUCCCAUCUUGGGGCCUUUUUCGACGCUCCGCCGGAGGGGGAAUUGAUCAUGGAGGGCUUCUACAUCAACACCAUAGCCUCUCCGAUGAUGUGUGAGUAGUUUACCACAGACCUUCGGGUCCAUAGUUAUUAGCUAGAUGGCUUCUUCUCUCUCUUUGGAUCUCAAUACAAAGUUCUCCUCGAUUCUCUUGGAGAUCUAUUCGAUGUAAUUUCUUUUUGCGGUGUGUUUGUCGAUAUCCGAUGAAUUGUGGGUUUAAUCAAGAUUAUCUAUGAACAAUAUUUGAUUCUUCUCUGAAUUCUUUUAUGCAUGAUUUAAAUAUCUUUGCAAGUCUCUUCGAAUUAUCAAUUUGGUUUGGCCUACUAGAUUGAUCUUUCUUGCAAUGGGAGAAGUGCUUAGCUUUGGGUUCAAUCUUGCGGUGUCCUUUCCCAGUGACAGCAGGGGCAGCAAGGCACGUAUUGUAUUAUUGACAUCGAGGAUAAAAAGAUGGGGUUUAUAUCAUAUUGCUUCAGUUUAUUCCUCUACAUCAUGUCGUCUUGCCUAAUGUGUUACUCUGUUCUUAUGAACUUAAUACUCUAGAUGCAUGCUGGAUAGCGGUCGAUGUGUGGAGUAGUAGUAGUAGAUGCAGAAUCGUUUAGGUCUACUUGUCGCGGACGUGAUGCCUAUAUACAUGAUCAUGCCUAGAUAUUCUCAUAAUUAUUCGAUUUUCUAUCAAUUGCUCGACAGUAAUUUGUUCACCCACCGUAGAAUUUGCUAUCUUGAGAGAAGCCACUAGUGAAACCUAUGGCCCCCGGGUCUAUCUUCCAUCAUAUCUAUUUUCUAUUUCUAUCAUAGUUUAUUUUUGCAAUCUUUACUUUCCAAUCUAUACCAUAAAAAAUACCAAAAAUAUUUAUCUUAUUAUCUCUACAGAUCUCACUUUGUAAGUGACCGUGAAGGGAUUGACAACCCCUUUAUCGCGUUCGUUGCAAGGUUCUUGUUUGUUUGUGCAGGUACUAGGCAAAUUUCGUGUUACCUCCUACAGGAUUGAUACCUUGAUUCUCAAAAACUGAGGGGGAAAUACUUACGCUAUUGUGCUGCAUCACCCUUUCCUCUUCAAGGGAAAACCAACGCUUGCUCAAGAGUUAGCAGAUGCCAAUUCAAAUAAUCAUCAAAAUAAUUCUCCUACACGCGUUAUUCAGAUGGAGAAGAAGCGGUUGGCGUGGACAUUUCGUUUCUUAUCGAUGUCCAAGAGAAAAGCUACUAGGAAGUUCGUCCGCGCGGUGGAUUAUAAGUUUAAGUCUGUUACAUGAUACGUCCAUUUUGUAUCAUGUUUUCUUACUAUUAUUUAUAAUGUUUUAUCCAUAAUAAUGCUUUUUGGAGUAAUUCUAAUGUCUUUUCUCUCAUAAUUUGCAGUGUACACACAAAGAGGGAGAAUUUCGGCAGCUGGAAAUCUUGACCUGGGAAAGCUACAUCAGGCUACCUAUUCUGCACAACUCCAAACAAGCUGAAACUUGACAAUGAUUUUUUAUGGAAUAUAUAAGAAAUACUGGAGGAAAUAACUACCAUAGGGGGCCCAUCAGGUGGGCACAACCCACCUGGGCACGCUAGGGAGCCCAGGCAUGCCCUGGUGGGUUGUGCUCACCCAGGCCCACCUCUGGUGCCCAUCUUCUGGUAUAUAAGUCAUUUUAACCUAGAAAAAAUAAGGAUAAGGCUUUUGGGACGGAGCGCUGCCGUCUCGAGGCGGAACUUGGGCAGGAGCACUUUUGCCCUCCGGCGGAGCGAUUCCGCCNNNNNNNNNNNNNNNNNNNNNNNNNNNNNNNNNNNNNNNNNNNNNNNNNNNNNNNNNNNNNNNNNNNNNNNNNNNNNNNNNNNNNNNNNNNNNNNNNNNNNNNNNNNNNNNNNNNNNNNNNNNNNNNNNNNNNNNNNNNNNNNCAUCGUCCUCAUCAUCACCAACAACUCUCCCAUCUUGGGGAGGGUUAUCUCCAUCAACAUCUUCAACAACACCAUCUCAUCUCAAACCCUAGUUCAUCUCUUGUGUUCAAUCUUGUUACCGGAACUAUAGAUUGGUGCUUGUGGGUGACUGGUAGUGUUGAUUACAUCUUGUAGUUGAUUACUAUAUGGUUUAUUUGGUGGAAGAUUAUAUGUUCAGAUCCAUUAUGCUAUUUAAUACUCCUCUGAGCAUGAGCAUGUUUAUCAUUUGUGAGUAGUUACUUUCGUUCUUGAGGUUACGGGAGAAAUCAUGUUCCAAGUAAUCCUGUGAACUUCAUAUGUGUUCGAUAUUUUGAUAUUAUGUAUGUUGUGAUUCCCUUAGUGGUGCCAUAUUUGAACGUCGACUACAUGACACUUCACCAUAUUUGGGCCUAAGCGAAUGCAUUGUGGAGUAGCAAUUAGAUGAUGGGUUGCUAGAGUGACAGAAACUUAAAUCCCAGUUUAUGCGCUAUUCCGUAAGGGACCGAUUGGAUCCAAAAGUUUAAUGCUAUGGCUAGAAUUUAUUCAUAAUACUUUUCUCAUAGUUGCGGAUGCUUGCGGGAGGGUUAAUCAUAAGUAGGAGGUUUGUUCAAGUAAGAACAUCACCUAAGCACCGGUCCACCCACAUAUCAAAUUAUCAAAGUAGCGAACACAAAUCGAACCAACAUGACAAAAGUGACUAGAUGAAAAUCCCGUGUAGCCUCAAGAACGCUUUGCUUAUCAUAAGAGACCGUUUUGGCCUGUCCUUUUGCCUCAAAAGGAUUGGGAUACCUUGCUGCACUUUUGUCACUACUAUUGUUACUUGUUACAAAUUAUCUUGCUAUCAAACUACUUUGCUACUUACAAUUUCAGCACUUGCAAACAUUACCUUACUGAAAACUACUUGUCAUUUCCUUCUGCUCCUUGUUGGGUUUGACACUCUUACUUAUCGAAAAGAGCUAUAAUUGAUCCCCUAUACUUGUGGGUCAUCAUUACAACAUCCAAUCAUCCAUAUAAUCUCUGUGUUUCUUCUGUUUUCUACCAGUCAUAUUUCAUAUGUGCAUCAGAGGAAAAAUGCUUUCAGCGGGCAUGUUGGAGUGCACAUACCAAGUUCCCAGAUUGCAAAUAUGAUCCUGGGCUCCUAGCCAUUAAUAUGUUUAAUUCCACAUUUUCUUCAUCUAAUUUCUAAAUGACUAGACAACCUGUUAUACUCUUAUAGAAUUAUGAGCCGCCCAAACCAUGUUUCUCUUGGUCUAAUUUCUAAAUGAUAAUGUGCAACAUCUAUCUCCUUGUGAACCUUUUUUUUCUUCCGACUGUAUCCCCUGGUGAACCUAUCUUACGAUAAGAUUUUUUAGGGCAUUUUUUGAUGAUUUUUUCCUAUAGCCCUUAAAUAAAAUCAAAUAAAAUCAAGUGCAACUCACAGUAAGUUUUCUGCUCCUAGCUAGUUGUAAAGAACAAGUUCAAUUCAGUCUGAUUUAGUUCUUGACAUGACCGUGCUGCCAGCAACUCCUUUUCUCUAGCUAGCACAAUAAUUGUACUUGUUUGAUGUAAAGGACAUAAAUACAAAGAAAUAAAUUGGAAGCUUAUUUCAAAUUAACUAGCUAGUGGUGUUUGUGAAGUUCAAGAAAAAUCUAGUCUUUUUCUCGACAAAUAAGUUGACAUGCAAGGAAUCAAUGAAUGUAUUUGCAAGAAAGCAAACAUAAUUAUCGAUAAAAUUGGUUGUGAUUGUCACUAUAGACAAUGGUAGUAGCUAAUUGGAACUAGAUACAAACCAAUAAAAAACAAGAUCUCAAAUCUCCAACCAAUAAAGAGUUCAACCCAAAUUUUACAAUUACACUAUUAUAUUUAAAUAGUGAUUAUUGUAAUACAUGGCUAAUUAAUUAAUGCACUAGGUUGCGCUUGUGACCAGGCAAGACAAACUUAUGAACUUGCAUGCAUGGCAAUCAGAUCGACAUCCACACAAUGCCGAUAUGAACAUUUUCUUAAUACACCUUUAUUUGUAUUUUAUUUCAGAAUUUAAACAACUAGUUUGAGCGGGUCACACAUGACGUUGUGUGACACUUUAUUUGUCACCGCUACAUUGACAUAUCCAUCGACUAAACAACGGUGAUCCAACUAUAUAUUACUAGAGAUCUUUUCUUAUCAGUAGACACCAACUCCGAUGCCAACGCCUAAUGGCACACUAGUGGUGGUUUCGUACAACGGCACAUUGACACUGCACAUUGUUGGCAGGGUACGGAGUGCAAUGGAAGUCAUCACCUCAAGCUGAGCUAUCUGGUGUGGCUGCAAAAAGGUACCAUGUGCCAAUUGUUGUUGUUGAGGUUGUUGCCCGAGUUGCUGCUGCAACUGCUGUUGGGGUUGGGAGACACAUUGGCCCAACUGUUGGGGUUGUUGUUGCUGAUAUUGGAUGAUACUCUGACCCUGUUGUUGUUGUUGUUGUUGCUGCUGCUGCUGCUGCAGGAUGAUAGAGUAGAUGAUAGCACGGAUUGACUCAUGGCGGGAUUGCUCGGGGAUUUGCCGCAACUGCUGGCAACAUUGUUGCUGCAUCACAUGGCAAAUGCUCUGCUGCAACAUUUGUGACCUAGCAAGACAUCGCUGCAUUGCCACAGGGAUGCACUGCUGCUGGAGGAAUACCUUGCAUGGGUUUAGCUGCUGCAAAACAGAUGGAUGAAUAACUGGUAUUUGUUGUUGCUGUGAAAAUGGUGGUUGUUGUUGCUGCGAAAAUGGUGGUUGUUGCUGCUGUGAAAUUGGUGGCUGUUGUGAAAAUGGUGGUUGUUGUUGCUGUGUAAAUGGUUGUUGUUGUUGUUGUUGCUGCUGCUGCUGCUGUGAAAUUGGUGGCUGUUGUGAAAACGAUGGUUGUUGUUGCUGUGUAAAUGGUGGUUGUUGUUGUUGCUGCAAAAAUGGUGGUUGUUGUUGCUGCGAAAAUGGUNNNNNNNNNNNNNNNNNNNNNNNNNNNNNNNNNNNNNNNNNNNNNNNNNNNNNNNNNNNNNNNNNNNNNNNNNNNNNNNNNNNNNNNNNNNNNNNNNNNNNNNNNNNNNNNNNNNNNNNNNNNNNNNNNNNNNNNNNNNNNNNNNNNNNNNNNNNNNNNNNNNNNNNNNNNNNNNNNNNNNNNNNNNNNNNNNNNNNNNNNNNNNNNNNNNNNNNNNNNNNNNNNNNNNNNNNNNNNNNNNNNNNNNNNNNNNNNNNNNNNNNNNNNNNNNNNNNNNNNNNNNNNNNNNNNNNNNNNNNNNNNNNNNNNNNNNNNNNNNNNNNNNNNNNNNNNAAUUGUGGUUGUUGUUGCUGUGAAAAUGGUGGUUGUUGCUGCUGUGAAAUUGGUGGCUGUUGUGAAAACGGUGGUUGUUGUUGCUGCAAAAAUGGUGGUUGUUGUUGUUGUUGCGAAAAUGGUGAUUGCUGUUGCUGCGAAAAUGGUGGUUGUUGUUGCUGUGAAAAUGGUGGUUGUUGUUGUUGCUGUGAAAUUUGCGCAACGGCACUUGCCGCCGCAAGAGCGAGGAGGGCAAAGACGAGGAAGGUCUUCAUUGUGGAUUGGUGUUAACUAGUGUUGUUUGGCUUUGAUGCUUGUGCUUGUGAUGAUCUUUAUACUUCAUGCCUAUUUAUAGUUGCCGGGACACCACCUCUUUUCCUUCUUUGCACCGGCUUUAAUAAUUCUGUUUGGAUGCAUCUGAAAUGAAUUUUUUGGUACAUUGUGUUGGGUUGCACUAGCUACAAAAGCGUACUUUUGGAUUCAUCAUCAAAGUUGCCUUUUAGUUGUGCAUAUGAUCAUACACAAAGUACAGAAACCUCGAUGUUUGGUACAUAUGACUCACCUUAUUAACUUUACAUGUCACGCACUUAUCAGGAUAGUAUCACUUUUGCAACCGAGUUUGGAACCUUGUAUAGGCUGUCAGCCGUAAACAAGAAAGGCAAAGUUUGUGUAGGACUAAGUUUGCAAUCGUGUGUGGGCUGUUAAGAUAUGCUCGAUUAUUGAAGUCUUGCGUGUGGAGGGUUCUUCUAGACUCGGUUGCUUUUUAUAAAACUAACUUUGUAUUUUCCUCUAAGAUGAUAAGAUGAACUGACGCCUACAGAGCAUGACAUGACUCAUCAAAUGCCCUUUACAUGUAAAUGAUGGUAGUUGCUUACAAGCUACUCCCACUAGCAUAUAUCCGGUCCUAACUCUAGACACGUCAUCAUUAGUUCCAUCUUCUGAUUUUUUGAGAUAAAUCAUCAGUUCCAUCUGUAUGUGAAGGAAUUUUUUUUGGGUGAAGGGAAAUGAUAGGUGGGGCUGGAACAGAGGCCCACAGCCUCGAGCGAGUUAUUAGGCCCAAUAUAAGAGUUGUGUGUUAGGCCACCAAAUUAGAAUUGGGCUAUAGUUUUCGGAGGCCUCAACGUCACAAGCCUAGCCCACACUCGGCCGAUCUGCAUCGUCUUCAUCUCCCCCUCCCCGUCCUCCUCGCCGGCCGGACCACUCGCCGGCGCAGCCUCUCCCGCACCCCGCCGCCCGCGGCUGCUCCACGUACGUGCGCGGCGGCGGAGGCGUCAGCAGCCUCCCUUCCAUGCUCAGCAUCUGAAGAAAGUCCGUCUUCGGUGCCGCGAUAUCCAAGUUAGUUAUAGCAUCCAGUCAUCUGUAUAAUCUCAGUAUUUAUUCUGUUUUGUACUGUCGUAUUUCAUAUGUUCGUCAGAGGAGAUGUGCUUUCUAGAGGCAUGUUGCAGCUGGCCGAGUCCGAGAUCUCAUUUCAUUUAUAUGGCCAUAGGCAGCGAUCAAUAAAAGGGCACUGGAAUUUAUCUUCCAACGCCACUGUUGUUCUAGCUCUCUGUCUUUACUUUUGCUGCUUCUGUUGUAUGGCUACAAAGUUAGGCUUCAUCUGAUUUUAGUUAGUUAAUCUGAUCUUGUUAACCUGAUAAAGAGAAUUCCACCCUGCCCUUUAUUCUGCUUCUGCUUUUCACUGUCUCACAAUAACGCAACAUAUUAAGCUCACCAAAUUGUAUCCCUCAAAAAUAAAAAUGCUCGCCAAUUUGUAUCACAUUCUCAUACAUGUAUUUCAUCGCGGAAUCACAGGAGAUUGUCAAGUUGUGUUUUACCAUAUCAGUGUAUCAUUUGCUCAUAUGAGCAAGAGAUGGUCACCUGCCAGCUUAUUUUGUUCAUAUCUGAGAUCGAUCAUGCCUCCAUUGUAUGGUUAAGAAGUUAGGUUUCAUCCGAUUUUAGUUUGUUAAGCUGAUCUCGUUAAACUAAUAAUAAGAACUCCAUACAGUCGUUUAUUCUGAUCUUCAUUGCCUCACAAUAAUAAGAGAACCUAUUAAGCUCGUCGAAAUUGUAUCUCAUACUCAUACACAUAUCUUUGAUCAUCGAAUAACAUAAAUUAUCAUAUCAGUGCAAAAGUAUAUAUCAUUUGUCCAUAAUCCAUAUGCACAAGAGAUAAUUAUCUGCCAGGCAAUUAUUCUUAUCUUUGAGAUCCGAUCCUGUACUCAAUGCUAAUUAGAGGUGUCAUUAAGACAAGAAAAUAACCACUAGCCCCCGGGUCUUCUCUCGUUAGCAGAAAGCAUGUGAUGCAUUCAAGUUUCAGUGAAUUCACGAAAACCAAUAUUGUGGUCUGCUCUCACCCUUGAGUUGAGGUAAUUGUUUAAUUUGCAUUCUUGCGACUUCUUGUAUUUGGAAAGAAAAUUCAUACUAUUUUCCGACUUGCCAAUGCAUCGUCACUUCUGAAAACCAAUAUUGUGGUCCUCCUUGUAAAUGCAUAUAAGGUACUUGAGAUGGAUUGCAUUCUGUAAGUGCACUGUAUGUGUGCUGUCACCCAACAAUGGAGGUAAUUGUUAAGUUUGCAUUCCUGCAACUUCUUGUAUAUAUCUGGAAAGAAACUUCUUACUAUUUGCUGAGUUCACAUCCAAUGUAUCUUUGCUUUUUUUUCUUUUUCUUUUUGCAACACAAUGUAUCUUCACUUUUGAAAAACUGCAUUGGAUGUACCGACAUAAAUAUAUAAUAUAAUGAUGAUCUAAUGGCAAAUUAUAUGGCCAUAGGCAGUGAUGAUCAAUAAGAGGGCACAUGAAUUUAUCUUCUAACGUAUGCAUCACUAUUUGUUUAGCUCUCUGUCUUUAUUUUUCCGCCGGCAUUGUAUAGUUAAAAGUUAGGUUUCAUCUGGUUUAGUUAGUUAGGGGGAUCUUGUUGUGCUCUCUAUCUUUAUUUUUGUGGCCUCCGUUGUAUGGUUAAAAAGUUAGGUUUCAUCUGGUUUUAGUUAGUUAUAAGCGAAUCUCUUUAAGCUCUCUAUCUUUAUUUUUGCUGCCCCCGUUAUAUGGUUAAAAAGUUAGGUUUCAUCUGAUUUUAGUAAGUUAAGCAGAUCUCGUUAAGCUCUCUAUCUUUAUUUUUGCUGCCUCAUUGUAUGGUUAAAAAGUUGGGUUUCAUCUGAUUUUAGUUGGUUAUAAGCGGAUCUCGUUAAGGUGGUAAGAAGAACUCCAUAUUGUCCCGCCUCACAAUAACAGAACCUAUUAACCUCGUCAAAAUUGUAUCUCAUACUCAUACAUAUCAUUCAUUUUCGAAUAACAUGAAUUAUCAUAUCAGUACAUAUAUCAUCUGUCCAUAUGCACAAGAGAUAAUCAUCUGCCAGCUGAUUAUUCUUAUCGUUGAGAGCCGAUCCUGUCCCUUCAAUGUUAAUUAGAGGUGUCAUUAUAAAAGACAAGAAAAUAACCACUUGCCCCUGGGUCUUCUCUCGUCAGCAGAAACUUGCCCCCGGUGCUAGGGUUGAGGGACCCCUGGCGUCGCCCAGGGGGAGGCGGCGCGAGGGGAGGUGAGCUAGUUGCUCGUGCGCGGCCGCUGAUUUGCUGCAGGUUUUGUGAUAUUUGGACGUUCGAUGUACAUUGAGAUAUUGGAUUAACUUUGUUAUGCCUAUGAGAUUUGUACAUUGAGAUAUUGGAGGAACUACCACACAUUUGCAAAGCAGCCAUGGCUACUAGGAUCAUGGUUUUGCUUCUUCUCAUGCUCCUCUCAUUCUCAGAGUCCACCACCCCUUACCAGGUGUUAGAUUUCAACACGGCAACCCAGAGUACCGAGGAGCUUCACCAAGCUAUGGAGCGGGCGUUUUGGCUCCUCUCCUUCCGGCGGUUCAUCAGGCGAAGUGCAUAGGAAGGCCAAAUUUGUUGUUGCUGCAUGCUUCUGUGCUGAAGUGGACACGAAGCUAUGGAGCGGAAGCUGAUGUGCUGAAGCAUUCUCUCGUCGUCUUGUUGACUGCACUGGCAGACGGCCUGCAAGCUCGCUGCAUCCCGGACGCGAAGGCCCAAGAUGUUGCUGUUGUGCUCUUCCACGACGCGGGCGAGGAGGAGGUACCCCGGCAUCAUCCACCGCAGGCUCCCGUACUGCAUGAUGGAGCAAUUGGGCACUGACAUCUCUAUUUGUCGAGGCAUAUAGUGCAAUCUUAUAUUACCCUAAAGCUUCCAUGUAUCUGCCGUUCGUCGGAGGGAGGAUUCAUGGCAUAUGUUAUCGUCCUGGUUAAUGUGGUCAUCUGUUAUCCAACCUUAAUCCUUACUAGAACCGAGAAUUACAUAGGUAAUGUGGGGCAUUGGUGGCCAUUACAUAUGUAAUAGCUUAAAUCGAUUGAGAGAGAAGUUUACUUGCGUUUAUACUUAUAGUAGUUCAUAUGAACAAUCCAUAAUACUUACUAAAAAGUACGAGGGUAACGCAAGAAUGAGAUCAGAUCUCAACAGGGAAAUGAAAUUAGCUCCUAAUCAGCCAAAUAGUGGAUGUCAACCAAUUUUUUUACUAACACGCAACUAAUGACAUACUCUACUGUAUAUCCAAAUAUGCCAUAUCAGACAUCGGAAAAAUGAUUUUAUUAUAUCUAUAAAAAUAAUGAAUAAUAGUUUCUUUUUGCGAAAAUGAUCUAACCAAUUAUAAAAGUACAUUGGAACUAUAAAGUAUCUCCAACACAAUAAAAAUUAAAUCGAGAUUCCGAAACCACUGAAUGACCAAAACUACCGCCAAAUUGAGCACACGCUGCUAUCGCCACUCACCUACCGGAGCAGACUUGACAUUGUCGAUGAAAGCUGGGAUGUCUUCAUGCACGUGCUGCUAAGGACCAGCGCACUGGAGCCGCAGUCGUUGCCAUGAAACCCUUGAAUAAAUCUGAGCUUGGUAGGAAAAUUAGUGACCCACUGAAAACGACAGCUCCAUUUUACUCGGCAUAGGUGAAGGCACAACAAACCGCAUCAACAGGUACAAAACAAAGGAUGUCCAUGGGGUGCCAUCCGGACCGCGCCACCGGCUCAUAGCUACAUCAAUGCCCCUGUCAAUGUGCCGAAACCAGCGGAGGCACGGAUCCUCCGAUGAGGAGAUGGUCAGGGCGAUGUGGCUGGGAUCUAGCCGGGGACGUGGGGCUAGGAGGCGGCUCACGGGGCAUCGUGUACUUUUGAGCCCUCAUCACAUGGCUCAGUUAGGCCAGUGAAAUCUCCUGAAUAGCGAGGGCUACCCUGCCUCCCCUUUGUGUACUUCAUCUCCUGUUCCGUGUCCCAAAGGGCCGACUAUACACUACUAGGGAAAAGCCUAGUAGUAGCGAGGGUUAAAUAGCUAGUAGUAGCACGGGCGCUCGCGCUACUACUACGGCGCUAUAGCUAACUUAUAGUAGUAGCGUGGAUGUGCCCGUGCUACUACUACGUCUGUUAGUAGUAGCGUGGGUACCACCCACACUACUACUAUUAAUUUCAAAAACAAAAAGAAUCUCGAUGUCGUGCGUGCUGUCAAUUAAUGGCAGCAAUGGUUCGAUCCAGCGACGACAGGGGUCGGCGGAGCUGCAGAAGGGCAGUGGUAGAACAGAUCCGGCACCGACUGCUGUAGAGGGCCCGGAUCCAUGGCCGAGCAAGGCAGCGGCAUGGGGCUCCUCUUUGCAACCAAGGCAGCAAGCUCCUGGUGGUCCAUGGUGAUGACCUGCACGGGCAAGGACAUGGGAUGGUGAGUCAAACCAGAGCGAGAGAGAAAAAGAAAAACGAGGGAGACAGGAAGGAGAUGGAGGUACCAGCAGGGUUGGUCGCCGUUGGUGAGGUGCUCCGGCGUGGUGGCAUGGAGAUGCGGGGAAUACCUGCGAGCUCCGGGAAGCCGGUGGCACGAGGUGGCCAGCCUCUUUUGACGCCAUGGAGGAGGAGGCGCGCAUGCAUAGGAGGUCCAUGUGAGAGCCUAUGGAGAGACGGGGGGAGAGGAAGGAUUUGGGGAGGAGAUGGGGAUUUCAGAGCUCUUCAAAAACCAUGUAGUUAGUAGCAGCGUGGGUUUAUAGCCCUCGCUACUACUAUCAACUUAGUAGUAGUGCGUGUCUAUACCCCUCGCUACUACUAUGGCAUGUCCCGGGAGGGGUAAAAACCUGCGCUAGGGUAAAAACCCGCGCUACUAGUAAGUAGUAGUAGUGAGGGGUAUAAACCCGCGCUAGUAGUAAGCGUUUGCCUAGCCUUUCCCUAGUAGUGAUACUGCGGUUUUGGCAAGAUUUCAAUCAGCCCUAAUGUGGUGUUUCCCAUCCAAUUUAGGUGUUAUUGAGUUUUAUGUGUUUUUAAAAAGAACUAGCCCUAUCCAGGUUCGUGGGUUGAUGACUGGUUAUUUUAAUUUGACUUCCCUUCAACCAAACACGACAUUUCUCUGCUUUUUUGGCAGGAGAUCAGAAACUAAACAUGAUUCUCUCCCAGCAAAAGAAGAAAAAACUAAACAUGAUCUAGAUUAUGUACAAUUACAAUAUCUUAUGUCGAUACACCUAUUUAGCAUUUGUGUGUCUAUUGUAAGAACUGAAUGGGUCAUUAAUAUAUUGAAUUGGGUCUACUCUUCGUCAUGCAGUUUUCGUUGCCCAACUACAAAGCAAUUCAUGCUAAUUUUUCUAUUAAACCAUAUGGUCACUUGUAUGCAAGUAGCCCUACUAUUUCACACAAUUUUGUUGUCUACUCACAUGAUAAACAAAUGAUAACGGCUCCUGAAUGCAUGCUUAACAGUUCACGCCUAUUACGUGCUUACCUGAAUGGAAAACGAUCUUAACAAAGACUGCAGUAUAUAUAAGUCAGGCCUAUAUAUAUGUACUCAAUCACCUGAACUGCCUUAGCUAGGAUGCAAAAGUGAGUGUUAUAUGAGAGGUUUCGAAUUUAUUUUAUGCUCUAUUCCGUUUCUAUCAAUCUGCUUGAAAUAUUGGAGGAAAACAAAAAAAAAACCUAUUUAGCUGCCAUAAUCGCGUGCUGGACCAUGAACAACACGUUUAUGACCCGCCUGCGUGGUUAUCAAAAUAUCUAUUAGUUUGCGUCCUUCCUUGCGGAGACAUUUAUGUUUGGAGAGGAGCAACCAUUUGAAUAUCAGUCUAACAGCUUGCGGUGGAAGCCUCGUUCAGGUUGUCCAACUGUUUCUCAUUAUAUCCCCGAUACGAUUGAUUCUUGGGCCCUCGCAAACCAUUACUGUGAGGUCACGCUUGGCAUUCCUUUCUUUUUCUCUAUUAGCCUCGAUGCGCGGCAUGCGCGAGUACUCCACAAGGACCUUUGCUGCUUCCAAUGCCACUUCCUCCGCGAGUACUCCCUAUUGAUUCUUGGGCUCCGCAAGUACUCUGCAAAGACCCCGAUCGUGUGGCACGAAGCAAAUGUGCCCACACGUCCUGGCCCAGCUACGUUAGUUACCCGCGGGAUGACUCUUUAGUUACCUCGGGGGAUGGCAACUUUAGUUAUCCGGGAUGGCAAAUAUAGUUGUAAAAGCAUGUCAACUCUCUCUGUUUUGGUUAACUAUAGUUGCCAUGUCUAAUUUAUGGUAGUUGCCGCGUGUAAUCAAACCAUAGUUGCCGUGUGUGAUAAACUACUUGCCACAUGUGGUCAAACAAUAGUUUCCAUGUGUGUUUACAUAAUUGCCACAUGUGGUCCAACCAUAGUUGACAUGUAUGGCUAAUCAUAGGUGCCAUGUGUGUUUACAUGGUUGCCACGUACGCACAACUGCAGUUGCCAUCUACAAACGAAUCAUAGUUGCCAUGUGUGUUUACCUAGUUGCCACAUACGUGCAAUUGUAGUUAUCAUCUAUCACUGUACGAGCGUCGUGUGGGUGAAGAGCAGUUCACCCACACACGAGUGGACUGGGUGGUGACUGUGUGCACGGGAACUAGUUCGCCCACACGACGCAGCUGGCAACCGCGCGCUGUGGGUCGUGUGGGCGAGCGCUCUAACGCCCACACAACACGCUAGGCCUACUGGCACUGAAAUUCCAAUAGAUUCCUUUAAGAUUCAUGCAAAACAUAACAGAGGGAGACCAACGCGUGUGGGCGAAGUGCAGACCUGCCACACGUGUGGGCGUUAUCAUUUUUCUUGUUGUUUUGAAUCGGAUAUCUAUGCAACUGUAAAUUUGACCCAAAUUAUAUGGACUGCUGCAAUCUGUCGUGGACUUGUGGUUCACCCCUGUUUGGCGACUCUUAUGGUGCACUCUGGUUAGUUUCUUGGUCAUCGCUUUGUAUUUGUUGCCCAGAUGAAAUUUGAGUUUUCAACCCACUCCAGUUUACAAUUGUAAUUAUGUGUAAUAAGUAUUUGUUUUCUUAUUUAUUUUCAUGGUAAACUCGAUUGGUCUCAUUUUCACCGUCUUAGAAGAGAUAAGUUUUAGGUGCCACAAAAAAAUAUACUCAGAUCCUUCCAUUUUUGCAUUUACUCGGUGUUGACACUCAAAAGUGGCAUAAACAUAAAUGUGGCUCAAAAGAGUGCUUAGCGUGUUGAAAGUUGCUGCUCGGGGUACUGAUCGGCCGGUUACACACCCAAGACCACCAGAGAAGGAGAAGUGUUCUCCAUGAAAAAUCUUCAUCUCGUCAAGGCAAAUGAUUUUGAUAUUUGAAUCACCUCAAUCCAAUGUCGUGUUCAAAUUUACAGCCAAAGCAGUGCAUCCCUGCCACUAAUAAAAAGUUUCAGCCGGCACCAAACACCCAUAUAGCAAUGUCGACAGAUUUGGAAGCCUGACUGUCCAGCAAAAGUACACUAUCUCUAGUAGAGGAGUGGAUGUUGAUACAAGGCAUGUCGUCUGUUUCAGUUGGUCGUCCGGUUUGCACGGCUUAAGAUGGUUAAGCAGCAGCAACAGCAGCAGGUGAGGCUUUCAUGUUGGAGGAGGUGCACAUGUUGAAAAUGUGAUGGUCCUAUGAGAAACGGGUGACGACAGACAUUGGCAGUGCUCCUGGUGCUGAAAAUUGUAUGUCUGCCUGUGGAGGAAUUUCAGUUUCAGAUUCGGUGGUUUGAAACAGAUUUUGAUUGCUUCGAAUAAUGUACUAGGUUUUCAUCUUCAGAUUGUAAUCAAUCAGCUUGGUUGAACUUUGACCUCUAUCUUGUUUAGAUACUUGUAAUGUGAAUUUAUUAUCAGCUUCAACAUUUCCAAGGUUUUGGAGAAGCUAGGAUACUCAAGUUUGUGAGCAUUUAUGUCUAAUUUUAGUUUUGUUACUUAGUUGAGACAUUGUCCCGUGCAGAUGCUUGUUAGACCGUAAAAUUGACUUCCUGGAGUAAUAUUGACAGCUGAGAUGGGAGCCGCUGGUCUCAGACUCCUUGUUGGGGAGCAAGUUGCAAAAGUAGAUAACAGAGUAAUAAAAAGAGCUUACUGAUCACUAACAUGUGCUCUGCUUGUACCAUUGUUAUGUUUAGGAGAUGGAGGCCACGGAAGGAAAGCUUGUUUUUGGCGUGACAGGUAGAGAGGUUUGGCUGGUGAGGUGACGAAGAAACUGAAGAUUUAGAACAAUUAGUAGCUAUGUAUGUGGCGAUGUUAGGAUUUGGUGCGAUGUCAGUUUGGUAUUAGGUCCGGAUAUUCGGCACACCUUUUUCAAGGGGAUAGGAGUAGCAACAUGUGUUGUCUAGAUGGUGGAUUCAGGCUGACUGACGUAUUACUUUGUAUGUUCUUUGAGAAUAAUUAAUAAUAUGGCUGCAUGCAUCCUCCAGAUGCAGAGGCUGGGGUUUAUCCUCCUUAAAAAAAAUGUAUGUGGUCGUCUGGGAAUUUUUUGCUGUUCUAUUAUGGAUUUGAUUUCAAUAGAGAUAUCUUUCAUGAGCUCGUUUAGCAAGGAAUCGUGUUUUGUUUCAGUCUGUAAGCGCUCCAUAUAUACUUCUUGCAAAACCAUGCUUCCCUGCAGGUACAGGGUCCACAUGGCGACCCUAUGAUGGACCUGUCCUCAAGUACGUACGGUGAGUAACGAAUCAAAACUCUCAACACAUUUAGUACUUUGCUGAUCUCAUGUUAUUAUGCAUCUGACUCGAGAGGCUAUUUAUUGUCAGAGGCCUUGACGAACAAUGUGAAUGAUAGUAUGAUACCCAUGGAUGGAUCUCAGGAACUUGGCGGCAGAUUUGGAAGCUCGACUGUUCAGGCAGACUGUUUCAGGUGGUCGUUUGGUUUGCACAGUGUAAGAUGGUUAAGUAGCAGCAGCAGGUGUGGCUUUCAUGUUGAACGCGAUGGCCCUAUGAGAAACGGGCGAAGGCAGACAUUUACAGUGCUCUCGUUCUAAAAACUGUAUGUUUGUCUAUGGAGGAAUUUCAGUUUCAGAUUCAACUGCACCGAACAGAAUUGUCCUUCAUCUAUACUCAGAUAUGUGAGCUAUCUUUAAUGUAUCUAGUAUUGGUAUUGUUAUUUGGUUGAGAAGAAAUCGGCCUUUAACUUGUUCAAGAAACUUUUUCAACUGUAAUUUUUAUCUGUUUCAGUGCAGAUAGUAGGCCUAUAAUGCUGGGUUACUGUGGAGUUGUUGGCGGGGUAUAUUCAUCCAUUUUGCAAUAUGAACUAGGUUUGGACUUGUUGAGAAGCUUUCCAGCAUUCUCUAGAUUGGAGCCUGCUGAAGAAUGUGAGUCUGCUAGCUAGGGGAAUAAUUGCUUCUAAAACUGUACUGAACCUGCAGUUGCUCUAGAUCGAGAAUUGUUAGGGCCUGCGGCGUAGGGUGAGAACCCGGCGUCGAGUCGAGUCGAGCAUAGCUGCUGAGUCACAUCAUUUAGAUUUGGUUGGCUGCUGGUCAUUUGGGUGGGUGUCUACAACAACAGGCAGGGGUCGGCAGUUCAGUGUCAUGGCCGCUUAUGCCCAGUAGUGCUCUCUAGAUAUCCGAUUAACUUCCACCAUAUUUCCUCUCAAGAUCAUUUUUUUCUUCCCAACCUACUGAUAAUAUGUUCAAAUUUCAGUAGCCACGGGGCGGUUGGGUUUGGAAUGUACUCUAAAAAUAUAGAGUUGCGCUCUUGUAUUACAAAUGUAGAAAACGAAUGGAGUACAAAGUUGAAACACUUAUCUUGAAAAGGACUCAGUACAUAUUUACGUAGCCAGAGAUCGAUUUUUGAGAAACCCAUUUCUUGGUGAUGUUUUCUGCGCAAUUUUUUUUUCAGAUUUGUGCUUUUUUUUUACUUUCUCAUAGUUUUUGUUUGCAAUUUUUUAUUAUGGCGUUUCUGCAAGUUCUAUCGACAGGAUGGUGGGUAAGAGCAAGGGGGAAAAGGCUGCAGCAACCGCAAAAGAAGACGAUGUUAUAUCCAGGAAGCGCCGACAAACUGUUCCCAAGAAAUUCGAAUCCCCCUUUGCAUUUGACAAGCCCAGCAAGCGAACGCACGUGGUACUAAGCCAUCCGGCAACACUACCGCAACUAGAGGUACCGUUACUAGCUAACUUAGUGCUUAAUUUACUACCAUUUUAUGUACUCACCGUUCUUGACGUUCGUAAUUUAUCAUGCAGCUCUGUUUAGUGACCAUGACGUGGAAGGCUCUGUUAAGGACGAUUUGACACCGGAACUCAUCGAUGCUGCUGUUACAUUUGUGGAGGCAGCUGCUUGGUCUGAGAAGAAUAUGACAAAAAGAGUUUACUACAAUGAACGUGGCACCUCUGUGAUUGUGGAGAGUAUACGACCGGUACUUGACCAUACAUGGCCAGCGGAUGACGUAAGAUCUAUUACCAUGUUCUGCUAUUUAAGUGCAUAAUCUAGGUGUCACGUAUGAACAUAAAAUGUUCUAUUAUUUUACGCAGAUUAUCGAUGCUUACCAGACACAUUUGGCUCUACGCAUUGGUCAUGAUCGGCACCUCUGUCCAGCCUGGAGGUCCAAAUACCUUGUUGAUCGUGCUAAGGCAGGAGACAAUCCUAAACCGUCGAAAAAGAACAUGGAUAGUGCGCUGAGCAGAGCUGGAGCAGUACGUAGGGUUCUGGACGAGUAUACCGUCCGUGAUAAGGUACAAUAUGUUAUUACUAGUUCAUUAACACUCAUUUUAACAAGCAUAAUUGCAUCUGAUUACAAGUGUGUUCCACAUUUUAGCCGUUUAUCCCGUUGAACGUCGGCAAUACACACUAGAUCACCGUGGUGAUGCACAACCGCAAGAAAGAAUUCCGAGUUUUUGAUUCGCUCUAUCCUGUCGAGUUCUCUCUCGACACUGUGAAAGCACUGGUACUCUCCCCAACAUUGAGCAUUCUUCAUAUGAAAUGUCAUAUGGUUUCUCACUACUACUUUCUUUGAAAUAGCGACUAGCAAUAGCAAUUGAUAUUUUUUCGUCAAGCCUAUAUAUAUGAAGAAUGUCAGAGUUAGUCCACGGAUCUUCUUGGAGUGAGGCAAUCGUGCCCAUUGCUGUAUCAGAGUUGUCAUCCUCACCCAUGAAUCAGUUUUGUCCAUGCCUAGAAUAUCUAUGGUUAUUUAGAUGUGGAAAUUUACCAGCGGUUCUAAAUCUUCCUCCCUCCUUAGAGACCAUACAUAUUUGUUGUUGUAGUAGUAUUCAAGUCCUAUCAUGUCAGUUGGAUGGGCUCCAGAAACCACAAGUCACUGUUUCCAUAAAUUCUCCAGAGCCAUCAGCAGUAGCAGCAGCAGGAGAGCAUUCACUUCCUCCUCAUCUUGAAUAUCUGAAUAUAUGGUCCUGUGAUAGCAUGUUGGGGGGGAUCCUCCGCCUGCCCACAUCCCUCGAGACGCUGGAUAUUAUGGGCAAUAGUCGGUUGACGCCGCUGGAGUCAAUGUCAGCAGAGCACCCCCCAUCGUUGGAAACCCUUUCUCUUUUUGACUGCACUACCCUGGCAUCCCUGCCAAAUGAACCACAAACAUAUGGGUCUCUCAAAAAUCUUACAAUAUUUGGCUGUCCAGCUAUAAAGAUCCUCCCUAGAUGCCUGCAGCAACGACUGGACAGCCUUGACUACAAAUGGCUAGAUGCCCGUUAUGAAGGUAUGAUGCACAUUUCUCUAUCUAUGCCACAUAUGACCAACCAAAGUAGUCAUCCAUCCCAUCGCAGUCAACAUAUUUGUUUAAAGUUUUUUCUCCAUUGUUUUAAUGUCACGAGGUAGAAAUUUGCAUGUUACAUUACUUUGUACAUGCUUGUUCCCUGACCUCAUUUGUGAUAUCAAUGUGCAGUAAUGGCGUUUAAACCGAAUACAUGGAAGGAGAUACCAAGACUAUCCCGUGAGCAGAGGGAGGCCGCUCGAGAAGCCAGGCAACGCCAGCGAAUAGCAAGAUUAUUCCGUGUGUAGGGCAUGUAUUUUGUUUGUUGGCUUCAAAUAGUGUACCAGGUGAUUGUUAUGUGCUUGGUUGGACUUUGACCUGUAUCUUCUUCUUCAGAUAUGCUCCUAAUUGUAAUGUGAAUUAGUUCAUCUCCUUAAAACAUUUCCCGGGUUUAUGCCUCCCUGAUGGUUGCUCUGCUCUGCUAGCUAGGGGAAUACUGACUUGUAAUUGCUUAUAAAACUGAACUGUACAGCAGUCGCUCUCGAUGGAGAAUUGUUGGGGCCUGUGAUGCUUGGCAUUGAGGCGAGGGUCGCUGGAUUUGGUUCGCUGCUGCUCCUUUGGGUGGGUGGGUGCAACAGGCAGGGGUCAGCAGUCUACUGUCAUGUUCGCUGUAGCUCACUAAUGCUCUAGAUAUCUGAAUAACUUGCAUCAGAGUUCCUCUGAAGAUGAAAUUUUUUCCCUCAACCUGCUGAUUUGUGCCUCACACUUGUGAGCUAGCUAUGUACGUAGAUCUAGUUCUAGCGUCGUCACCUUGUUGACAGGGCCGCCCGAGGCGGCCGGAAUACCACCGCCGUUGCCUCGAUCUUUGCCGGAUGGAAGCACAGGGGAGUUGCAUCUGGCGCAUCCGCGAUCUCCCGGCAUCCUAGCGGCGCGGGGCCAUUGGGAAGAAAGGGAGGAUCGACGAGAUCGGACGGCGCGCGGAGCGAUCAGCCGCACGGCGUGACCAGUCUAGGAGAGGGAAGAUGGGCACAAUGGGCAGGCGAUCUUGUCCGACGAGACGGAUCCGGGCGUUUGGAUCGACGGACGGCUUCGAUUCACACCGCACUCGCGGUGGCUGGUUCUUCUCGAUCUGGAGAACGAUAUCCUCGCCGGCGACUAUCUACCGGAAGGUGACACGAUUAAGGUAGGUUUGAAUUUCAAACUUGAUGCUUUUGACGUCAUUGUUGGCGAGCGUGUGCAGCUGGAUUUGUGAACGAAGACACCAGCGAUGAUUGAUCUGACGGAACCGGCGGUACAUGCACGACCGGGUGGACGUUUUUGGGCACUCUUGAAGAGUGACGACGAAGAUCAGGUGGACAGCCACGUCCCCACCGCCUCCACGGUCACCGGUCAGGGUGGACACGGUCCGGGCCGGUCCGGUCCCGGUCCGAGCUGACGUUUGGACCGGCCGCCGGCGGUCCGGGCCAGACCGGACCGAGCAGCAUCACGGUCCUGAUUUCAGGGACCGGACCGGCGAUGAAGAAGCCCGGGCCGGACCGAGCGGACCGGACAACGAUCAUCGGCGGCGACUUGCACGGGUGCAGCGGCGAGGUGUAGGACGUGCGCGGGUGCCGUGGCAAGGAAGGUGACAUGCGCGAGCGCCGGUGUCGAGGUGGGUGACGUGUCGUGGGAAGUGCGUGGGCGCCGCGGUUCUUUGCCAUGAACGUGCACAUGUCUGUUUAUUAGGGCAUAUACAAUGGUUGAUAAGAUAGUCUUAUCUUAAGUCUUGCAUGUAAUUUAGAGAUGACAAAAAAAUAUGUCUACAAUGGGUUAUAUCUUAGUCUUAUCUUCAAUAACUAGCAAUUCCUUAAAAUAUGGUGAGACAAAUUGUGCUAAGAGAUCAUCACUUGUCUUAUCUUAAAUAAGAGAAGACAAGCCUUUUCUUACGAGAUCUCUCUCCUCCACCUCACCAUUUAUCCUAUGUGGCACUCUUAAGAUAGCACCAUUGUACAUGCCCUUAGCAGUUUUUCUGUUGCAUGCAAGUAAUCUAUCGUGUGCAUGAGCCCACGAUUUCUCGUGUGCGGGCCUUUCGUGAUUAGCGGAUCAAAUCGGACGUGCAGUUAGGGCAUGUAUAAUGGUCGAUAAGAUAGUCUUAUCUUAUGUUUUGCAUGUAAUUUAGAGAUGACAAAGAAAAAUGUUUACAAUGGGUCAUCUCUUAGCCUUAUCUUCAAUAACUAGCAAUGCCUAAAAAUGUGAUGAGACAUAUUGUGCUAAAAGAUCAUCUCUUGUCUUAUCUUAGAUAAGAGAAGACAAGCCUUCUCUUAUGAGUUCUCUCUUCUUCACCUCAUCAUUUAUCCUACGUGGCACUCUUAAAAUAGCACCAUUGUACAUGCCCUUAAUCGUCAAAUGGUGACGUGAUUUUUGGAUCAAACCCUGUUUCUCUAGUACUUUCAGUUUUCUGUUUUGACUGAAGAAAAGGAAACAGCGCCAGGGGAUCGUGCGUGACGUGAUUAUAGGAAGCUGACGGUAUAAAAUCUAGCACUUCCAAAACAAGACUUGCCUGAUUUGUUGGACGAGAAAAUCACAGCCCAGCGUUUCUCCCACGAUCUGAAAAUCACGGCCAAGCGUUGCGUACGUGCGUGCGUGCUGUGCUGAAACUGUUGCCAUGAUCGAGAACUCGCGAACGGCGGCAGUGCACGCACAACAGCGACGGCGAGCGGCAGAAAGAGGCUAUGGGGCACGGGGAGGAGACGAAGGAAGGACAGGGAAAGCUCGGGGACACGGUGGUUCACCUAGGGGCUGCCGGUGGCCGCGACGACGAGGAAGGGCAGCAACGAUGACUGUGUUUCUCGGUCCGCUCGGUCGGCUUGGUUAAAGACCGGACCGGACCGACAUUUUCUCGGGCCUGAUUUGGCAGACCGGACCGUCUAAUUUAUCUAGCGGGCCAGGACCGAGCAGGCCAAGACCGAGCGGGCCACGAGCAGGCCGAAAAGCCCGCUCGUUACGUCCACCCUGAGUCACCGGAGUGCCUAUUGCCUCACCGGAGGUUCGUCCAUUGCCGGCAACCAAGCGUACAAGCGAUCGGCGUCGUUCAAAAAUUUCAAAUUCCAAAUCAGUUAUGAAGCCGUGGAUCGGCCCGAUUCCUAAGGUGAUGAGAGAACCUGUAACUUUGUCUGAUUUUCUGCCGGAUAAUUGGACUCUUAUCACGAGGAAGAAGAACAAAGGCAAUUAUUGCCGGCCACCGCCGCUGCCAAGAUCGCCGGUGGUGAGAUCCGCGAACACUGUUCGAGCGGCCAGAUGGGCUCGUUUGAAUGCGGUAUUGGGUUGUGGGCCUGAACUGGAUAUGGUUUUGGGUGUGGCGACGGUCCUGGGUUCUCAUGGUGCGGGCGAGGCCCAACCAGAGGCCCAAGCCUCGCGCAGCCCAGUGCAGAUGUGCGUGCAUGAAUCACCGCCAACAGUCUAUCCCACGAUUGUAUCUAGGGCUUCGAGUCCGGGAUUUCCUUCGUUGGGCACGGGAUGGGCGAGGAGGAUCUCACCUGCCGCCGGCAUGGCUGGUCGCGGUCAGCCGCCACCCAAGCGAGGGCCACCUGCCGCUGUCGCCCCGGUUACUGGCGGAGUUGGUCAUGGCGCUCUGCCGACCAACGCGGCGGGCGCGGCCGCCCGUGCAGCACCGUCUGCGCCGCCGCUGGUGGCGUGGGCCACGGCGCCUUAGCUUCUGGCCAGGCCAACACGACUUCUGCGACGGGCGCGGUCGGACGUCCAGCCCAGGGCGGUGGUGGUGGACGGGGUGUUGCACUCCCUCCCAGGCCGACGGCAAUGGGACCGGUGGCAUCUGGGGUACAGCCUCGCGCCGGGACUGCUCGAGGUACCCAGCCGUCCGAGCGACAGGGGGCCAUUGCUUCCAAGACUAACAUGCACCAGCCGGAUGACAUGGCGCAGCCACCGACAGCCAAGGUGCUGGCCCUAGGAAGGGGUCGUGGCGGGCAAGGGCGUGACGGAUACACUGGUUAUAGCAGAGAUUCUCAGAACUACAACCGAUACAGUUAGUGGGGAGAUGACGUCUAUGAUGCUUAUGGUGAGGGGCUGCACCGUGGAUCUUCCUCCGGUGAUGGCCGUGGUUACAACCGGUACAAUCCUGAUAACACUGGACAUUUUCAAGGUCCACCUGGUAAUUUUGUGGAAGGUGUCGCCGGACCCAAGGAUCAAUUCCGAGGUGGCUAUCGUCGCGGUGGGAGAGGGAGACGACCUCCACCACCUCGUCAAUACCCACCGCCACCACCGCCGGCUACAGAGAUGCCUUCAGAGGAGGAGCUUGAGCAUGCAGCUGAGGGGGUGGGAGACACACCCACGUUACCCGCGGUGGCACUAGACACGGUUCGGGCUCUCGCAGCAGUGAAUGUUCCGGUGACUACAGGAGGUGUUAAGUCUAAGGAUGGUACGUCUGAUAAAGGGUCGGACAAAGCGGAGGGCGAAAAGCUCUCUAAAUGGGCAAUUAAAAAGAAAAAGCUGCCCUGUUAUAGGUGUGGUGAACCGGGUCAUUUUGUAGCAGAGCUUUGUGAUUACUGCCUCCAUUCCCAGCAUGUGACCAGGGAAUGCCCUCUCCUUUCCGGUCCUAAGCCUGGCAUUAAUAUAUUUGGGGUCUGCUGUAAGGAGUUGAUGUUCUUUGAGACCCCGGAGGUGGAUCCUCUACCACAGAUGAUUGAGAGUUCCUUCCCGGCAGUCAUCAGAGUUACUAAUGGACAGUUGACUGAGGCGCAGAUCGUCAGACAACUACGUGAGCUUGUGCCGGGUAAUUAUCAGUGGCACCUGGAGCAGUUAGAAGGUCAGUCUUAUAAGGUUGACUUUCCCACUAAAGAGGAUCAGAUGCAUGUUCUUAAGUGGGGUUUAUGCAGAGUUACGAGCACAAACAUUGUUAUCGCUUUCGACGAGUGGAAGCAGGAGGAUCCUGAGGGUACACCUUUGGAGAAGGUGUGGGUUCGUUUUUAUGGUGUGCCACCUAAAUAUGUAAAACAUUUUCUGAUUGCUUGGAGUUUGGGUGGUUUGAUUGGUAAGAUAGAAAAGGUGGAUAUGCCUUUCACUCGUGCACAAAACGCGGCGAGGCUUUUGGUCAGUGUUGUGAGCAUUGAGCACAUACCAGAUGUAGUCAGAUGGACACAUGCUGGAGUUACUUAUCUCUUAGAGCUCGAGAUUGAGGAUACUGCAGUUUCCGAGGCUGGAGAUGGGACACAAGACAUGGAUACUACUGAGGGGGCGGCGCACCCGGGGACCAGGAGAAGGGGCCCGAUGACACUAUGCCGGAGUCGGACAAGGGGCCUGCUACACAGUCUGAUAAGGUAGACAGUUCUAUCAAAGAGGCGCCCCCGUCCACCACUCCGAUGAACAUGCUUUGCUUUGGUUCUUUUGUAUCGAGGUCCGCUCCUAGCCGGUUAUGGAGCACCAGGGUCGAGACAGAUGACCCGAUAGAGCUUGAGCUUCCACCAGUGCCGAGUCGAGUCGGCAAUGUGUCGACCACGGAGCCUACUUCUGGUGCGACGGUGGGUUCUGUUGGGAUGGCCGCGGUUUUGGGAGACCUCAUGGGCAGGAGGUCCACCACACCCAGAUACCACUGCCUGACCUUUCGCCAGCGGGAGGGGCGCCUGGAAAGGAGAUCCACGGCGCGUUUCCCAAUUCCACGUCUCCGGUCGAGUUGGGGGUGAGAUGCGGGCAGAAGUCCCGUGUUGUAACCCCUCCGCAGGUUGGCACCGAGCAGGGCGGCCGAGGUACGACGACUUCCACGGCUGAUAAGGGGGACGAGAUCUGUGAGCAGGCGGCUCCAAGGUCCUUUGUCCCCUUGUCACCCACACCGGCAGUUCACUCCACCACGCCUCUUCCUCCUUCACCGACGAUACGGGAAGGGCGUGGGAGUCCUGACCGCACCCCGCGCGAGAGGACCACGGAGGACCUCAUCGCUUUUGGUGGGAUUACGGAUCCGGUGUCGGCUGGCAGGCGUGUCAGCAACCGGAUCCAGGGACAGCCGGAUGCGGAUGACUUUCAGCUAGUGCGGGCCAAGAGGGCUGCCAUGCUUCGUCAUGCCGAGACUACUGCAGGUACGUCAUUUGAUAUAAGUUGUUCAAUUUUACACUUCUCUGAGAAUGAGUUAGUUGAUAAGGCAAACGACUUAGGCAUUUCUUUGGGAUCAAAUGAUACCGAGGUCGUCAAAUCCGUCAAUGAUCUUUUAGACAUGGAAGCGGAGAGGGCUUCUGAGAUCAUUCGUAAUCUUGCCUCUAUCCAACCUAUGAAUGACAAUGACAUGAAUAGUUUAGGAAUUAAUGAUCUUGCAAAUAUCUGCAAUAAUCUUUUGCCUAGUGUCGAGACUGAAGAUGAGGAGGAAGUUGAGAACACAGAUAUAGUAGCGCCUCUCUUGACGGAGGAGGCAGUGUCUGUUAUCGAUAAUAAUAUCGUUCCACAGGGUGUUGGGGAGAAGCCCAAACGACCCUGGAAGCAGAAAAUCUAUCCUACUUCGGCGGUACGCAGAAGUGCUAGAGUUAAGCUUAAGAAAAAAUUCCAUGAUGACUUAUGAAAGGACUCUUUUGAAAUAGCAAAGGUCUAGCAGACUUGGCUAAACAAAGAUUCUUAGCAGAGACAACAUUAGAGCAUCAUUUAGAUUUCGUUGCACUUUUGGAAACUAGACGAGAUAAUUUCACAUCCCAAUUCCUUCAAACUCUCUCCAGUGGUAUCGAUUUUGAUUGGCACAUUUUACCACCUAGAGGAAGAUCCGGCGGGAUUUUACUAGGAGUACGGUGUGAGACGCUCGAGGUGCUUAAUGUGGUGCAGGAAGACUUUUCAGUUAAAUUCAGGGUGAGAUCGAAAUUGGAUGGGUUCCGAUGGUCGCUAGUUGCGGUUUAUGUGGCAGCGCAAGCUGAAUUUAAACCUGAUUUUCUUGCCGAUUUAGUGCGGAUUUGUGGAGAUGAAAAUCUGCCAGUAUUAGUCGGGGGGGAUUUUAACAUAAUCCGAAGAAGAGAAGAAAAGAAUAAUGACAAUUUCGAUGGACGGUGGUCUAUGAUGUUUAACAUGAUUAUCGAGAGCCUCAAUCUGAGAGAAAUUGAGCUCACCGGUAGACAGUUCACAUGGGCCAACUCGCCACCUGUUCCGACUUAUGAAAAGCUGGACAGGGUACUUGCUAGUGUGGAGAGGGAACAAAAAUAUCCGUUGGUGUCGGUUCAUGCGAUGCAAAGAGCAAUCUCGGAUCAUACACCACUCUUUUUAGAUCUGGGAGAGGCUACCCAUGUUGCAAACAAAAAUACCUUCUCCUUCGAGCAAAGCUAGUUUGAGCGAGAAGGAUUUAUGGACAUGAUUGCACGCGAAUGGGCUAAGCCGGUUAUGGGAAGGACACAUGUUGAGAGAUGGCAAAAUAAGAUUUGACACCUCCGACAAUUUCUGAGAGGAUGGGCCAGGAAUGAGAGCGGGAUUUAUAAGCAGAAAAAAGAACGUCUAACGCAACUCAUUGAGGCACUCGAUGUAAAGGCUGAAACCACUCUUCUUUCAGUCCAUGAACAUCGAACCAAGUCCGAGGCUGAGCAAGGCCUACGUGCUCUCCUAAGAGAGGAGGAACUCAAGUGGGCGUUGCGUGCGAAAACGCUUAAGGUUGUCCAAGGGGACGACAUGGUUGCAAAUGGUAAACAUAGGAAGAAGAAAAUCAUAUAGCUGGAACAGGAUGAGGGAACAAUAGUGGGGCAUGAGAAUUUAAAAUCGUAUAUCUCCAACUAUUAUAAAAGUCUGUUCGGACCUCCCAAUACUUCCACGGUGUCUCUUGAUGAGUCUGUGAUUGAUGAUAUACCUCAAUUACAGGCAGCGGAGAACGAUGUUCUCUCUGCACCGUUUACUGAAAAAGAAGUUCAUUUGGCCAUAACUCAAAUGAAGCCGAAUAAAGCAUCGGGACCAGAUGGGUUUCCAGCUGAAUUCUAUAAGAAAUGUUGGCACAUCAUUAAAGAUGAUCUUAUGCCUAUGUUUCAUGAUUUUUUCGAAGGCCAUUUGGAGUUGUUUCAUCUAAAUUUUGGUACGAUAACAUUAUUACCGAAGAAGAAGGAGGCGGUCCGGAUAGAACAAUUUCGACCCAUUUGCCUGCUGAAUGUGAGUUUCAAAAUCUUCACAAAGGUUGGAACCAAUAGAUUGACACAAAUUGCUCACUCAGUGGUUCAACCUAGUCAGACAGCUUUCAUGCCGGGACGACACAUACUCGAAGGAGUAGUUGUCUUACAUGAAACUCUUCAUGAGAUUCACUCGAAGAAACUAGAUGUGGUUAUCUUAAAAGUGGAUUUCGAAAAGGCUUAUGAUAAAGUAAAAUGGCCUUUCUUCAGCAGGCAAUGUGCAUGAAGGGUUUUAGUGAAACCUGGAGGCACCAGGUGGAUACUCAAGUCUAGAAAGGUAGUGUCAGAAUUAAGGUGAACGAUGACAUUGGUCACUAUUUCCAGAUGCAUAAGGGGCUGAGACAAGGGGAUUCCAUGUCACCCCUUCUGUUCAAUAUUGUGGCAGAUAUGUUGGCCGUAAUUAUUGGCAGGGCCAAGCAACAUGGUCAUGUAGAGGGUCUAGUUCCUCAUUUGGUUGAUGGAGGGGUGUCCAUUCUACAAUAUGCUGAUGACACUAUCAUUUUCAUGGAACAUGACAUGGCUAAGGCACGUAAUAUGAAACUUAUCUUAUGUCUAUUCGAACAAUUUUCUGGCUUAAAGAUCAAUUUCCAUAAGAGCGAGGUGUUCUGUUUUGGGAAGGCCAAAGACAAGGAACAUACUUACAGACAAUUGUUUGGAUGCGAAUUAGGUGCCUUACCAUUCAGUUACUUGGGUAUUCCGAUUCAUCACCGUAAAUUAUCUAAUAAAGAAUGGAAAGUUAUUGAAGAACGAAUUGAAAAAAAAACUCAGUUGCUGGAAGGGCAAGUUGAUGUCAUAUGGAGGCCGAUUAGUUCUGAUCAACUCAGUACUAACUAGCAUGCCAAUGUUUUUACUUUCGUUCUUCGAAAUUCCGAAAGCGACUUGAUUUUUUUAGAUCUCGAUUCUUUUGGCAGUCUGAUGAGGCCAAGCGGAAAUAUCGUCUCGCGCGUUGGGAUAUCCUUUGUCGACCUAAAGACCAAGGGGGUCUCGAUAUUGAGAACUUGAAAAUUAAGAAUAAAUGUCUUAUGAGAAAAUGGUUGUACAAGUUAGGGACAGAACCGGAGGGCAUGUGGUCUCAAAUCCUGCGCAAUAAGUAUUUGCACUCGAAAACGCUAGCCCGGACUACCAUUAGACCAACUGAUUCACCGUUCUGGAAGGGACUUAUGCGAACGAAGGAUCUGUUCUUUCGUAGGGUCAAAUUCUUGGUUGGCAACGGGAUGUCAACAAGAUUUUGGGAGGAUACAUGGUUAGAAGAGACACCUUUGGCCUUACAAUAUUCUACCCUUUACAAUAUUGUGCAACGUAAGAAAGAUUACGUAGGUAUCGUCCUUCAAACUAUUCCGUUGAAUAUCCAGUUCAGACGUACGUUAGUAGAUGCGAGAUGGACAGCCUGGAUGCACUUGGUCCGGAGAUUGAUUGAAGUUCGACUCUCCGACGUGCCGGAUUCUACACAAUGGAAGUUAACUAAAAAUGGGAUAUUUACGGUGAAAUCCUUUUAUACGGAUUUGAUUAAUUCUGCCCCCUCUCAAGGUCACUUCAUACAUGGAAGGUUAAGGUUCCUUUGCAGAUUAAAAUUUUCAUGUGGUUUGUCCACAAGCAAGUUAUACUCACAAAGGACAACUUACUUAAGAGGCGAUGGGUAGGCAACUCGCGGUGUUGUUUUUGUGCUAAGAUGAGACAAUACAACAUUUAUUCAUUGAAUGCCCAUUUGCCAAAUUACUUUGGAGAACGAUUUAUAUAGCUUUCAAUAUUAAUCCCCCAGUAGAUAUUGCGUCUUUGUUUGGGACGUGGUUGGCUGGGGUUGAACAAAUCACGGCAUCUCGUAUUCGGAUUGGAAUAUGUGCGUUACCAUGGGCUAUAUGGAACUGCAGAAAUGAUAUGAUUUUUAACAGACAACACAACUUAACCUUUUUGCAGGUUAUCUUCAGAGCUACAGCUUGGAUUCGUACGUGGCCCUUACUCACUCCUAUGGACUCCAGGGAGCCUUUGAUUACUGGGUGCAACCAAUGGGAGAUGGUGGCUCGGGCUAUAUUCAACCGGUUCGGAUGGCGUUCACAUAACAGGAUAGAGGGCUAGAGAGCUUGUCCUUAUUAUCACCGUAUCGGUUGUUUUUAGGCCCUUUCUUUUUUUUCAAAUCUUUGUGCUAUGACUUUGCUCCGUUUGCGAGCUGUAAGACCUUUAUGAUGAUACUUCCUGCAUUUUUAAUAAAAGGGCCGCAUGCAUCAUCAUGAAGCAGAGGCCGGGGGUAUACCUCCAUUUCAAAAAAAAACCUUGUUGACAGGGAAUUGGCUUUCCAACUUGUUGAGGAACUAUUGAAACUGUGAUUUUAUAUUUUUCAACACCUCCAAUUUGUUCAUAUUUUCACAAGAUGAAUUAAAGCUUUAACUUGUUGAGAAACUGAAGAAUAUGCCUUCCUGAUGAUAAAUAUGCCUUCCUGAUGGCUCCUCUGCUCUGCUAGAGUGCUAGCGGGAUUUCUUGCGAUUGCUCAUACAACUGAAUUGAAGUGUAGUGCAGUCGCUCUCGGUUGAGAACUGUCGGGGGGCUUCAGUACAGUUGGUACGGCGAUGUACUACCUGUCGUUGAGUUGAGCUGCAUCGUUGAAUUACAUCCCAGGCUGAGACUAUCUAAUGUGGAAUUUUUUUGCUACCGAGAGAUAAUCAUCCGGGUCAGCAGUUUAGCCUUCACUUUACAUAGUUAUCUGAAUAACAUGCACCACAUUUCCUAUGAAGAUGGUUUCCCCUAAGAUAGGGGAAGAAACUGUCUGCAUUCUAUAGUUUGGAGCCUGCUGAAGAACUUCACUCUGGUGGCUAGCGGGAUACUGUCUUGCGUUUGCUUAUACAACUGAACUGAACUGUAGUCGCUCUCGAUCAAGAAUUGUUGGGGCCUGCAGGGUAGGGUGACUGCUCAGCGUCGAGUCGAGCAACGAUGAAUCACAUCCCAGGCCUGUUGAGACGAUCUGCUGUGGACUUGGUAUGCUUCUGGUCCUUUAGGCGUGUACAACAGGCAGGAGUCAGCAGUUUAGUCUUCCUUUUCACUGUACCCAAUCGUAGUGUUCUAGAUGGUUCUGUGGAAGUGGAAUCCUGACGAAACAGAAGCUGUCCAGGACAACAUCUACUCGGAGCACCGGACCUGCAAGUCAGCCAGACCCCCAGCUCCCUCCUUUCAUACUCCAACGAUGACAUACACAAUACAAGAUGCCAUGCCGGCUCUCAUACAAAGCUAGUUUGUCGUUGCUACCAGGUUAAGUAACUGAAGAAAUUAAGCAGUUGACCAAAAUGUUGCUUCCAGGCUACCCCAACUAACAUUAACCAGGGCAUGUUUUGGUAAGACUAGUUGUGGAGAUCAGUGAUGGAUAUUUUAUUCUGGUCGUACGUUUCGAUCUAAUCAUGAACUAACGAUACUAUAUGCACCCACCUUUGUUUUAUAAGGUCGUGUGAACUAAUGACAACUAGUACAGGAGCAAAUAAUCUACUUUAUAGCUGCAUCGUGAAGGGAAAAUAUAAGGAAACGAAGUACACAGAUUAGAGCAUCUGUCAACUGAUGUUACCUUUUGUGCCGUGUAUGCAUAUAGUGCUAUUUCAGCAUGCUCUUGAUUGUGCAUUGGCUUAGCUUAGCACAUGGUAUUCUGCAUUGAAGCUUCUGCAUUUGUGUUCAGUAAAACUUAUUCCGUCUCUCAUACUUUGGCUGAAUUUUUCCUUAGUGUCAUUCUUCAUUCAGGCCAGUUUUACCGCAGAUUGUUAUAUUCCAAUGCAUUUCGAGCUAUUCUGAGUUACUGCUGUACCGUGAUCGCCGUUGUAGAGAGUACUCUCGAUAUUAUGCAACAGGUAUAUAUCUCAUGAACAUUUGUCCUGUUCUGCUUCAACCAAACACAAUAUUUCUAUUCGCUCUGUUCAUAGCUACUACUUCCCAGGAAAGAGUUUGAAAACUAAACAUGCAAAUCAAAUGGUCACAUGAUUCUCUAGUGUACUCACGUGGUACAAUACAAUACAAAUGAUGUGAUAACUGUUUCCUGGAUGGCUUGCUCACACCUGUCCCAUGAUUCUGUAUGGGGGUCCUAUAUAUACCCUCUGUUAGGAAAUUGUUAGAGUUUAUAUGUAAUACGUUUGUAAUCUCAACUAAACCCCUCUUUCUCUCUCUCUUAUCCCGUAACUCAUCCAACCACCAAAUCCUAGAGAUCGGUAGGUUCAACUUGUACUCCAAGCAUUGGCCUUGCGCCCAUAUCAAUAUAAGACCAACGCGGCUCCCUUACGAGGGAGUAGAAACGCUUCCUGACAUGGUAUACAGAGCCAACCUCUUCCCAUCUAUCUAGCCAGAAAAGCUUCUCCUUCGAUCACCACCACCACAUCGAUCGCCACCCCAUUGCCAGAUCACGAUCACCACCGGGACUGCGAGGAGCGCAAGUCACCGGCCUCCUGGAUGGAUCCGACGCUGCGCCACCGAAGACAGUGCAGCAGCAGCAGGCGGACAAGACCAUGGCAGAGGAGCCAAACCCUCUAUAUGCGCAAUGGAUCUCGAAGGACCAGCAGGUCCUGAGUCAUCUCCUGAAUUCUCUGUCGAAAGAGAUUCUCGCCCAAGUCACGAGUAAGGAGACAACCUUUGAUCUUUGGACUGCUAUCACCACUAUUUUUGCCUCGCAGUCCCAAUCUCGCAUCACAAACUUGCGGAUUGCCAUCACCAAUACCAAGAAGGGAUCCAUGUCGAGCACCUCCUACAUCGCCAAGAUGAAGAACCUGGCGGAUGAACUUGCCGCAGCAGGUCGCCCUGUCUCUGAUCCAGAGAUGGUCGACUACGUGCUGGCAGGUCUCGACAGAGACUACGAUGCUGUCGUGGCGGCUAUUGGCGUAAUCAAGUCGACGAUCUUAGUCGACGAUCUCUUCGCCCAGAUCGCGGCAUUCGAUCAACGGGUGGAGAUGCUAGGCGAUGGCGUCGAUGCUGGCUUCAACUCCUCAGCGAACAUGGCGUACAGGGGACGCGGACGCGGCUACAGCAGGGGGCGCGGUCGCGGCUACAGCAGAGGUCGUGGCCGAGGCAAGCGCUCCUCUCCGAGUCCAUCUGGUGGCAACGGCGGCGGCGGCGGUCGCGACCGCCAACAGCAGCAACGGUAGCAACAGGUUCGUGAUUUUCCGGAGUGUCAGAUCUGUCACAAGCACCAUCCAGGGGGCGCCCGUGAUUGCUGGCACAGGUAUGACGAAGAUGAGCCUGAGGACAAGGGGGCCAACAUGGUCACCGAUUCUUACGGCGUGGACACGAACUGGUACGCGGACACCGGCGCCACCCACCAUAUCACCGGAGAGCUGGACAAGCUGACAGUCCGGGACAAAUAUCACGGACAUGAUCAAGUGCACACCGCGAGUGGUUCUGGUAUGUAAGUUUAUCAUAUUGGUCAUUCAAUUGUUAGAACCUCGAAUAAAAACCUGCAUCUAAACAAAAUCCUCCAUGUUCUUGAAACUUCAAAAAGUCUUCUAUCUGUUCAUCGAUUUACUCAUGAUAAUCAUGUCCUCAUUGAGUUUUACCCUUAUUUCUUUCUUGUCAAGGACUUGGCCACGAGGAGAAUACAUCUUAGGGGCAGAUGUGUGGGAGGACUUUACCCACUCAUAUCUUCUUCAUCAUCGUCAUCAAAUAAACAAGCUUUUCCGGCUAUCAAGCCUUCAUCAUCAAAGUGGCAUAGUAGAUUAGGUCAUCCUUUGUCAAUUAUAGUUAAACGUGUUCUUAGUGAAAAUAAACUUCCUCACUCCCAUGAAGUUAGUACUGAGUCAGUUUGUGAUCCAUGUCAACAAGCUAAAAGUCAUCAGUUGCCGUAUCUUGUGUCUACUAGCAUCUCCACUGCACCCCUACAACUUGUAUUCUUAGAUGUAUGGGGACCAGCUCCCACUUCAGUUGGUAGAUACUCAUACUAUGUAAGCUUUAUUGAUGAUUUUAGCAAGUUUACAUGGAUCUAUCUUCUUAAGAAAAGAUCUGAAGUGUUUCAAGUCUUCUCUAAUUUUAAAAAUCUUGUUGAGAGAAAACUGAACACUAAUAUCAUUGCCAUGCAAACCGAUUGGGGGGUGAAUACAGGAAGUUGAAUUCCUUUUUUCAGCAACUUGGCAUUUCUCAUCACGUUGCAUGUCCACAUGCACACCAACAGAACGGCUCUGCAGAGAGAAAACAUCGCCAUGUUGUAGAAGUAGGCCUUGCCCUACUUGCUAAUGCAUCUAUGCCACUCAAAUUUUGGGAUGAAGCAUUCCUCACUGCUACAUAUCUCAUCAAUUCGCUACCUAGCAAAGUCAUUAAUUUUGAAACACCCAUCACACGUCUCUUUUCCACCACUCCAGAUUAUAAAUCUCUUCGAGUGUUUGGUUGUGCAUGUUGGACCAACCUACGACCAUACAACACACGCAAGCUUGCUUUUCGUUCCAAAAAAUGUGUGUUUCUGGGGUAUAGUCCUCUCCACAAAGGAGUCAAGUGUUUAGAUGUCACCUCUGGCAGGGUCUAUAUAUCACGAGACGUUGUUUUUGAUGAAUCUGUCUUCCCAUUUGAGUCUCUUCAUCCCAACGCCGGAGCUCGUUUAAAACAAGAAAUUCUUCUUCUUCCUCCUAAUCUCCGGUCCUUUGAUCAAGGGGGCGACAAUUGUACUGACCAUUAUGACUGUUCAACCAGUUCUGGUGUUGCAUCUACUCAUGUGCAGGCCCAUGGUGAAAAUACAGAAGAAAACGGAGUUGAAAAUGAUCAAAAUCCGGCUCAAAACGGAGGUAUAUUGCAUGUGGAGGAAGAAGACGGAGCUGGCGCUGAUUACGAGGAAGAUCCGCUCCAGCCUGCGACGCCAGUGCGACAAGAUCCCUCGGGAUCGGUGCGGGGAUCCGCCUUGGAUCGCGCACGCACGGCAGGCCAGCAGCGAACUGCCGCGUCAGGCAGCGCGUCGGCCCUGCGUCCCAUGCAUGGGCGGGCGACAGCGGUUGGCUCGGGGUCCAGCCCGCGUGUGCACAUGCAGCUGCAUGCAGGAUCGUCUGCGGCGAAUGACUCUGCGACAACUGGCUCCAGCAGUACAAGUGCAGCCACACAGCAGGUUACAGAGUCUGGGAUCGGAUCUCCUGCGCAAAGCGACGAAUCUAGUGCAACUUCAGGAUCUUCUGCGACAGAAACUUUCACGUCCUGUCAUGUGCCGCAGCCUGCUCCAUCUCAACCAGUAGUGACAUCACGUGUUACAACUCGCCUGCAGAAAGGUAUAAAAAAUCCAAAGGUUCGAACUGAUGGUACAAUACGGUAUGGCAUGAUGUGUAUUGCAGGAGAGCCAACAAAAGUAGAAGAUGCACUUGGAGAUGUGAGGUGGAAGCAGGAAAUGGAUGAGGAAUACUCAGCAGUUAUGAGGAACAAGACAUGGCACCUUGUACCUGCACAAAGAGGUAAAAAUAUUAUUGAUUGUAAAUGGGUGUACAGAAUCAAAAAGAAGGCAGAUGGCUCAAUUGACAGGUACAAGGCACGGUUAGUUGCAAAAGGCUUCAAACAACGGUAUAGGUUAGAUUAUGAGGAUACAUUUAGUCCUGUUGUAAAGGACGCAACUAUUAGGCUUGUGCUAUCUAUUGCUGUGUCCAGGGGGUGGAGCUUGAGACAGCUAGACGUUUAGAACGCGUUUUUACAUGGUGUUCUGGAAGAGGAGGUUUAUAUGAAACAACCACCUGGGUAUGCAGACAAGAAAACACCUCAUUAUGUGUGCAAACUUGACAAGGCACUUUAUGGCCUAAAACAGGCCCCAAGAGCAUGGUACUCAAGGUUAAGCUCUCAGCUGAGGUGUCUUGGUUUUGUUGCAUCCAAGGCUGACACGUCACUCUUUAUUUAUAACAAAGCAAACACAGUCAUAUUUGUGUUGAUAUAUGUUGAUGAUAUUAUAGUUGCGAGUUCCUCACAAGAUGCUACUAAUGCUCUUUUGCAUGAUUUGAGAUCAAAGUUUGCUUUGAAUGAUCUUGGUGAUUUGCACUUCUUCUUAGGCAUUGAAGUUAAGAAGAUUCCAGAUGGUAUAGUCUUGAACCAAGAAAAGUAUGCUACUGAACUUUUAGCUCGUAUGGGAAUGAAGGACUGCAAGCCUUCACCAACUCCGUUGUCCUCUUCAGAAAAACUUUCAGCCUUUGAAGGUGAGCCACUCAAAGAAGAAGAAAGCACAAGAUACAGGAGUGCUGUAGGAGCUUUGCAAUAUCUGACACCUACAAGACCUGACAUAUCAUUUGCAGUCAAUAAGGUUUGUCAGUAUUUGCAUGCACCUACUUCUGUACAUUGGACAGCUGUAAAAAGGAUUGUCAGGUAUAUCAAACAUACUGUGAACCUUGGGUUACAAUUUAGACGUUCUGGCUCUACUCUUGUGAGUGCUUUCUCUGAUGCUGAUUGGGCAGGAUGUAGUGAUGACAGAAGGUCAACUGGAGGCUUUGCUAUAUUCUUUGGUUCUAAUCUUAUCUCUUGGAGUGCUAGAAAGCAAGCUACAGUCUCCAGGUCAAGUACAGAAGCUGAGUACAAGUCACUGGCAAAUGCAACUGCUGAGAUUAUCUGGGUUGAAUCCUUGCUUAAUGAGUUAGGUGUUAAACAACGCCGUGUCUCAUGUCUUUGGUGUGACAACUUGGGAGCCACCUAUCUCUCUGCUAACCCAGUCUUCCAUGGUCGAACAAAGCACAUUGAAAUUGAUUUUCAUUUUGUAAGAGAAAGAGUUGCGGAGAAGAAGCUGGACAUCAGAUUCAUUCCGUCAAAAGAUCAAGUGGCAGACGGGUUCACCAAGGCAUUGCCAGCUCGGCCAUUUGAAGAGUUCAAGAGGAAUAUCAAUCUAGGAUAGUUGAGAUUAAGGGAGGGUGUUAGAGUUUAUAUGUAAUACGUUUGUAAUCUCAACUAAACCCCUCUUUCUCUCUCUCUUAUCCCGUAACUCAUCCAACCACCAAAUCCUAGAGAUCGGUAGGUUUAACUUGUACUCCAAGCAUUGGCCUUGCGCCCAUAUCAAUAUAAGACCAACGCGACUCCCUUACAAGGGAGUAGAAACGCUUCCUGACAGAAAUAAACCACGAGUGUGUCAUGGUGUAUGAGUCUAGAUCGAGUCCGAGCGCCGGUGCGUUGCCGCGUUCGUGUCUAGAGCGAGUCGAGCCGGUUGUGGCUAGGCCUGCAAUCGUAAGUCAACGGAGGUAUAGGAUCAGCGGGCGCAGCGGAAGCGAGGUGGCGCCCAGGUCGUGCGUGCACGGGCACUGGAAAUCCCAGGCUGUUGCUGGUGUGGUGCGUCCAGAUUGUUAGCGUACGUGCGGGCGGCCGUAUACCUAGGAGUUAGACUCCAGCUUGUUAGUGCAUGCAGUAGGGGCCGUUGGAGGCAGCCGCGUCGUGCGUGUAGGAGCGCGCCAUGCGUGUGGCCGGGCUGAGUGGAUCGUGCGUGCAUGGAUGCAUGCAAGUUAGAUGGAUCAGUGGGGUUAGCAGCCGAGUGUGGCGGCUGGCCAGUGCAUGUGUGGGUCUUUCUGUACUGAUAUUUAAGGUGAUCAGAUGAAUGAGAAAGAACGCUGAGAGGGCUGAGGAAAAUAUGUAGCCUGUGUGUUCGCCAAGGAGAAGAGCCCAUGGCAAAGUAUUUGUGCUCCUUCUUGGUCCAUGAGUGUGUGUGUGUGUGUGUGUUUGAGUUUCUUCCAUGUGUGUGUGUUCUUGUGUUCUUGAGAGAAGAAGAUAAAGAGAAACCACAAGAGAGUUGUGUGAGGCAACGAGAGGAAGAAGAAGAGCGGCGCUGCGAGGAGAGGCGGCGCUAACACCCUCUGCCCUAGUACGUCGAAUUAAGCGAGUGUGAUAUGCAUACUAAUUUAUCUAUCUCUCUAUCCACCUUCAAAUUGUCUGAAAUAUUGGAGGAAAACAAAAAUAUCAUGGUAACAUUUACUUACUGUAAAUCUGUAUUGAAUUGCGCUAGAAAAUAGAGUGUUGUGGAUGGUUCCAACUGCUGUCCUCUUAGAUACUCACUUUGAAAAGCUUCUCUGGAUUUCAGACCCGGCCGGACAUCCUCGUGAUCGUUUGAUCUCCAUAGAGGAUUGUUCAAGAGGUUGACAAUUGUCCUUUCCCACUGCCUACUUACAGUUUUGUGUUUUGCCAUCAUAUCUAAAGCUUGCACAAUAUAUUGCAGGACUCUCAACUCGACAGCAUUAGUUGGGUGGCAAAGCAUGGGAUAUGAUGCUCCCACUGUACUGCAACUAAAUCAAGUGUGAAUAGUCUUUCAUUGACAAGGAAUUAGCUGGGUUAGGUAUAACGGAAAUCAUUGAUAAGGAAAAGCAUCAAAGCAAAUCAAAGUUCUUCAUAAGAUGUCAUCACACCCGUUUACUGUUGGUCCGUUUCAAAACAGUCAUGCUCACGCAACACAUCAUAUUCCAUUAACUUGCUCACUCCAGCGACUUGCUUCAUAUCCUUCUAGGAAAUUUUCUUCUGCUUCACUAGUGGUUCGAUUUUCUACAGAAAAAGUCAUCCACUAUUACUAGUUUUCCUGUACAUGUCUCCAUUUAUCAAUUGUUCUUGUCUGGGUAUCUUUGCUAUGACAAGCUGAUCUAGAAAAUGGAGUUGAGACUGAACUCAGCUUAGUCGAUUCCGGUUUCACGCAUUAGUCUUGAUGCCAUGCACUUGGACCACUAUCUCUGAUCUUACUUUUUUCAACCUGCAAGGCAGGAGCUCUACCGAUUUCAUUAUCAAAAAAGAAUUUCCACCUUGUUUGUAUUACAAAGCAACCAACACGGAUCAUAUAGCAAUUGUUGGGGCGAGUAGCACAAAGAGCCCAAAACAAAAGAGAAAGAACAAAGAACAAAGAAACAAAUGCCAACAACGGCAGCUCGACAAAGAACAGAUGACCCGCCACCACUACGCCUUCCGGAAUCGACCCACCAUAGACCAAGGCUCCGAUCUGCCACGUACCAAGCAGCACCUCCAAGAAGGAAUGUGAUGCCGACGACGCUGCUGCCCGGACGUGUCAUAGGGUUUCCCCCAGCAUGCGGAAGGGAGUGGGGGCUGAAUACCUCCGACACCCUCCAAGAAGGAAUAGCGUCACCCUCAGGUGUCACCGCAUCGGAGCCGGCAGAACUGGCAAAUAUUUCUCCCGCACCCCAAACCCCACUGCCCAACCGGGCUGGGGUCAACCAGCCACAUCGCCGCCCACCAGCAUGCGCCACCACGGUCUUAACGCCACCCACGCCGCCUUAAUAAGAUCGCCACCACGAGGCCAAGAGGCCGGAGAGAGAUGCACCAGGCGGCGAGAGUAGCAAAACAGGAGCCGUGCGGGAGGGAACUACCUCCACCGCCAUCGCGGUCACCAUCCGGACGCGGCUGCAGGACGCGGUCACCAUCCGGUCACCAUUCGUGCGACAUGGGUCUCCUCCUAAGUUCCAUGUUCCUCCAAGCCUCCCACUGUCACCGCCGCCGCUCAAGGUACUCACUCGUCCCCUUUCUGCCCCCAAAUCCACACCCUCAUCAAAUCUGUUUUUGCAUUUUGUUAGAAGAGAAUUGAUUCAUUUUAGCUUUCGUUCUAGCUAAUCUGUAUACUGACAUUUAUGACCCUCUUUUUAGUAUGCUGGAACGUAGCACUUCUCUAGUAAGUACAAUUUGUUGUCAUGAAAACGUGUGUAUUUGGUUCACCUGGGUAAAAUGAAUCACUUUGUUCAUUGUCCUGUACUCCUGUGUGACUAUACACGCGAUGUGUUCAACAAGUGGACGCUUGGUAAUUGAACCAUCACUAGUAGAAAAAAGGUCAAAUGUGUAGUACAUUAGUGCCGGUUUGAAUUUGAGCCGGCACUAAUGUGUCCAUUAGUGCCGGUUCCAACGGCUAGGCGGGCAGACAUCAUUAGUACCGAUUCGUGGUGAACGUUUAGCACCGAUUCGUGCCAUGAACCGGUACUAAAGUGAGUGGUGACAGGAUGUUGUUAGUCCGGGGCCCCUCCAGCAUCUUUAGUACCGAUCGUAUCAUGAACCGGUACUAAAGGUCGUCCUACAUAGACCCUUUGUCCACCCGAGCUCGCUCUGUUCUUCCCCUUUCCCCUCUCCUCUCUAUGCUUUUUCCUCUUCCUCUCAAGCUCAUCACACAUUUUGCCCAAAAUUUGUCAAGAUUUGAAGGCCCCCAUCCAUUCAAAUGAUCACAAAGGUUAGCAACUUUGUCCUUUCAUCUCUCAUUGCUAGAUUAGCUCGUGCAAUGCUUUAUAUAGUGAUUGAUGUUUGAGUUUAGUAAUUUGGGAGGAAGUAUAUAUAUAUAUAUGUGCUAGUAUUUGAUUUAUAUGCAAUUUGAGGUCAAAAAUAACACUUAGUUUGCAUGUGUAGGUGUGGUUUACUUAGUGCCUUCUAAAUCUCCGUCGUAACCACCGUCGAUCGCCCGCAAUGUCCCGUCGCCGGCACCACCUUGUGGUAAGCCUCUUGUUCAUGAAGUUUUAUAUAUAAAAUUGAUGUCUGUGUGAUUUGGAUAUAUAGUUACUCGUAUAAUUAUCUUACCCAUACGUUGUUUUUUAUACAUAGUGCCAUGGUUUUGAUAUCUGUCCCCGUCGGCCCUCGUCCGGGUUAUGAUUCGGAUGUGGUAUAUUCUCUUUUAAAACUAUUCAUUGCAUUUCGUGUUUAUGACAAAUUAUGCUCAUCAAGUUGACAUAGAUAUUUGUAUGUAGGAGGUAGUUGAACCGGAAAUUCCAAUCGACCCUAUUGUCGAGAGGUUAAAUUUAGUUGAAAGAGAAAACGAGGAUUUGAAGGAAAAAUUGAAAAGAAUUGAGGGGGAGAAGAUGGAAUUGAAGUUGCAUGUUGCCGAUGUCUUCUAUGAUCACAAGAUUAAGAUGGAGAAAAUGCGCUUGAAGAUUAGAAAGAUUAGAAAAUAUGUCAUUCAUAGUGAGGCUUGGUAUCAUUACGUUGUUGGAUCAAUUGUUACCUUAGUUGCGAUCUUGAUCGCAUUUGUUGUUGCAUUUAAAUUCUUUAGCUAUAGAGUUAUUUGUUUGUUGCAUUUAAGUGUUGUAUGAUCUUUAUGUAUGAACUUUAUGUAUUGUAUUAAUUUGGUGUUUUCGGUGCUGUGUAUUGAAGAUGAGCCGGCAAUGGAUGUACGAUGACCGAUGCUCUCUCGAGUUCAUUAACGGCGUGCGUACUUUUCUGCUUGCGGGUGAGGCAAACAAGCGGGCGGAUGCUUUUAUGCCUUGUCCAUGUGCUGGCUGUAAGAAUGGUCACAAUUACUCUACGUCAAGAACCAUUCACCUGUUUGAGUCUGGUUUCAUGCCCCACUAUAAUGUUUGGACCAAGCAUGGAUAAAGAGGGGUUAUGAUGGAAGACAAUAAAGAAGAAGAGGACGACGACAGCUAUCCUGGCCAUGGGUUCCCUGAAUACGAUGAUACAACAAUGAGGGAAGAAGCUGAGCCGGUAAUGCGGGAAGAAGCUGAGCCGGUAAUGCGGGAAGAAGCUGAAGAAGAGGCAUUGGAUAAGCCCGUUGAUGAUCUAGGUCGGGCCAUUGCCGAUGCAAAGAGAAACUGCGCAAGUGAUUUGGAGAAGAAGAAGUUGCAGCGCAUGUUAGAGGAUCACAAAAAAUUGUUGUACCCGACUUGCGUAGGUGACAAGAAAAAGCUGGGCACCACAAUGGAAUUGCUACAAUGGAAGGCAGAGAAUGGUGUAUCUGAUAAGGGAUUUGGAAAGUUGCUGGUAAUGAUAAAGAAUAUGCUUCCAAAGGACAACGAAUUGCCCGAGAGUACGUACGAAGCAAAGAAGGCUGUCUUCCCUCUAGGGUUAGAGGUGCAGAAGAUAUAUGCAUGCCCUAAUAAUUGCAUCCUCUACCGUGGUGAGUACGAGGAUAUGAACGCUUGCCCGCUAUGCGGUGCAUUGUGCUAUAAGAUCAGCCGCGAUGACCCUGGUGAUGUCGAGGGCGAGCGCCCCAGGAAGAAGAUUCCUGCCAAGGUGAUGUGGUAUGCUCCUAUAAUACCACGGUUGAAACGUUUGUUCCAAAACAAAGAGCAUGCCAAGGCGAUGCGAUGGCACAGAGAAGACCUUAAGAAAGACGGAAAAUUGAGAGUACCCGCUGACGGGUCGCAGUGGAGAGAAAUCGAAAGAAAGUACGGGAAGGAGUUUGCGGAUGACGCAAGGAAUGUAUGGUUUGGUCUAAGCGCAGAUGGCAUUAAUCCUUUUGGGAGGCAGAGCAGCAACCAUAGCACCUGGCCUGUGACUCUAUGUUUGUAUAACCUUCCUCCUUGGUUGUGCAUGAAGCAGAAGUUCAUUAUGAUGUCAGUGCUCAUCCAAGGCCCUAAGCAACCCGGCAACGACAUUGAUGUGUACCUAAGGCCAUUAGUUGAAGAACUCUUACAACUGUGGAAUGAAGCAUGUGUACGUGCGUGGGAUGAGCACAUGGGGGAAGAAUUUGACCUAAAGGCGUUUUUGUUCGUGACCAUCAAUGAUUGGCCUGCUCUCAGUAACCUUUCAGGACAGACAAACAAGGGAUACCGCGCAUGCACGCACUGUUUGGAAGAUACCGACAAUAUAUAUUUGGUUAAUUGUAAGAAAAAUGUGUACCUGGGAUAUUGAUGUCUACUACACAACCUUCUUCUUGUAGACAUUGUUGGGCCUCCAAGUAAAGAGGUUUGUAGGACAGUAGCAAAUUUCCCUCAAGUGGAUGACCUAAGGUUUAUCAAUCCGUGGGAGGCGUAGGAUGAAGAUGGUCUCUCUCAAGCAACCCUGCAACCAAAUAACAAAGAGUCUCUUGUGUCCCAACACACCCAAUACAAUGGUAAAUUGUAUAGGUGCACUAGUUCGGCGAAGAGAUGGUAAUACAAGUGGUAUAUGGAUAGUAGAUAUGGGUAUUUGUAAUCUGAAAUUAUAAAAACAGCAAGGUAGCAAGUGAUAAAAGUGAGCGUAAACGGUAUUGCAAUGAUAGUAAACAAGGCCUAGGGUUCAUACUUUUGCUAGUGUAAGUUCCCUCAACAAUACUAACAUAAUUGGAUCACAUAACUAUCCCUCAACAUGCAACAAAGAGUCACUCCAAAGUCACUAAUAGCGGAGAACAAACGAAGAGAUUAUGGUAGGGUACGAAACCACCUCAAAGUUAUUCUUUCCAAUCAAUUCGUUGGGCUAUUCCUAUAAGUGUCACAAACAGCCCUAGAGUUCGUACUAGAAUAACACCUUAAGACACAAAUCAACCAAAACCCUAAUGUCACCUAGAUACUCCAAUGUCACCUCAAGUAUCCGUGUGUAUGAUUAUACGAUAUGCAUCACACAAUCUCAGAUUCAUCUAUUCAACCAACACAUAGAACUUCAAAGAGUGCCCCAAAGUUCCUACCGGAGAAUCACGACGAAAACGUGUGCCAACCCCUAUGCAUAGGUUCAUGGGCGGAACCCGCAAGUUGGUCACCAAAACAUACAUCAAGUGAAUCACGUGAUAUCCCAUUGUCACCACAGAUAUCCACGGCAAGACAUACAUCAAGUGUUCUCAAAUCGUUAAAGACUCAAUCUAAUAAGAUAACUUCAAAGGGGAAACUCAAUCCAUUACAAGAGAGUAGAGGGGGGAAGAAACAUCAUAGGAUCCAAAUAUAAUAGCAAAGCUCACGAUACAUCAAGAUCGUGCGAAAUCAAGAACACGAGAGAGAGAGAGAUCAAACACAUAGCUAGUGGUACAUACCCUUAGCCCCGAGGGAGAACUACUCCCUCCUCGUCAUGGAGAGCACCGAGAUGAUGAAGAUGGCCACCGGAGAAGGAUUGCCCCCUCCGGCAGGGUGCCAGAAUGGGUCUAGAUUGGCUUUCGGUGGCGACGGAGGCUUCUGGCGGCGGAACUCCCGAUCUAAUCUCUCUUCUGGAAGUUUUACGAUACGUAGGUAUAUAUGGGUACAAGGGGUACGCCGGUGGACCGAAGGGGGGGCCACGAGAUAGGGGGGCGUGCCCCAGGGGGGUGGGCGCGCCCCUACCCUCGUGAGCAUCUCCUUCAUCUUCUGACGUAGGGUCAAAGUCUAUCUGGUAGGUUUCCUUCCAAAAAUAAUUUCUCCAAUUGAUUUCGUUCCAUUUCGACUCUGUUUGAUAUUCCUUUUCUUCGAAACACUGAAAUAGGCAUAAAACAGCAAAUCUGGGCUGGGCCUCCGGUUAGUAGGUUAGUCCCCAAAAUAAUAUAAAAAUGGAUAAUAAAGCCCAGUAUUGCCCAAAACAGUAGAUAAUAUAACAUGGAGCAAUCAAAAAUUAUAGAUACGUUGGAGACAUAUCAAGCAUCCCCAAGCUUAAUUUAUGCUCGUCCUCGAGUAGGUAAAUGAUAAAAAAGAUAAUUUUUGAUGUGGAAUGCUAGUUGGCAUAAUUUCAUUGUGAUUCUUCUUAAUUGUGGUAUGAAUAUUCAGAUCCAUAAGAUUCAAGGCAAAAGUUCAUAUUGACAUAAAAAUAAUAAUACUUCAAGCAUACCAACUAAGCAAUUAUGUCUUCUCAAAAUAACAUGGCCAAACAAAGCUAUCCCUACAAAAUCAUAUAGUCUGGUUAUGCUCUAUCUUCACCACACAAAAUAUUUAAAUCAUGCACAACCCCGAUGACAAGCCAAGCAAUUGUUUCAUACUUUUGAUGUUCUCAAACUUUUUCAAUCUUCACGCAAUACAUGAGCGUGAGCCAUGGACAUAGCACUAUAGGUGGAAUAGAAUGGUGGUUGUGGAGAAGACAAAAAGGGAGAAGAUAGUCUCACAUCGACUAGGCGUAUCAACGGGCUAUGGAGAUGCCCAUCAAUAGAUAUCAAUGUGAGUGAGUAGGGAUUGCCAUGCAACGGAUGCACUAGAGCUAUAAAUGUAUGAAAGCUCAACAAAAGAAACUAGUGGGUGUGCAUCCAACUCGCUUGCUCAAGAAGACCUAGGGCAUUUUGAUUCAGCCCAUCAUUGGAAUAUACAAGCCAAGUUCUAUAAUGAAAGAUUCCCACUAGUAUAUGAAAGUGACAACAUAGGAGACUCUCUAUCAUGAAGAUCAUGGUGCUACUUUGAAGCACAAGUGUGGUAAAAGGAUAAUAGCAUUGCCCCUUCUCUCUUUUUCUCUCAUUUUUUUUAUUUGGGCCUUCUUUUUUUAUGGCCUCUUUUCUCUUUUUAUUUUUAUUUUGGCUUCUUUGGCCUCUUUUAUUUAUUUAUAUUUUUUUGUCCAGAGUCUCAUCUUGACUUGUGGGGGAAUCAUAGUCUCCAUCAUCCUUUCCUCACUGGGACAAUGCUCUAAUAAUGAUGAUCAUCACACUUUUAUUUACUUACAACUCAAGAAUUACAACUCGAUACUUAGAACAAGAUAUGACUCUAUAUGAAUGCCUCCAGCGGUGUACCGGGAUGUGCAAUGACUCAUGAGUGACAUGUACGAAAGAAUUAUGAACGGUGGCUUUGCCACAAAUACGAUGUCAACUACAUGAUCAUGCAAAGCAAUAUGACAAUGAUGAAGCGUGUCAUAAUAAACGGAACGGUGGAAAGCUGCAUGGCAAUAUAUCUCGGAAUGGCUAUGGAAAUGCCAUAAUAGUUAGGUAUGGUGGCUGUUUUGAGGAAGGUAUAUGGUGGGUUUAUGGUACCGGUGAAAGGUGCGCGGUACUAGAGAGGCUAGCAAGGGUGGAAGGGUGAGAGUGCGUAUAAUCCAUGGACUCAACAUUAGUCAUAAAGAACUCAUACACUUAUUGCAAAAAUCUACAAGUUAUCAAAUUAAAGUAUUACGCGCAUGCUCUUAGGGGGAUAGAUUGGUAGGAAAAGACCAUCGCUCAUCCCUGACCAUCACUCAUAAGGAGGACAAUCAAUAAAUAAAUCGUGCUUCGAAUUCUUCACAUAACGGUUCACCAUACGUGCAUGCUACGGAAAUCACAAACUUCAACACAAGUAUUUCUCAAAUUCACAACUACUCAACUAGCAUGACUCUAAUAUUACCAUCCUCAUAUCUCAAAACAAUUAUCAAGUAUCAAACUUCUCAUAGUAUUCAACACACUCAUAAGAGAAUUUUAUUAUUCUUGAAUACCUGGCAUAUUAGGAUUUUAAGCAAAUUACCAUGCUAUUAAGACUCUCAAAAUAAUAUAAGUGAAUCAUGAGAGUUCGUCUAUUUCUUCAAAAUAAAACUACAGCCAUGCUCUAAAAGAUAUAAGUGAAGCACUAGAGCAAAUGACAAACUACUCCGAAAGAUAUAAGUGAAGAUCAAUGAGUAGUCGAAUAAUUGUGCAACUAUGUGAAGACUCUCCCAUUCAAUAAUUUCAGACCUUGAUACUUUAUUCAAACAACAAGCAAAACUAAAUAAAAUGACAUCUAAGAAUAGCAUACAUCAUGUGAAGAAGCAAAAACUUAGGAUCAACCAAAACUAACCGAUAGUUGUUGAAGAAGAAAGGUGGGAUGUCAACCGGGGCAUCCCCAAGCUUAGACGCUUGAGACUUCUUGAAAUAUUAUCUUGGGGUGCCUUGGGCAUCCCCAAUCUUGAGCUUUUGUGUCCCCUUAAUUUCUCUCAUAUCACGGUCUCCCUAAAUCUCAAAAGCUUCGUCCACACAAAACUCAAUAAGGACUCGUGAGAUAAGUUAGUAUAAACCAUUGCAAAAACCUUAUCAUACUCUACUGUAUCAAAUCACUAAAAUCAUUAUUCAACAUUGCAUACUAAAUGCCUCUGCAUAUUUAAUAGUCCUAUCCUCAAAUAGAAUCAUUAAAGAAGCAACCAUAUGCAAACAAUGCAAACAUAACAGCAAUCUGCCUAAACAGGAUAGUCUGUAAAGAAUGCUGCAACAUCCAUACUUCCUUAGCUCCAAAAAUUAUGAAAUAAAAUCCCCACUGUAUUAAAUUUAUCAGGUCUUAAUAUUAAAAAGGUUUCAACAUUUUAUCACAUUUUGAUUUUUCUAGGGAAUUAUUGCAACAGCGGUAAACUUUCUGCUUUCAAACAGCAACAUGCAUACUUGUAACAUAGGCAUAGUAAAGGCUAUCAAUGCCACUUUUAUUGAAAUAAAAGAUGCAAAACAUUGUUCUAAAUAACAGAAAGCAAAUCCUAACAAAAUAAAUUGAUGCUCCAAGCAAAACACAUAUCAUGUGGUAAAUAAAAAUGUAGCUCCAAGUAAAGCUACCGAUGAACGAAGACGAAAGAGGGGAUGCCUUCCGGGGCAUCCACAAGCUUAGGCUCUUGGUUGUCCUUGAAUAUUAUCUUGGGGUGCCUUGGGCAUCCCCAAACUUAGGCUCUUGCCACUCCUUAUUCCAUAGUCCAUCGAAUCCUUACCCAAAACUUGAAAACUUCACAACACAAAAACUUAACAGAAAACUCGUAAGCUCCGUUAGUAUAAGAAAACAAAAGACCACUUCAAGGUACUAUAAUGAACUCAUUCUUUAUUUAUAUUGGUGUUAAACCUACUGUAUUCUAGCUUCUCUAUGGUUUAUAAACUAUUUUACUAGUCAUAGAUUCAUCAAAAUAAGCAAACAACACAUCGAAAACAGAAUCUGUCAAAAACAGAACAGUCUGUAGUAAUCUGGAUCGAACAUAUACUUCUGGAACUCAUAAAAUUCUCAAAUAAAUUGCUGGACCUGAGGAAUUUAUCUAUUAAUCAUCUGCAAAAAUAAUUAACUAAAUAGCACUCUCCAAAUAAAAAUGGCAGCAAUUCUCGCGAGCGCUAAAGUUUCUGUUUUUGACAGCAUGAUCAACAAGACUUUCCCCAAGUCUUCCCAAAGGUUCUACUUGGCACAAACACUAAUUAAACACAUAAAACCACAUCUAAACAGAGGAUAGAUGAAUUAUUUAUUAUUAAACAGGAACAAAAAGCAAGGAACAAAAAUAAAGUUGGGUUGCCUCCCAACAAGCGCUAUCGUUUAAUGCCCCUAGGUAGGCAUGAUGAUUUCAAUGAUUCUCACAUGAAGGAUAAGAAUUGUAACAUAAAGAGACCAUCAUGAAGAAUAUGACUAGCACAUUUAAGUCUAACCCACUUCCUAUGCAUAGGUAUUUUGUGAGCAAACAACUUAUGGGAACAAGAAUCAACUUGCAUAGGAAGGUAAAACAAGGAGAACUUCAAAAUUUUAAGCACAUAGAGAGGAAACUUGAUAUUAUUGCAAUUCCUACAAGCAUAUAUUCCUCCCUCAUAAUAAUUUUUAGUAGCGUCAUGAAUGAAUUCAACAAUAUAACCAGCACCUAAAGCAUUCUCUUCAUGAUCUACAAGCAUAGAAAUUUUAUUACUCUCCACAUAAGCAAAAUUCUUCUCAUGAAUAAUAGUGGGAGCAAACUCAACAAAAUAAUUAUCAUGUGAUUGGAAAUUAAGAUCAAGAUGACAAGUUUCAUUGUUAUCAUUAUUCUUUAAAGCAUACGUGUCAUCACAAUAAUCAUCAUAGAUAGGAGGCAUGCUUUCAUCAUAAUAAAUUUGCUCAUCAAAACUUGGGGGACAAAAAAUAUCAUCUUCAUCAAACAUAGCUUUCCCAAGCUUGUGGCUUUGCAUAUCAUUAGCAUUAUGUAAAUUCAAGGAAUUCAUACUAACAACAUUGCAAUCAUGCUCAUCAUUCAAAUAUUUAACAUUUUAUAGAUUUCUUCUUCUAGCACUUGAGCACAAUUAUCCUUUCCAUCAUACUUACGAAAGAUAUUAAAAAGGUGAAGCGUAUGAGACAAACUCAAUUCCAUUUUUUAUAGUUUUCUUUUAUAAACUAAACUAGUGAUAAAACAAGAAACUCAAAGACUCGAUUGCAAGAUCUAAAGAUAUACCUUCAAGCACUCACCUCCCCGGCAACGGCGCCAGAAAGAGCUUGAUGUCUACUACAUAACCUUCUUCUUGUAGACGUUGUUGGGCCUCCAAGUGCAGAGGUUUGUAGGACAGUAGCAAAUUUCCCUUAAGUGGAUGACCUAAGGUUUAUCAAUCCGUAGGAGGCGUAGGAUGAAGAUGGUCUCUCUCAAGCAACCCUGCAACCAAAUAACAAAGAGUCUCUUGUGUCCCCAACACACCCAAUACAACGGUAAAUUGUAUAGGUGCACUAGUUCGGCGAAGAGAUGGUAAUACAAGUGGUAUAUGGAUAGUAGAUAUGGGUAUUUGUAAUCAGAAAUUAUAAAAACAGCAAGGUAGCAAGUGAUAAAAGUGAGCAUAAACGGUAUUGCAAUGAUAGUAAACAAGGCCUAGGGUUCAUACUUUCGCUAGUGUAAGUUGCCUAAACAAUACUAACAAAAUUGGAUCACAUAACUAUCCCUCAACAUGCAACAAAGAGUCACUCCAAAGUCACUAAUAGCGGAGAACAAACAAAGAGAUUAUAGUAGGGUACGAAACCACCUCAAAGUUAUUCUUUCCAAUCAAUCCGUUGGGCUAUUCCUAUAAGUGUCACAAACAGCCAUAGAGUUCCUACUAGAAUAACACCUUAAGACACAAAUCAACCAAAACCCUAAUGUCACCUAGAUACAACAAUGUCACCUCAAGUAUCUGUGAGUAAGAUUAUACGAUAUGCAUCACACAAUCUCAGAUUCAUCUAUUCAAACAACACAUAGAACUUCAAAGAGUGCCCCAAAGUUCCAACCGGAGAAUCACGACGAAAACGUGUGCCAACCCCUAUGCAUCGGUUCAUGGGCGGAACCCGCAAGUUGGUCACCAAAACAUACAUCAAGUGAAUCACGUGAUAUUCCAUUGUCACCACAGAUAUCCACGGCAAGACAUACAUCAAGUGUUCUCAAAUCGUUAAAGACUCAAUCCGAUAAGAUAACUUCAAAGGGGAAACUCAAUCCAUUACAAUAGAGUAGAGGGGGGGGGAAGAAACAUCAUAGGAUCCAAAUAUAAUAGCAAAGCUCACGAUACAUCAAGAUCGUGCCAAAUCAAGAACACGAGAGAGAGAGAGAGAGAGAGAGAGAGAGAUCAAACACAUAGCUAUUGGUACAUACCCUCAGCCUCGAGGGAGAACUGCUCCCCCAUCAUCAUGGAGAGCACCGGGAUGGAGAGCAGGGUGCCGGAACAGGUCUAGAUUGGCUUUUGGUGGCUACGGAGGCUUCUGGCGGCGGAACUCCCGAUCUAAUCUCUGCUCUGGAAGUUUUACGAUACGUAGGUAUAUAUGGGUACAAGGGGUACGUCGGUGGACCGAAGGGGGCGCCACGAGGCAGGGGGCGCGCCCCCUACCCUCGUGAGCACCUCCUUCAUCUUUUGACGUAGGUUCCAAGUCUAUCUGGUAGGUUUCCUUCCAAAAAUAACUUCUCCAGUUGAUUUCGUUCUGUUUCGACUCCGUUUGAUAUUCCUUUUCUUCGAAACACUGAAAUAGGUAUAAAACAGCAAAUCUGGGCUGGGCCUCCGGUUAAUAGAUUAGUCCUAAAAAUAAUAUAAAAGUGGAUAAUAAAGCCCAAUAUUGCCCAAAACAGUAGAUAAUAUAGCAUGGAGCAAUCAAAAAUUAUAGAUAUGUUGGAGACGUAUCAGACAUCGUUGAUUUCUUCCAAGCAGGCAUCCCGUAAGAAUGAAAGGCAAGCAUUUCAAAGGUGAGGCGGAUCACCGGACGAAGCCUCGCCACCGUACUGGUGCUGAUGUACAUGAUAUGGUCAAGGAUUUGAAGGUGGUCUUUGGAAAGGGUCCUGGUGGACAACCUGUUCCGAAUGACGCUGACGGAUGCGCACCCAUGUGGAAGAAGAGAUCUAUAUUUUGGGACCUGCCCUAUUGGAAAGACCUAGAGGUCCGCUCCGUAAUCGACGUGAUGCACGUGACGAAGAGUCUUUGUGUGACCCUGCUUGGCUUCUUGGGCAUGUAUGAGAAGACAAAAGAUACACCUGAGGCCUGGGAGGACCAGCAAGGUAUGCACGGAAAAGAUGGCAUACAUCAGGGUCAUGCAAGCUACGCUCUUACCAAAGAAGAGAAGGAAAUCUUUUUUGAAUGCCUGCUCAGUAUUAAGGUACAGUCUGGCUUCUCGUCGAAUAUAAAGGGAAUAAUAAACAUGGCAGAGAAAAAGUUCCAGAACCUAAAGUCUCAUGAUUGCCACGUGAUUAUGACACAACUGCUUCCGGUUGCAUUGAGGGGGCUUAUACUGGAAAAUGUUCGAUUAGCCAUUGUGAAGCUAUGUGCAUUUCUCAAUGCAAUCUCUCAGAAGGUAAUCGAUCCAGAAAUCAUACCGAGGUUAGAGAAUGAUUUGGUGCAAUGUCUUGUCAGUUUCGAGUUGGUGUUCCCACCAUCCUUCUUCAACAUCAUGACGUACGUCCUAGUUCACCUAUGCGAAGAGAUUAAAGUUUCGGGUCCUGUAUUUCAACACAAUAUGUUCCCCUUUGAGAGGUUCAUUGGAGUCUUAAAGAAAUAUGUUCAUAACCGUGCUAGGCCAGAAGGAAGCAUCUCCAAGGGCCAUGAAAAUGAGGAGGCCAUUGAGUUUUGUAUUGACUUUAUUCCUGACCUUAAGCCGAUUGGUGUUCCUGAAUCGAGGCAUAAGGGCAGACUGGAUGGAAAAGGCACGCUAGGAGGGGAACAAAUAAUAUGUAUGGACGGACAUUUCUCUCACUGAAGCACACUACACAGUUCUACAGAAUUCUGCCUUGGUGGCUCCGUAUAUGGAUGAACACAAGAAUUUGCUACGCUCCAAACACCCGGAGCGGUCUGAUCACUGGAUUAUACGUGAACAAACUAGGAGUUUCGCCAGCUGGUUGCAGACACGUACCAUGCAUGACGUCUCUAUUGAAGAUGAAUGUACUUGCUGUCCCAGUUACCAUCUUCGAAUAUAAUGAUUUUCAAAGGGUACGAGAUAAAUGGUAACACAUUUUACACGAUCGUCCAAGAUAAGAAGAUCACCAACCAAAACAGUGGUGUCCGCUUUGAUGCAGAAACCAAGACGGGAAAGGAAACAUAUUAUGGUUAUAUACAGGACAUAUGGGAACUUGACUAUCGACGUGGUUUGAAGGUCCCUUUGUUUCGGUGCAAAUGGGUCAAUAUGAGAGAGGCGGGGUAACGGAAGACCCGCAGUACGGAAUGACAACAGUGGAUCUCAAUAAUUUUGUGUAUGCAGACGAACCAUUCGUCCUAGCCAAUGAUGUGGCACAGGUUUUUUAUGUGAAGAACAUGUCUACCAAGCCGAGAAAAAAAAGAUAAGGACGUGAAUGCAUCGUACGAUGAGCCAAAGCGGCACAUAGUUCUUUCUGGGAAGAGAAACAUCGUGAGAGUGGAUGACAAGACAGACAUGUCAGGAGAUUAUGAAAAGUUUGAUGAAAUUGCUCCAUUCACAGUGAAUAUUGACCUGAGCAUCUAGUUACAUGAUGAAGAUUUUCCAUGGCUACGGCGCAAAGGGACACACACGAAGUAAAAGUUUCACACCCAAAGAUCUGAGAUGUGAUCGGCUUCACUAUCAUCACUUUCUUCUGUGUUUCACACCCAGAAGGGAAUCUCUGUAAUAGUUAGGGUAGCUAGUUAUGUGUUUUGGCAUUUGAAACGCGAAGAAAUUUUAUGUGCAUUACUAUGCUGGACUGGGUCUACUUUUCGUCAUACAGUUGUCAUCGCCAAGCUGCAAAGUUAUUCACGAUAUUUUUUCCAUUAAACCAUGUGUUCACUUGUAUCCAAGUAGCUCUACUAUGUCACACAAUUUUGCUGUGCACUCACAUGAUAAACAAAUGAUAACGGCUCCUGAAUGCAUGCUUAACCGUUGACACCUUUUACUCGUGCUUACCUGAAUGUAAAAACAUCCUAACAAAGACUGCAGUACAUAUAAGUCAGGCCGAUAUAUAUGUACUCGAUCACCUGAAUUGCCUUAGCUAGGAUGCAAAAGUGAGCGUUAUAUGAGAGGUUUCAAAUUUACUUUAUGCUAUAUUCCGUUUCUAUCAAUCUGCUUGAAAUAUUGAAGGAAAACAAAAAAACCGUAGUAAAUCUUUAGCUUCACUUCCAUCGCCUCCCCUUCCUACAUCAUAUGUCUCGCAUGGAAACACCGGUAGAGAGAGAAGAUGAAUCCAGCCCACAGAACAAACCAAAAAAAUCUCAACCGCUGCCAUGCUCCUCACCAGGUCUGUGCCAUGUCCAUCCUAUGAUCGAGUCCUCCGAUCUCGCCUCGCCCCCACCAUUGAUCUGGCCACACAACUCACAGCCAUGGUCAUACUAAUCACACGACGUCUCCUGCUGUCGAGGUCGCCACCCCAGCUUGCUACCAUGGUAAUCCCGGUCACGCCGCGCCCCCCUGCUGUCCUGGCCAAAACACAAAGAAAAACAGUUCACCAGGACUUGAAAUUAACCUGGAAUUGCCCAGGUGAGCCUGCAUCUUUGCAACUGGGUGCCACAAAAUCUGUAUGUUCAUGUCCCUCCUCGUGUGUGUGUGUGUCUCUCCUCAGCAACCCAGCAAUUAUCAAUUAGAUUGUCAUCAAUAAAUGUCUGAAAUUAAUCAUGCUAUUUAAGUUUGUUACUCUUCUGGACAGCGAAGUCAGUGCUAGGUAAACGGCCUCCACGAGUGAUGAUUUGCUGCAUUCACAGUCCGGCUUCAGUAGAUGGUUUGCAUGCCGGAAUUAAGCGGUAGUGCUCUUCUUCUCAAGGAUUAAGUUACUACUGUUUUUUAUGUCUAUUUACAGAACAACCUCCUGUAGUCAGUCGGUCAGUGCCCUGAUUCUAUAACCCUGUUUCUGUGCUAUGCCUGAACUAGAGCUAAGUUACAUCAGACUCGGUGUGCUUGAGAUUUAUAGUUUGAUUGCUCAUGGCUCUAUAGUAUUGUUUUGUUUGUAACGCUCCACAAAGUAGCGGUCGCCAUCGCUGUUGGAAGCCGCCGCCGGAGACGACUACCAGAGAAGAGAGCCAUGUUCCUCUGCUUUAUAUGACCGUACUAGCAGCUACUUCACAUCAGGCUGUGACCUGCACUGUCGGUAGCUGUUUAACUACUUUUCCUAGUCUGUUUAAGUAUCAACGUCUGUAGAGUAGAUCGCAUUGCAUGCAUGUGGAUACUGUUUAGCUAACUAGCAUGAUAUAAUGGAUUAAUAUUGCCUUGGUAAUCUCAAAAUUAAGCAUGUUAUUAGUUAUAAGUAUGUCACACUAGUAGAAAAAGAGGCUUUCGUUCGGGCCUGGCCAGCCCAUAGUCCCGGUUCUUCCACGAACCGGGACCAAUGGAUGCAUUUGUCCCGGUUCGUGAGCCCAGGGGGCCGGCCGGGGCCUCGUGGGCAUUGGUCUUGGUUCGUAUGGACCCAUUUGUCCCGGUUCUAGGCACGAACCGGGACCAAUGGGCCUCGCUCCUGGCCCACAAUCAUUGGUCCCGGUUCUUGGCUCGAACCGGGACAUAAGGCUGGGCUUUAGUUCCGGUUCCAGCCAAGAACCGGGACAAAUGAGUUGCCUAUAUAUACCCCGUCGCCGCAGCAGAGCACUCCACAGUGCUAUGUUUUUUCUGACCGACGAGGAGAGGGCAUUUGGGUGCUCUAGCUCACCUCCUAUGCACACGAGGUGUUCGAUGAAAUGCCCGAGCCACGCUAGUUAAGCUUUCUCCUCUCGAAGCUCGACCUUCAAGCUGCAUUUUUCCCGAGAUUUGUCUAGGUUUAGCGGUCUGUCACGACCCGUCCCCGUCUUCACCGCCGUCGAUCGCCCGCGCCGAUCUCAUCGUCUGCACCACCGUGGUGAGCCUCUUAUCUUCUUCUGAAAGAAAAAAAAUUCUUACUUUAGAUAGAUACUUGUCUAAUUUUCUUACUUUUAUUAUUGCUUGUUAUUAUAUAGUGCGAUGGUUUUGGUAUCCGCCCCCAUCGGCCCUCGUCCUGGCUAUGAUUCGGAUGCGCUAUAUAUUAUAUUUUAUAACUAUUUGGUUCAUUUAUUGUUUAUGACAAUUAUGUCCGUCAAGUUGACAUAGAUUUUAUUUAUGUAGGAGGUAGUUGAACCGGAAAUUCCAACCGACCCUAUUGUCGAGAGGUUAAAUUUAGUUGAAGAAGAAAACAAUUAUUUGAAGGAAAAAAUAAAAAAAUUGAGGAGGAGAAGAUGAUAUUGGAGUUGCAUAUUGCGGAUGUCGUCGAUGAUCACAAGAUCAAGAUGGAUGCAAUGCGGUUGAAGAUAAGAAAGAUUAGAAAAUAUGUCAUUCAUACCGAGGGUUGGUAUCAUUAUACCGUUGGAUCAAUUUUUACCUUAUUUGUGAUUAUGAUCGCAUUUAUUGUUGCAUUGAAAAGUUUCACAUAGUUUCAAUGUAUGGUUUAACUAGAUGCUCUAGAGAGUUAUAUGUUGUUUAAUGAGAACUAUGUAUGUACUUUAUUUUUAAUAUGAUGAUAAACUUCUAUUAAUUUGGUCACUUAUCUAUGCAUGUGAAUCUGUAAUGGUUUUUGACACACAUAAUGUGAUGAUGAACUUCUAUUAUUUUGGUCACUUAUCUAUCCAUGUGGCUUUGAAUGGUUCAUUUUGAACACACAAGAAGUCUGGAGUUGAAAUAAGUUUAAAAAAAAUGAAAUCCCUUUGUAACAGAUGAGUUUUCGUCCGAAACCCUGACACUUCGAAAAAGAUUAUCCAUUUUGUAAACGAAGUGCAUCCAGUUUUUUUCGUAACCCUCUCAACUUUUUAGUACAUGCUAUGUGGGUGAAAUGAUGAUACCAUGCAAACUUUCAACCUUUUUAGAGUUCAUUUGUAGUGCUUUUCAAUUUUAAGGUCAUUCAGCUUAAAAAAUCAGUAAAUGCAUGAAAAAUAACAAAUGGAGUCAGAAAGGGUUGAAAAUUGAUGAUGUGGCUUUGAAUGGUGCAUUUUGAACACACAAGAUUUGUAGAGUUCAAAUAAGUUCAAAAAAAUGAAAUCCCUUGGUAACAGAUGAAUUUACGUAUGAAACUCUUAUACUUCGAAAGAGAUUGUCUGUUUUGUAUAUGAAGUGCAUCUAGUUUUUGCCGUAACCCUCUCAACUUUUAUGCACAUGCUAUGUGGGUGAAAUGAUGAUACCAUACCAACUUUCAACAUUUUCAGAGUUCAUUUGAAAUGCUUUUGAAUUUUAGGGUCUUAUAGCUCAAAAAAAUCAGUAAAUGCAUGAAAAAUAACUAAUGAAGUCAGAAAGGGUUGAAAAUUGAUGAUGUGGCUUUGAACGGUGCAUUUCCAACACACAAAAAGUCUGGAGUUGAAAUAAAUUCAAAAAAUGAAAUCCCUUUAUAACAGAUGAGUUUUCGUCCGAAACCCUAAUACUUUGAAAGAGAUUGUCCAUUUUCUACACGAAUUGCAUCCAGUUUUUGUCGUAACCCUCUCAACUUUUUAGUACAUGUUAUGUGGGUGAAAUGAUGAUAUCACGCCAACUUUCAACAUUUUUAGAGUUCAUUUGUAGUGCUUUUCAAUUUCAAGGUCAUUCAGCUCAAAAAAAUCAAUAAAUGCAUGAAAAAUAACAAAUAAAGUCAGAAAUGGUUGAAAAUUGAUGAUGUGACUUUGCAUGGUGCAUUUUGAACACAAAAAAAGCAUGGAGUUCAAAUAAGUUCUCCCUUUAGUAAUAGACGAGUUUCCAUAUGAAACCCUCAUACUUCGAAAGAGAUUGUCCGUUUUGUACACGAAGUGCAUCCAGUUUUUGCCGUAACACUCUCAACUUUCUUGCACAUGCUAUGUGGGUGAAAUGAUGAUACCAUGCGAACUUUUAACCUUUUCAGAGUUCAUUUGAAAUGAUUUUCAAUUUCAGGGUCUUAUAGCUCAAAAUAAUCAAUAAAUGCAUUAAAAUUUAAUAGCAAAAAGAAUUAUCAUAAAAUAUAAUAAAUAAGUAAUUUGAAACAAAAUAAUGUAAACUUUAAUAAAAUAUAUAAGUAGAAACGAAAUAAAAUAAACUUCAAUAACAUAAAUAAAAUUUAUGAAACUAAAAUUAUGAAAGUAUUUUCUGUUCAAAACAUUAUAAGAACAUCUAAAAUUUAUGAAACUAAAACUAUAUAAAAUUGAUGCAACUAAAAUUAUCAAAGUAUUUUCUGUUCAAAAUCAUUAAAAGAAAAAUGGAUUUUCAUAAAGAACUUUGUUUGUUAGAAACUUUAAUAGCAAAUAUAUAAGUAGAAACAAAAUAAAAUAAAACAAAUAAGUAUUUUGAUGUAAGUAAAAACAAAACAAAAAAUAAAGCAAAAAAGAAAACAAAAAAACUAGGAAAAAAUAAAAAAAAUUGCCAAGGCCACCAUGGCCUGAAUAUGACUAGAAACCCAUCCUGGGGCAGGAUUCAGGCCCGCAGAAGGCCCAGUAGGCCCAUCAGGCAUAGCUGUCACAAUUAGGCUCGUAAGCCUGCAAUGGAGGAGUCUCAAAUAGUGAGGUGGGACUAAACUUUCGACGCGGAUGCAGCAGCACAAGGCCUUGGGUCCCGGUUGGUGGCACCAACCGGGACUAAAGGAGUGCAUUGGUACCGGUUUGCGGCACCAACCGGGACCAAUGCCACCCCUUUAGUCCCGGUUAGUGCCACCAACCGGGACCAAAGGCCGUCGCGCCCUUUGGGCUGCUGAUAAGAGGCCUUUGGUCCAGGUUGGUGGCAUCAACCGGGACUAAAGGGGGUCUUUGGUCCUGGUUGCUGCUAUGAACCGGGUCCAAUGCCCUGGGUAUAUAAGAAAACACUUUGCAGUUUGGACCAAAUCCAUCACUUCUUCCCCCGACGCCCCUACUCCUCCUCAUCGUCGCCGCCCGACGCCCCUGCUCCACCUUGCCGUCGCCACCGCCACCGACGUCGUCGUGCUGCUCGACGCCGCCGUCGCCGCUGCCACCGACGCCGUACUCCGACUGCUCAACGUGGCCGCCGCUGCCGCUGAUGCCCUCUGCCCCGACGACGGCGUCGACCCUCGCGCCCCUGUCGGCCCCGACGCGCCGCCCACCGUGCCCCGCCGCCCCCUCUGAGCACCAGCCUGCUCCCGCGCCCCCUGUCACGCGCCCCUGCGCCCCUGCCCUGCCCGGCCGGCGCCGGCCGGCGCCGGAGCCGGCCCCUCCGCCGUGCCCCUCCGCCCCUGCUAGGUGCUGGCUAUUAGAUUUUUAGAUGUUUUUUUAGAUGUUUUUACAUGUUUUUUGGAUUAUUUUAGUUUAUGUUUAGUUUAGUUUUAUGAUUAGGAAAAUUUUAGAUGUAUAGGUAUAUUUAUUUAGAUGUAUAGUUAAGUUAGAUGUUGUAAUUUGUUCAUAAAAAUUGCGCACUUUUGUAUAGAAACUUUUUUUUCAUAUGUAUGAAAAUGUAGAAUAAAAACGAAAACAAACAUAUAAGAAAAAAGAAAGGAAAAAAUGAAGAAGGACACGCGGCGAAGCAAGUCUUUUUUUAAGGUAGUUCUUUGCUAAAGUGAGGGGGGCGUCCGGAGCACCCCCCGCCCCUCUCGCUCGACCAAAACUCUCAAGGACACCCAAACCCUAGAAAACAACAAUGUUGGUCUCCUACCCCCUCCCACGGCGCCCCAACCCGAUCGACAAACUCUCUUGAGGCCACCCAAAUUUACCAAGUUAAAAGAGCAUUGUCGUCGAGGCCACCCCCGAACCCUUGAAGCGUUGUUGAGGCCACCCCAAACCCUUGAAGCGUUGCGGAGGCCACCCCAAAACCCUAGAGAAGCGUCGAGGCCAAGCCACUAAUAUGAUUCCUUAUUGUGCUUAGCUAGCUAGUUCAAUGUUUUCCACUAAUAUAUCCAUCUGUCAUGUUUGAAUAAUAAUUGCCAUGUUGUAAAUAUUUGCCGGAACUAUGGAUCCGCACCCCCGAGACGAAGCAAAAGAAGCGGUGUUGGGGGAGAUAAUCGCACACGGAAGUGAUGCCGUCUUGUCGUUUCUCAACGACACAUGCAUCGAAGAAGCAGGCUAUGAUGAUGAUCAAACAAUGGAGGAGGAAGGACACCGUGAUGACGGCUCCGGUGACCGAAUGGAGGGGGAAGGACACCGUGAUGACGGCUCCGGUGACCGAAUGGAGGGGGAAGGACACCAUGAUGACGGCUCCGGUGACCGAACGGAGUCCGGCCAGGUAUAUAUAUAUUAAUUAAUUAAGCAUGUGCUGACUAUAGCUAAUUGAUGCGUUUGGACCAACGAGCAGCUAAAAACACCCAUCGAGAAGCUUCAGGAGUAUAUCGAAAAGGCGCAGCAAGGGACGUUCAUUCUGGACAGAGAGAACGAUGAGCUCACAGAGGCCCUCAGGAAUCCUGAGCACCCCGGACGGACACGAGGCACGCCAGGCUCCCUUUCGUGUAAGGCUGUAUUUCCCGACGCAGGCGGUUAAAAACGCCGGGAGAGGAAGAAGAAAAAAGAGUUGACCCAACUACAGACGCUGCACGCAAGGGUACAAGCGCUAGAGGAACGAGAGGCAGUUCGCAGCACGCGACCUGCCGAAGCUACACCCAAAGCUACCCCGCCAUCUCAGCGGAGAAGCAGUGUGGCUUCCACGGAGCUGCUUCAGAAGCCUGUCUUCACGGCUCCUGCUAGCUACCCCGUAGAUGCUAUCACAGAGUCUCAGCAUUGCCACCUUAUGACGCAGUGGAUGGAAUUGAAAGUCAAGGCGGCUGUUGGCUCUGUUGCACCUCCUGAACUUGGCGCAACUUUUCACUGCCGGCCGAUUCCAGAAGGAUAUGCUAGGGUCAUGAUGAAUGAAAUUACACAAGGAUUUGAGGACCUCCAGCUUGACCACCCUACGGGUGACGGGGAGACUUGGCUAGGUUCUUGUCUGAAGACUCCAUGCCUAUGGCGUAAGGAGCUCAUCAACCUUCCGAACUGGAUGCCUCCGCCUCCUCCUGCUGCUCCGGCGAGUCAGGGCACUCCGCCUCUUCCACCGCCUCCUCCUCCAGCGAGUGACGAUCAGGGCACUCAACCUCCUUCUCCGGCGCGUGGCGGCACUCCGCCUCCUUCUCCGCCUGCGCCAGCGCGCCCGAGCAGCCACCAGCCUUCUCCUUCUCCGCCUCGCCAGCAAGGGCGGAAGAGACCUGCCGCCGCCCCGGCUGCUCCGGCGCAUCGUAGUCCUUCUCCUCCACCUCGUAAGCAAGAACAAAAGAAGACAGCCGCAGCCGCUCCGUCUGCUCCGGCAUCUAGCAGUACAGCCAGAGGCGGGAGGCAAUAUAGAUACGGUCCACCUCUCAAGCCUCUAGAGAAGUUACCGUACGAGAGGACCGAGGAUGAAAACGCGAAGAUCGUGCGGACCGAAGUGAAGGACUUCUUUGAAGGGGUGAAAGCAAAGAGACAUCUACCUCCGGAGGAGAAGGUAGAUCCGGUGAAAGCAAAGCGCACUAUCGAUGCCCUGAGGAAACCACCAAAGUCUCCGCCGAAAACCAACUAUGAGCGCGUUACUGAAAAGGCAUAUCUCGAAGCGGAGUGGUCGAGAAGUACUGUCAGUGAUCAAAUGUUAAAAGAACGACGAGCAGCUGGGAAAAAACUGCCCAGCUCGGCGAACAAGCAAACCAAUCGUGCCCCCCACUCAAUGUGUCUAGCGACAUCGUCGCUAAUGCUCCGGGGAUGGUGCCCGGUUAUAGCAAUCUUGGAGAUUAACUACCCGACGAUGUACAUUAUGAUUUCUUGGAGGUGGACGAACACAGAUACGAGUACGGGAAGCCUCUCGUCAAAGAUGAAAAAUCUCUAACAACAAUGAAGCAAAGAUUCCAUAAUUGGUACAUGAAAACCUGCAGAGAGUCUGGGGGACGGAUACUUUGUAUCUGAGAGUUAAAGAGGAGCACGACCUCGUUGGAAUUGAUCUGUUGACUGUUCCAUUUGAGGAGUUCUUCCAGUGGUUCAAUCAAAAGGCCCUCGAUAAAUUAACGGUCACUUGCUACUGUCUAUAAGUACUACUUCUGUCAUUAAGUCUCUAUAUAUAGCUCAGCUGUUUCAUUGCAUGUAUAUCUGAUUAUCCUCACUAUAUUAUGCAGAUUAAAGAUCGUCGAGUGCAGAAAAGCGGAAAUGUAUGAUAUUGGGUUCAUUAACACAAAUCUCAUAGAUGAAUUUCAGGUUAAAAAGAACGCCGAUGAUGCUGAGGCCAACUUGCUCAAAUCAUUGAUAAUAAAUCAAAACAAAGAUAAAAAUACUGUUUCCUUACAACUUCGAGUGAAUGUUACUGUCUUGUGCAUAUUCGGUCUCCCUUAUUACUCGAGCGAGGUUAUAAUAACGUAAUUGAUGAGUUAUGUAUGCGUGCGCAUCUUUCACUAUAUUCUCCUGGAGAUUAAGCUUGAGCAGGGACUAGUAACCGUCUUAUACUCGAGACGAAAAGAUCCCGAGACCUAUGCGGACAUGACUAAAAUUCUCAACAAGUAAGUUCAAUCGAUCAUUAUCGCAGCAUAUCGGUAACUUUUUGUUCAUUUCCUGAUAUCUCAAGUAAUAGUUAUUUUCUUUGUCUUGCAGGGUUUGGAAAAAAGUUCACCGAAGAAGCUCCGGGACUGCCAAAGGAGCUGCGAUAUACAUACCCAAAAGUAAGUACUACUAGCUAGCUAGUUCCACGCAUCUCCCGUUGAUUCUAGCUACUUUUAUCAAUGCUAUUUAUAAUGCUUCAUUAUCAGUUUGAUUGACCUCUAUUUCUCGUAAAGUGCUUGCGGCAGGAACAAGGGAAUGAUUACUGUGGAUACUACGUGUGCGAGUUCAUCUACAACGUGACUUGCAAAGAUAAGCGGGGCUACUCUAAAAGACAAUUUGAUGUGCGUAAGCAAUAAUAUUCACAAUUUCAUUUUCUUACACCAUCAUUUCUGUUGAGUUUCAUUCAUAUAUAUGUAUUAACCCCCUUCUUCAAAUUAGACGUGGGAGAAGCGGAAUGAACUCCUACCAAAAGAUCGUAUGAAAGCAAUUCAAAAGGAAUUAGCGGGAUUCUUUCUUGACCACAUCAUCAAUAAAGCUGGAAAAUACCAUGUGAACCCUGAGUUCAUAUAUAAUUAGGGGAUUAUAUUGUAAGAGAUCUUAUAUUGUAUAUAUGUAGCCAGUAGCGUCGGAUAGAUAUACAAAAACUUGUUGUUCGACCAAUCUCUCGGAGAAGAGAGGUCGAUCACUUCUCUCAGUAUGCAUGACGAACUUCUGUAUUUAAUGGUUUCCUUCAUUUUCUUACUAGCUAGCGUGUCGAGGGCCUCUCUAUACGUAUAGUACGUAGCGUCGACCAAGCACGGAGAUAAGAGAGGUCACUUCUCUCUAUUAAUUAAUUAGCUAUCUAACAUAAUAUAUGAAACACCUUAAUUAACCAUACAAAACCCCCAAACCCCCUCCCCCCCUUCAGAAAAAAAACAAAAACUCUAGCCCCUGAACAGCUGACGCAUGGAUGCCUAUUGGUCCCGGUUGGUGCCACCAACCGGGACUAAAGGGCCUCCUGCCUGGGCUCGCAGCACAGGCCACGUGGAGGUCCAUCUGUCCCGGUUCGUAUAAGAAUGGGGACUAAAGGCCUAGGGCAGUAGAAACGAAUCUUUAGUCCCGGUUCCCCAACCGGGACAGAUGAGCCUUAUGAACCGGGACAAAUGGCCCUUUUUCUACUAGUGUCAUCGAUGUCUGAAAUACACUUGAUCCAUUUGGUGUGUGUGGAAUGUUUGUCCUUAUGAUGCAGGAAAGGGAAAUUGUGUUUGCUUCAAAUUAUCUUGUUCAGAUAAUUUUAUUGGAGGGUAUCAGGACGAAUAGUGCAUGGAAAGGGAAAAAAAUUGUGUUUGCUUCAAAAUUGUACUCCCUCUAUGUGAUCUAAAACAUCUUAUAAAAGUUCAUUCAGCUUUUAUUCCAUGGAAAAUUGUGUUUGCUUCAAAAUUGUACUCCCUCUGUGUCGAAUAGCGCAUGAAAUACCGAGGCUAGUCCGUGAGCGGAGGCAGGCCUGCCGGAGCUGAAGGUCAUUCAGCUUUUAUUCCAUGGAAAAUCUCGAACCCAGAAGGAAAGCCUCUUUGGCGUUCGAUGGAUGAGAAAGGUUUGGUGGCUGGAAUACUAGUUUUGCUUUGUUGUUUUUGUCAAUGGAUGGAAUAUUGUUGUUUUGAACUGACUUUUGCUUCUCUAGGUAAUGCAGCAGUAGAAGUGGAGUUGUGCAUACGGAAACUAAGCAGGGGUACACCGUUUCUUCUCGAGGAUUAUUUUUUUGCGUUUAUUAUCUGUGCAGCCUCCUGUAGCCAGUCAGUGCAUAUGGUAUUGUUUGUCAUCAAUCCACAAAGGCCGUCGUUGUCGCUGUGGGAAGCUGCUGCAGGAGACGGCCACACGAGAUCCCCUAUUUCUGUGCUAUAUGUCUCUACAAUACUUGUUACGUUAAGACAAUAACCUGUUAGUUGAAGCUACCACCUGCUCUGCUUUUUCUUUGUUUAUUUUAGUAUGAUCACUGAGUGAACCUGAACCUCCUAGUUCCUUGUAUAGUGAAGGUCCGUGACCUAUCUUUAUACAUCAUAUAUACGUGCCUAUGCACGAAAAACAAUACAUUGUGCAAUUAGCACAUCUUACAUGAUAUUAGUUUUUAGGUUUUUAUCCUAGUCUUCUGCUGCCGCCGCCCCUGCCUCCCACCUGCCGCGGCAUGCGCCACCCCUGAUCGCUAGCACUUUCCCUGCCGCUGCCCCGAUCGCUCGCAAGACCGGCUGCCCCGAUCGCUCGCGAGUCCCGCCCGCCGCUGCCCGCUAGCCCUGUCCGCCGCUGCCCCGAUUGCUCGCGCGCCCUGCUGCUCGCUAGCCAGCCGCUCCACCCGCAUCGCAAGUCGCUGCCCCGAUCGCUAAUACCGCUAGCGCUGCACCCCACCGCUCGCAGCAUCGCUCCCAGCUGCUGCACCCGAUCGCUGCAUCGCUCCCAGCCAUUGCACCCGAUCGCUGCAUCGCUCGCCGCUUCUCUGCCAGCGCUGCACCCGCUCGCUAGCCGCCUCUGACCUGCCUCAUCUCCUGCGUUGCCUGUUGCUGCCAACCGCGCCGCUCACUGCCGCCGCACCUUCCACAGCAACGGCACCACCUGAGCCGUCCCGCACUUGCCAUGUCGUCCAUCGCCUCCUCUGCGUCCACCAACUCCAACUCGUUCGCUGACGCCUACCGACGUGAAUGACAUCCGCAACCUGAACAUCUUCGAGCGGGUGCCGGUUCGUCUCUCUCAGGCGGACUCCUCCUACUACACAUGAAAGACAUACUUCUUCCUCGUGUUUCGGGAGUAUCAUCUCAUCGACCACGUGGACGGCACCGUCGACUCCAGCCUAUGUCAGCACGAUGUGUUUAAUCCUAUGUGGACCGCACGAUGAGCAAUACAUCGUGCAAUUACCAUAUCUUACACUGAGCAGAUGGCUGCGGCAUAUGCCAAGUCAGCCUUUCGCGGGACGAAGUAAUACAGCUUGAACUUGCUGAGAAACUUUGCUCUACUCUGCAGUUUGGAGCCCCGCGGAAGGAUGUCGUGAAAGAAUUUUUUUUUGGAUAGUAGGGCUCCCCGAUGGCUGCUGCUCUGCCCUGGGAAUGUCUUGUGAUUGUUUCUGCAGCUGUGCUGUACUGUACUUCGGUCGCUCUCAAUGGAGAAUAGUUGGG